CUCUAUAUAUAUAUAUAUAUAUAUAUAUAUAUAUAUAUAUAUAUCAUACAACAGAAUUAGGUUAUAGGGACACAUAUUUGGGACACUUUUAAGUAAGUGUCCCAUUUAUACUAAAACUUAAAAACACGUCUACUAAUGCCUAAAUAUAAAGCCCAAUCCAACCAAAAAUAAAAAAUUACUCUACUCAACCCACCACAUCCAGUCCAUUUGGUCCGAUUACAAACAGAAAAGAAAAAAAAGAAAAAUCAAUUACCAUCUUUUCUUCUCUCUUCACUCAAUCCACUGAAAUUCUAGACGAAUAGUCUUUACUGUCGUCCUCCUCCGCCACCGCAGCCAACGAGAUAGAGUUUCGACUGUUGCUAAAUGCUUAAAUAAGUAUUGGUAAAUUAGCAUGAUUCUUUUAGGUUAUAGCGACACUUUUUAACUGUCACUAUAUACCUAGCGACCCCACAUAUAGAAAUACUUUUUAAAAGUGUCGAUAAUUUUAGCUAGCAGCACUUUUUUGAUAUGUACCUACAGUUAAAAGUGUCGCUAUAGACCAUUUUUGUUGUAUAUAUAUAUAUAUAUAUAUAUAUAUAUAAAGAGAGAGAGAGUNNNNNNNNNNNAUGUUUAAAAUAAUAUUCUUGAAAAUAAAUCCUACAAACUUUCUUUGCAAAGGUUUGAAAGAGUACUAUAUCGUUUACGACUGUGAACUUUUUUCAUGGCGGAUACUUGCAAUUCUAAAAAUUAAAAGACUUCGAAAUUAUAUAGUCCGAUAUAGAGUAACUGUGCACUAUAUAUAUAUAUAUUAUAUAUAUAUAUAUAUAUAUAUAUAUAUAUGCCUUUCGUGAAUUGCAGCAACUAGACAAUUUCAAAGUUGCAUCUUAGCUUAUUAGAAAAAAAAAAAAAAAUUGUAAAUUUCACGAACAAGAAUAUGCUACAACAUCACACAUAUACAUAUUUCUUAAAAGUAAUAAAUUAAUUAAUUGUAUACGUGCCUUUAAUUUCGAAAUAAUUGCUACUUUUUAUCAGAUGAUCAUGAAGCUCAAAAAUCCUGGCUCCAUGAAGCUCUUCUAACGGUCAAAAAGGUCAAACUCAACACUAAGCUCUAUGAGCCACGUGACAAUGCGACUGCCAAUGAAUUAAUGACACGUGGCACCUAGCUGGUUGACUUGGUCAAGGUACAAUCCGAGGUCAUGGCAUUCCACCAGGUUGGCCGACCCCCGGCCGCCGCCGCCGCCUCCUCGCAGCCGCAGCUCCCGUCCGACGUCGGCGUACGCCCACCCCAGUGCCGUCGUCGCCCUCCGCCACCACCUGCCGCCGCCGUCGUCCUCCGAUUCCACCACGAAGCCCGGCACUUUGGUCACGACAUCGCCGGCGUUCACUAUCCGCAGCACCUUGCACCCACUCCCCUCCACCCUCCGCCGGAACCCCUCGUUCCCGAUCCGCGGUCCGCCGAACGAUAUCGCCGUCACCAUCGCCUUGCGGUCACUGCUGCCCCGGCAAAAAGUGUCGGCAAUGUCGUGCGCAGCGAGCACCGCGAGUGCGGCGCCGAGGCUGUGCCCGGUCACCGUGAAGCUCAACGGGUACGCAUCCGCUGUCGCAGUCGCCGCCGCCGCGUCGACGAUCCGUCCCACCUCCUCGCGCACCUGCGCCCGCAGGCUGCCAUGCGGAGCGACUGCGGUCGUGAAGAGGUUCCAGAAACCGCGCUCCACCAUCGGCUCCGACACAUUGUCGGAAGUGCAGCCAUCCAAGCCAGUGAGAGAAGUUUGGGAGUUCUCGAUCCACUCAAGGAAGGUGGCGGUGCCGCGGAGCGCGAUAACGACGUCGCGGCGGCCGAGCCGGGCGAUUUCGGCCUCGUCCCUGCAGGCCGCGAUGUACCCGAUCCAGCUCGACCGCCGCGAGAGCGCCGAGGGGGCUCCGGCAUCGGCUAUCCAUCGAGGAACUGCUGCGGCAGUCGUGGCGUGGAGGUGGCGCGUGACGCGGUAGCCGGUGCGGGACAGGCCUGCGCGGCGGAGGAGGGAGUGCUUGGGGAAGCGGCAGGCGGCGUAGGACGGGGAGCAGGGGUCGGUGUCGAAGGCGGAGUAGGCGGCACGGACAAAUUCGCCGUAGCGGAGGAUCUCACGGCGGAGGGUGUCGUCGAGCGGGUCGAGGAGGCGGGCCCAGUCGUCGGCGCCUUGGUACUCCGCCCACCGCCUCCCGAUCCUCGCGGUGGAGCGGCCGCGGAGUGUCGACGGACCCGAAGGGGAGGAGGAACACUUGAUCAGUGGAGAUGAGCAAUGGUGAGAUGAUAGAGAAGUUGGUGAGGACCAACCUCUCCAUACACAAAGCUUCAUCUUUUAUUCUACUUAAUUAGAUUCUAUUUUGUACUUGAAACAAUAUGUUGUACACUUUGUAGAAGAUGAUGUGUGUGUAUAGAUAUAUAUAGCUUGUGCAUGUGCAUGUGCAUGAUACGUGGGGGGGCAAAAAUAUGGGUGCAUGGGGAGGGUUCGACGCGCCGAAAAGGUAAAAAAAGAGUGGCUUAGAGGAUCCAAUUGAUGCGAUGCAAUAACAAAAUAACUUUUUGGGAGGGACCCUCUUUAAUUUCCAACAUUUUUGUGCCCAAGAAGUAUGAUUAGAAGAAUAAUAGAGUUGAGCACAUGUGCUUUUAAAAACAUAGUAAGUAGUAUUUGCGCUUAUGAUUUUUUAAUUAGCUGUUUGAUCACUUCAAGAUCCGUAUAAAAAUAUUAAUGAUAUGUCAUUUUAUUAGGAUUAUAUAGACUUAAGGUGAUAAUUGGUGGUUAAAAAACUAUAAACACGUUGAGCUCUCCUGCUUUUAAAAACAAAGGAGCUUAACUCUAGAAGGAUAUACAUUUUUUGUUACUAAUAAACAGCAAAAAUAAUAAAUAAAAGUUUAUUGCAAGGAGCUGCACCUAAUAAAUACCCUUUCUAAAAGGAGGAAUGUUACAUAUAUAUUAAAAAAAUGAGUAUAAAUUUUAUAUUUCACCUAUUAGGAGAUUUAGAUAUCUCUUCUAAAUUUAUAAUAUUAAAGAAAGAGAUUAAUAAUAUUAGCGUGAAUAAAGUAAUCCUUCGAUAGGAGGAUAGGCUUUUAAUAUUAAAAAAUUGAUAAGAUCAGUGUGAAUAAAGUGAUUCUUAAAUAAGAGGUGUAAAAUUUACGCUCAAAUUUUGCUUGCAACAGUUAUGUCGUGAUAACAAUAUCCCAUUGAAGAGUUUUAUGUUGCGCAAAAUGCAAAAUCAAAAUUAUUUUAAAUAUUAUUUUAAUGUGAAAUUAUAAUAUUGUCUUAUUAUUAGGCCUUUCACUAUCUCCUAUAGUACAAUAGGAUUGAUUUAAUAUAUACCUUACAUAGUAUAAUUGUUAUAAAGAAUGUUUUUUCCUCUGUAUUAUGCACUUCAUAUUCAAUAGCAAUUAUGAUAAAUAUUUAUUCAAAUAAUGGUGAAGAAAAAACUUGUUCUUGUUGAGAGUUCACAUAUGAAUUACUCCAUGUCGGAUAAUUAUAAGAGAGUAAAAGAGCUAAUACAUGCUAGUAUGCUCAGCUUAAGAGGCUUAGGUUUUCAGAUUGAAUGUGUUUCAUUAGAUAUAUCACGUUCUUUGACUCGUGUGGGGAUGAGCUUGGCCUAGAACUUCCUAACAAUUCUGGUACGUUUUACGUUAGAUAAUAAGAAAAAAAAAUUGCAUCUAAGAUAAUACUUUAUUUUCAAAGUUUUUCAAAAGAUAAUUUUACUUUUUAAGAGUUUGUUUCAGAUAAAAGAGUGCACUGAAAAGCUAUUCCCUAAACUUUCUAUCAUGACCGUACGUAUAUCUUACUUUUCUGAUGAUUCUAUUAUAUCCAGAUAAAUAAUCUAAAAAUAAUGAUCUAAGAAGUUAGAAAUUCAAUUUAAAGUGAAACUCAAGGUCAGGAUAGACCUCAAUUUAAAUUCAAAUAAAUAUUUUGCAUAACUAUUGUGAAAAGAAGCACCCACGGAGCUACGAUUUGUGACAUUCCGAGGCUUGAGAUAGACCCACAUUGGAUAGCUAUGGCUAGGUGUGAAGUAUAUAAACUUGAAUGAGCUAAACACAAUAACUGAGCUAAAGUAUUUUGGGCUGGUGGUUUGGACCUGAGUUAUUAUUGCUAGUAGACAGAAUCAUUAUAUUUUGUGUCAAAACUGAAUAUUAGAUGAAGGUCGAGUCGUUGCAUGAUCAUCCAACACACUUCAGUUUCUAUAACCUAAAUUGGAAAAAAGGAAAAAAAAAAAAAAAAAAAAAAAAAAAACAUGAUUGAAAAUAUCUAAGAUAGAUAAAAAUAGAGUUGAUGUUUUGAGGAGAAAGAAAAUGAGGACACUUUACCUCACAAUCAAUUAAUUAUGGAAUGACACCAAAGAGUGUGGCUACAUCUGCAUCUGACCAUGGAUAGUGGGUGCAUAAAAGAGUGUUGGUUUAUAGCUUUAUUGAAGUAGAAAUUAUUCAAUAUAUAAUUAAGCCUUUUAAAGUGUGGUAAUGCAUAUUUGAAAUUACUAAAUUUAGAUUUAAACUUAGGGUUUUAUGAUGUCUAUUUUUGAGUUUUGUAGACCAUAGGUAUUACAAAUAUAAACCCAUUUGAUAUGACUAUCUAAUCUUUAAAAGUUUUAAUUUUAUUGUGUAAAUAUUUUUAUUUAUUUGAUUUAAGUCAUUUUAUGAUUGUUUUUUCACGUUAUAAUUUGACUGUGUUGUAGAGUAUGUCAUACGGUUCAGAUGACUACUUUUCAAUUAAAACAUACAAUGCAUGCAAAUAUCUACCUAAAAUAUCACCAAAUGGUUCAAAUCAAAAUAAUUGAAAGCUUUAUAAAAUUGAAUAGCUUAAAGUUUAGGUGGUCAUUGUCAGAAUAGUACAUAAGUUAAGUAAGUUUUAUGUAGGGCUAUUAACGAGCUGAACACGAGCUGACUCGUUUAAAAAAUCAAGCUGAAAAAUUCAGCUCACGUUCGGCUUGUUUAGUAAUGGCUUGUUUAUUAAGCGAACAGUAAGUUAAAUUGUCAACUCUAUUACUUGAUAAAAUAUUGAAAAAAAAAAAAUUAGAAUUAAUCUUAAUCUAAUAAUUAAAAUUCACAAAAUAUAAAGCCUUUUAUGAUCUAAAUAGUAAAACGGUAUUGAUGUAAAGGCUAGUAGCAAUUAAAAGGAUUGAUUUGAAUACGAAAAAGUUAGAGGUAACAAUGGAUUAAUACUUCUAGAAGUAUUCUACCUCACCCCUAUAUAUAUAUAUAUAAAAUUAGGCUGGAAUACUAUUAAUAGUAAAACACUAUUUUUGCUAUCAAGUUUUUAAUCCUUGAAUGAAAAAUUAUAGGGUCGGGAUGAUAUUAGUCGGUUAGAGUUGAGUGGUCCCCCUAGGGUUGCGUGGUCCCCACUGGGUUAUAGUAUUUAAUCCAAUGGUUAGAAAUAAUAAAAAGAGUUGAUCCAAAGGCUAAAAAACUGGUAGCAACAAUGGAAUUUUGCUACUAAUAGUAGUCCAAUCCAACUCUCUCUCUCUCUCUCUCUCUCUCUCUCUCUCUCUCUCUCUCUCUCUCUCUCUCUCUCUCUCUCUCUCUCUAUAUAUAUAUAUAUAUAUAUAUUCGAGCAAUAUUGAACCGAACACGAAUGAGCUGGCUGCAGCUCGUAUUCGGCUUGUUUAUUAAACAAAUGAUCAUUCUCGAGCUCAUUUAAAGUUGAACACGAGCUGACUCGCGAACAACGAACUGGAUUGUCAAACUUUAGGAAUGGGUGCCCUCCGGGCAGGCAUCUUUAGAGGGAAAAAAGCAAUAUCGAGCCGAACACGAACAAGUGAGCUGACUCCAGUUCGUGUUCGGCGCUUUGUUAUUAAACAAACGAUUAAUCAUAAGCUUGUUUCAAGUCGAAUACGAGCUGACUCGCGAACAGUGAGCUGGAUUGUCGAACUCUAGGAAUGGGUGCCCUACAGGCAGGCAACUUUAGAAGGAAAAAAAAAAAAAAAAAAACGCAUGAUUUUGACACAAGGUACCAGGUGCCUGCUCGUGCUAAAUGGACCCUUGUACACUUGCGGCAGGAGCUUUUGGGCGAAGCAGUUUUGGGGAUGACAAAUUUGGAAUUGGGCCACAUUUAACAUCAACUGUUCUCGCAAAUCACACGUGUCCCAAAUGGAACAAGUUUGGUGAGUUUCACGUGUGAAAAUCCUUUUACUUCGCACAGCUAAAGCUAGUAGGAAAGGGUCCUACUUAUUCUUAACUCCAUGUUUACUUGUUUGGUUAUAUUGUAGUUAUUAUAAUUAUAUCUGCAUACAAAUUUAAUUCUGAUGUUUAGUUUAUGCAUUUAAAUUUAGUUGGAAUUGCGUGAGAAGGCCCAACUGCAGAUCUUAGAAUUAUGUCCAAAUUUGUCGCAUUUUCAACUACAACCACUUGGAAUGAGUAAUCAUAAACAAAAAAACAAACGUAUCUUCUAAAUCUUCAUAUAUACAUAUAUAUAUAUAUAUAUAUAUAUAUAUAUAUAAAAUAAUAAAAUUUUAAAAAUAUACUUUUUCAUUGCAUGAAAUCAAAGAAAUUAUUUAUAAUUGCACUGUUUUCUACUACAUUAACCAAAUUUAGAUAUAUGUAAUUAUAUCUACUACAUUUUUAACUACAGUUCUAAUUAUAUCGGGCCAAAUGGGCCCCAAUAUAUUGUGAGAAAGUGUGAUGAAUUGUUUUUAUAAAUAACAACAUGUCAUGUCGAUCGUAACGAUUUGAUUAGAAUACAAUUAAUAUUUGCAGUUUCAUCGAAAAAUGAAAAAACAUCUCGAUCUUUAUAUAAUUUCACUGUACUUUAUUGAUGCCAAUAGCUUUAGCUAAUCGGCUUUCAAUAUUAUACAGACCUUUGAUAAAGUUUAGCUUUUCAGAAGCUCUCCGAUGAUAGUGAAAAUUUGCGUCAAAAAUUUUGAAGAUUCCUACCACCAUUUUAUAGCAAUUGAAUUGAUUUCUAAAGCGCUCAACUAUUUUUCUUGGUAAAAAUAUGCUAAACUAAUAUCAACUUUUGGGCUAAUAUAAAAUUGACUAUUCACGAUCUUGUUUGGCUUUGCUGUUAUUUUUUAAUUUUUUUUAACAUAAUUAUAUGUAGCUAGCUAGAUAUGCCAGCAAACAGGACUCCUACAUAUUUUCUCCCAACACUUCCACAUAGAAUUCCUGCUUGAAAAAAAAUUGAAGAGAUAACAACAAUAUGGAACAAAUUAAGACUAGUAUUUGCAAAUUUUGAAUUCACUAUCUUACCUUUCAAUUCUUCUAAUUUGAGUUUUUUUUAUGGCUCUAAAAUAUUUUGCAUAUACCUCACCCAUUAGUCCAUCCACGCACUCUAUAUUUAUUUGUCAUUCCUCAUAUUUGAUAAGUUCAAUCUCUGCAUGUCAAUAAAUUAUAGUUUUUUUCGAUUUAAAACUGGAUGGUUAGUGUUAGGAAUCCAAAUGAAUCUGGUUUGGCGGAGCUUCUGUCCCAAUCUACUCCAAAAGGGAAAAUAUUUGAAAGAUAAUAGUAAAUUUAGGCAGUAAAUGAAGUCUUUUUUAUGAUCUGCGGAGGAUUCGGAGAGAAAGAUGAUGAAAAAUUAAUUCGCUUCAUAAUAUGCCCUGAAUAAAGAUUUAAAUUGUAGAAUUUUUUUUUCGAAUAUUAUUUGAGUUUUAAAUAUUAGUUAUUCCUAAUAUACAUAUAAUGUGAAAAAUAGUUGCUUUUAAUUAAACUAAUAAAAUUUCAUUAUUUUACAUUUUAUUUAAUUGAACUAAUAAAAUUUAAUUACAUUCAAUUCAAAUUUGUAUAAAAAAUAGAAAGAAAAAAAAAAUUUGUGGGGGCGCAUUCAGGGUGACAGGCCUUAAGUGAGUUUUUAGGCAAAGCAGAUUAUGAAAGAAAUAUUUACUCCCAUACAGGGGUAGGACAACCAUACUUGGUUGAGGAUCUUCUUAAUGAGUUCUUAUUAACACAGUUUGGCGAGCCGUAUAAUUCAUAGCACCUGUGAAUUUUAAAGGUCUAUUUCAAUAUAUCUUGAAGGUUUUUACUGAAUCUUAACAUCAUAUUGAAUUUUCGAUUCUGCUAUAGGAAGGAUCUAUCGACACAAUUUUUUGUGUAGUGCUUUUUUAACAGCACUUCUUAAACAACACUUCAUCAAAUAGUACUGUAUCCUACAGUAUGGCCGAUAAAGCCCUGAGUAUCCAAAAACACCUUCACAACUCAAAGAAACCCAAGAAAUCAUUUGAACGGCUGUUAACAUUUAAAAGCUAGAAAGAAACGUUUUGUACAGGGAACAGAAAUUUCUACAACUCUUAUGCAGUUUCAGAAAAGAGAAGAGAGAAGAGAUAAGACGAUGAUCGAGAAGGGCAGAGUUACAGUGCUGAAGCUAAUCUUCCUCGAAGUAUUUCUCCUCGGCGUCAUAGUUUGCUUCCCUGACCCAAUGAUCGUCCAGUCGUUCAUCGUUGUCGAUCUGGGAAUAGUCGAAAUGCUCCGUGUCUUCUCCUGCCAGGAACUUCUGCUGCAUUAUCAGCGUGAACUGCUCCAGCUGAUCCUGCAUCUCUUCUCCAGAUAAUGUCUGCUGGAAGUCCUCCGUAGCCUCACCCUCGGCGCCACCGGUGUUUGAUUCCCGCCCCUCGUCAAGAGGCAUCUGUACACAGCAAGCAGCACAAAGUUUUCUUUGUUAAGAAACAUUUCUACGUAUUCGCCAGCCAAAAAGCAUCAACGAACAAGUCGCCGUGCUAAUCCGAAAAUACCAAACAGAAGCUUUGAAUAUAGCCGGAGAGGCAAGCACAGUAAAAAAUAGCCCAUGCCCACAAUGAAUGCGCGUCGAACUAUAAUUGACAUUUAUAAAUCAGUAAGCAAAAUAGACUCAAAAGGAUCUUUAAAAGAAAAUUGAGAAGAAUGGCUGACAGCUUACAGAGUCGUCCUAUCUACAAUAUUUGACAAAAAUAAAUUGCUGGCUGCUAUUUACAAAGACGAAUUGCCAAUUGCUACCCAAAACAGGUAACAUGGCUACGCAGCUUAAGUUCAAAAUCCCAACACAUCCAGGCGAUCCUCUACAAUUACACAUUAACAACUAAUUCUGAAUAAACAGGAGCCUAUAAACAUGUAGCCCAAACCUCAGAAACUAUUGCCGUCGCACAUCUGCUGCUCAUAGUCAUUUUGUAGUUACAAAGGAAUCUUUAAUCACCUUCACUAUUUCCUGAUGUGGAACUAUCUUACUAUCCUUUCUCUUCAACCAGUUAAAUAUGAAUGAUGCUCCGCCCGUUUCAUGACAAACAGUUUGAUUGCUCUUCUCUAACUAAGAUUACCGUAAAGAAAUACUAAAUUUGAUCUGCAAGCACUCAUAAUUAUUGGAUGCAAAUCACUUAUUUUCCUUAAGAUAAACCAUUUUAAUCUAUAACGACGUGGCCAGGAGCACAGAAUAUGGUGAGACAUGUCAUGCAAUAUCAACAUGACAUUCCUUGAAUUAAAUAGGCAUGUGCAAGGUAAACGAACACAUAUAAUAUGCAAACGACGCAAAAUCCGGACACUAUAUAGACAAUAUUUCUCAAAUUUAUAAAUAUAUUAUUGUGGGCUUGAUGAUAAUCACUACUCUGUUCUUCAACAAUUUAGGUAUCAUCAAAACAGAUGUUUGAACAAAAAAGGAAAAUCACAAGGAUUUACAUGGAGAGAAAAAUCCGAAAGGCACACGCUGUACUAUGGUUUUUUUUGGCAAUGUUAACUCUAGUCAUGCAUCAAAAGGACAAGAUGCAUGGAAGAGUCGCUAUACUUUCAUGAUACAGUGAUUAGGACCUCUAACUUUUUUACUUUGAAUAAUUCAGUCCUCAAGAUGAAUUAAAAAUAUACAAAUUUGGGACAUGGAUUGACUACAUGGGAAAGUUUGGUGACUGAAAUGCCUAACUGUAAAGUUUAGGAACUAAGUCGCUAUAUUCACAAAAGUACAUGGACUAUCCAUAUCACUAUAGUCACAAAUGUACAGAGACUAUCUAUAUAUUUUAACCCUCCAUUAAAUAUGACAGAUCAUAAUUCACUAUAAUCCUUGAUAGAUAUAAACAUAUGACCUGCUAUCAUUAACUGAAAGGUAAAAAUAGUACGACAAAGAAACGUCCUCAGAUUCAUGACAACCAAAAUUUGGAUGUCUUUAUUCCAUUAAACAUAUUAUGUAUACAAGAUGCUAUCAUUGUCUUAAUAAAAGAAAUGGUUCCCACAAAGUUCUUUUGAGGAAGAGAGACACACCAAACCAUGAAUGUUUCUAAGCUAAAUUUACAUUUUUUAUUAUGUCCUGACAUCGAGUACUGGAAAGACUCAAAGAAGCAACACAAAAUUUCUUGGUUGGAGUUAUAUGUCAUCAAAUAUGAUCUAAGUAUUUCUACAGGCAAAACUAACAGAUUUAGGAUGCCCUUUCCCUUUGCAUCAAGCCAUCAACUCGACAAAAAUAAUGUUUAAAUUGAACAACCUAGGGAUUUCCAUCUGAUAAUCAGUUCGCCAUUCUUGAUUUAGGCAUUAAAUGCUUUUUACCAAACUUGUUUCAAUUAAUUUAUAUCCUUUAGAACUUGGACAAACUCCUCCUAUCUGCUUGAAUAGUACGAUUCUUCGUUUCUAGGCUAAAUUACAAAAAACACACCUGCAGUUUCUUCUCUUUCUUCAUUUGCCAAACUGCAUCUUAAAUUGCAUCUACUUUAGCCUUGCACUCACUCUCAUUCAAAAUAGAUUGAAAAUAUUGGGAUAACUGAUAAAUUAAAUGCAAAACAUUGCAAGCAUGAGUUGGGAUAUAACAAGGAUUCUAUAUAUGGACAGUUAUCAACCUUCAGACCUAAAAUAAAUCUAGAAUUAAAAAAUAAAAGGAAAAAGAUCUACUUCUCUACAACAGCAAGAAACAAAUUGGACAACCAUUUUACAGAUUUAAGAUGGUUCCGAGCAGACCAAUAUAUUCAGAAGACUGGGACUCACCGCAGUAAAAGUGUUUGACUACUAUUUUGCAAGACUUCUCUGUAUCAUCUCCAAGCUCAAGGGAUUAGCUCCCCACCACACUCAUGAUCAUUCUGUCCACAUUAUUCCAGGUUCCGCUAACAGUGAAUGUGAGGUUCAAGUCCAACUCUGGGUACCAUACUAUACACGCACAAGAUGGUUUUUUGGACACAUAAUAGUCACCAUGGGCUUCUUGUCAUGCAUUUUGGCUUGACUAAUAAUCUAUCGCCUUCUCACUUUGGUGAACACUGUUUCUACACUUUUCCUCAAACACUUACAUUAAUAAUCUUGGACCGCCUUGUCUACAACUAAUUUUAGGAGGACCAAAUGGCACAUUUGCAUGCGACAUACAGAGACAACGAAGUUUCAGAGGGAAUAUUUGGCCCACAUUUCAAUUUGAUUUGAAUUGCUCCUCAUUACAGAAUGUCAUAUUUCCUAAUUGCAAAGGAACUUUGACAAGAACAAUUAAUAUUGACAAGAACCAUUAAUUGUGAGGGCUAUGAAAGCACACUUUCAUCUUCUUUCCUAGUCUCUUUAGUUUUCUUUGAUUGGUUCAGAAUACAAUUUGGAAUUCACAAUCUUUUUUCGUAUUUAACAAAGGACUUUAGUAUUUCUUUUUUUAAUAUGUGAGGCUACAUUCGACCUUGAUCCCGUAAAUUCUCCUUAAGUUGUGCAUAGAAAUAACUAACAUAAUUUUGUUUCUACUAUUAGCUAUUUACAAAUCACAAGAUGCUUAUUAGUUCUACUAAUUUUUACCAUACCUCAUUAGCUGGACAGAUGAUAAAUUAGCAACAAAAGAGAGAACACAGGAUAACACUACAGCAAAAUGGUUAUGCAACCAAAAUAGCAAGUCCUAUGCUAACUAUUUUAACAGUCCUCCUGCAAUUUUAGAAGAUCAUAUAGAUCCUACAAUUAUCAGUGUGUUUUUCUUUUAAAAGAAGCCAUCUCCCCAAAAUUAACUAGAUAAACAUUAGUUAAUAUGGGUGCGUUUGGAUUGACGAAUCGCUAUAACUAACAUACUAAAGCGCAAUGGUGUUGUUUUGACGUAACUCGUACAGUCUAAAAGUUGAAUUCAAUCACUUCUUCUAUUUGUUUUGGUGUAACUUGAUGUUGAUGAAUUUAGUUUUUUGAGUUACAUUGUUUGUUUUGAUGUAUGUAAGUGGGUCUCAUUAUCUCCUAAAUAUAGUGAUAAAUUUAUCCCUAUAAAAUCCAACCUAUUAAAUAAUUAAAUUCCUCAUUAUUGUUUGGAAAUAAUCUUAAACCAUUGUAAAAAAAAAAAAAAAAAAAAAAAAAAACUCUAACCUGUUCUAAAGGAAAUAGAGUAUCGGUUUUAAUAUUUAAUAAAUUUUUUGGAGAAACUUGAGUGUGGUGGAACUUGAGUUCGGUACUCUAGAGAGAGAAGUCAAGACUCAAGAGUAGGUGAAGUGGAGGUUUAACGUAACUUGAAUUAUAUAUAUUUUUUUUUAUUUACAACAAAACAAACACCGGAAGUGAUGGAACUUGAGUUCCACCCCUCCACUUACACCAAACUAAACAGCCCCUAUACGUAUAAUUGGAGUUUGAGUUUGUUCCGCUCAGAAAAACCGUCACUAAGUGGCUAAGACGAUUCCUCCGUGAUGUUCUAAUUAGUAAACAUCCUUUACCUCUUAUAAAAAUCUUUUGAGCUAAGCAUAAAUGACCGCAUAAUUGUAAGACAUAAAAACAUAAGAGAGCUAAUCAAAGAAAGCAUAAUAUACUAAUAUCAUAUUAAAUCUUGUAGCAAUUUUGUUGAUUAAUCAAUCGAAAGUCGGUGCAGUUGCCUUAAAAUCAUCAGGGUCAAUAGGGCUAAGCCCACACUCCUAAGUCAAAAGUUUUAAAUGCUAAAUCAGUUGAAGUUAAAAGGAUGACUAGUUCUUGAGCUGAGCCCUUCUUUCUCAUCAAUCCUAUAGUAAUGGUGCAUGCUGCCUAAAAGAUAAAGAAUUAGUAAGAUUUGAACUCUUAAAAAUUAGGAGACCCAUAAAAGCAAGGUUCUGUACUUCUGUACUACUUGGCGAUGCCAUUAGCAGGUCAUAAUGAAUGCGUCAGGCAUGGACAUGAAUAUUGAGUUGCGUCCCAAAUCCGAACAUGAUGAAUUCAUGCAAACUUCUCGCUAAGUUCAUUUUUAGUCCGACAAAAUGGUCGGUGAUUUUAAACAAUCGAAUUCCCGAAUCGUGUGUUCUUUGAUUCUCAACAAGGUAAUUCCCUUUUAUCUAAAAAUCUAGACAUACAAAUUUUGUCCAAUAGAAUAACAUAAUAACUUCAAAAAUGGUAUGCUUGUGUAGGCUUAAGAAAUAGUACCUUUGCUGCUUCUUCCUCUUCCUCUUCCUCCUCCUCCUCUUCUUCUUCCUCCUCCUCCUCUUCUUCCUCCUCUUCCCUUGCGCACCCACCGACCCACUCUCUCCUAUCGACGCCUCGCCUCUGCUGCUCGCCUCUGAUCUUCUCGACGAUCGCCGCCUCCUCGCAGCGCCGCAGCAGCGUCUCCAACCACCGCUCACCGGGCCGGGACAUCGCCCGCCCCGCGGGGUCCUGGAACUGCCCCAGAUACUCAUGGUGGAGGUACGGCUCCCGCUCCCGCAUCGCCUCCUCGGAGAAGUACUCCCCACCGCGCACCAGCCGCUCCAUGUACGCCCUCCGCCGGUUCUUCACCGUCGCCAGCCGCGCCCGCGUCUCCUGGACCGUAGGCGUCUCCCGCACCCGCCGAAGCCGCGCGAGGUGCCACGCCACCUCGUAGUCGUUGCCGAGGGCGUCGAACGCGUCGAGCUCCUCGGCCGUGAGCUCGGAGCCGUAGCGCUCUGAUCGAGAAGAGGAGAGGUUUCGAUUUAGAGAGUUAGGGUUAGGGUUAGCGUUAGGGUUAGGGUUAGGGGUUGGGAGCGGGGAGCGUACCGAGGAAGAGAGGGGGGUCGCGGGAGAGGAGGUGGAGGAGGGCGGAGUGGCGGAGGGAGGAGGGGUCGGGGGCGCCGCCGCGGUGGAUGGCGCCUGGGAAGUAGAGGCCCUGGAUGGCAGACAGCCGCGCCGCGAUGCCCUCCAUCGCCGACCGCUCCAUGGUUUGCUGGCCUGGCUGCGCCGCUGGCACUUCUGGACGCGCCGUUCAGGGCAGACUGCUAAUAUUUACAAUUCAAUUAAUUAAUAUUAUUAUUUAUCCAGCUACUGCACUCUUAUUAUGAUUAUUAUAUAAUAUAUACUUCUUUUUAUACUUAUAAAUUUUUAAAAUAUUUUAUUUUUAUAAUUAUUUUUAUUUUACUAUUCCACAAAUCAUCUGCUCAAUUUGUAAAAUCGCUAUUAUUCUAACUGUAUAUUUUUUUAUUCAACGGUCGAAAACUUAUGAUUACUAGCGCAGUAACCCGCGCGAUGCUGCGGAAAAAUAUUAUUAUAAUAAAUUUUUAUCAUAUCUACUGAAUUUUGUGUUUUAGAGCGUAAACUAUUUUUUCAUCUUUCAAAAUACCAAAUUUUGCUCAUUUUUCGACUUAUUUUUGUAAUAUUCAACAUAUAACUUUGAUUUUUUUACUGCAAAUUUUGCUAGUUUUUUCCCUCCAUAAUUAUACUGUUUGAUUUUAUUCUUCCUCUGAUUCUAAUUUUAAAACUUAUUCUCUGUAAAUAAGUAAAAACAUAUACAUUAAAUUUGAAAAUCUUAUCAAAACGUAACUGAAAGCAUAAAAAUAAUAUUAAAAUAAUUAAAAAGUAAGUAAAAGUAUAAAAAAAUUUAAAUAAAUGAAAGAUAGUAAAAAAAAUAUUUGGAAUACAUAAGAAGAAAAGAAUGAAGUAGAAUGAAUAGUAAAAAUAAUAAGAAAAGUAAGCAUAAUAAUAGCUGAUUAUACUAAAAAAGUACUGUAACAGUAAUAGCAAAUCAGAAAUAACAAAGUAAAAUAAUAAUAUUUUUUUGCAAUCCAGAGUUAUAGUAGAAAAAAAUAAUAAUAGUAGAAGAUUAAGUGCAGCGGUACAAAAAAUUAAUUAGAAUACAUAUGUAGAACUUAAUAGUAAAAAAAUAAUUUGGAAAAAAAAAAACAAAAGAGCUAUAAGAAAAAAUAAAGCGAGAAAAAAUAGAUGAAGAUACAACAAAAGAAUCACUUAAUAAAAAGAAGAGUUACAGAACCUAACCAGCAAAGAUUUUAAAAAAAUAAAAUAGCUAAGAACCAGAAAAAGCUACAAAAUUAAUAUAAAAAGAAAAAUAGAAGGAUAAAUUAAAAGGAGCAUAUGAUGUUGCUCAAAUUUCUGCUUCUAUUACUGUUGUUUCUACUGCAUCUUCAACCCUUUUUUUUUUUUAUUUGUUUUUCUUACAUAGAAAGAAAAUGAGUACAAACAUAAGAAAAUUAAAAAAUUGUUUCUAUUGUGUACAUGUAAAAUAAAAAUUGAAUAACAUUCUAAACCAUAAAAUUGACAGUUACUUAUGUUUUCAUAGUUGGUAUUGCCGCUGAUACUUUUAAUGCUGGUGAUGCUCCUUCUAAUUUUACUCUAGGCUUAGACUUCAAUAAAUUUUAUUAGUAAUCAAUAAAGAUAAUUUAUACAUUUUAACUGUUACAAAAAUGAAUUGUACCGAAAAGUAAAAAUUACCUCAAUAGUUACUUCAUCGAUUGUUGAGAGAAAUCAAUGGUUGCAACAAUUGUACAAUUGCUAUCCGAUCAGUUUUAUCAUAUAAAAAUUUGUUGAUAUAUAAUCAUAUAAUUAUUCAUUUUUCAUCAUCGUCAAUAACAUAAGAAAUAAAAAACGUAUAUAAUAAAUUUGUAAAAUCUAUUAAAAAGUAAUUAAAAUUAAAAAGGUAAAUAUUAAAAUAAGUGAAAACAUUUAUUUGAAACUAUAUAGAAAUUUUUUAAAUAGCUCUCUAUAAUUGGUAACCAAAAAAUUAAAUAUCUCACUAAUUCCUAAAUUAGAGAAUGUUUCUAUAUUUUUUUCUUGGUUAUUAAUUUUGCCUAGUUGUCAGGGAGCAUAGAUUUAGCGAAAUGAACUAAUUUUUCUAUUGUAAAUAUAUAAGCAGGCACAUUUAAUUUGAAUAGCUCUCUUAUCCAUAAAUUAGAGGAUUAAUAGUAAUUUUUAUUUUUUUCUAAAAAAAUAUGAAUAUAGUAGGUUAAUUAAACUUAAUAUAUAUAAAAGGGUUAUGAAUAGAAACGCUUACAAAUUCAAAACCGAAUGAUCGCAGAAGCCACCAAAAGCAUGCCGACGGUAAGAAAGCAAAAUUCAAAUUUAUUAAAGAAUAUAUAUGCAGUAGGCAAACCAAACUAAGUUUAUAUAGAAAAAUUAUGCACAGAAAAACUUAUAUACUUAAAACCAAAUGACGGCUGAACAACCACCAAUAGUUAACAUAUUCCUAAGUCAAAGAUAUAUCAACAUUAUUUUUUAAAAAACUUUAUAUGAUAGAUAAUCGAAGUUACAAAAAAAAAUAACAAAUAGAAAUCAAUGAUAAAAAUCCUUGAAAACAGAGAAACUGUUGCAGCCAACUGCGGUCAGUUUCCUGAGAUGAAAGAAAUAAUAUUCAGUAUUAAAAAAAUUAUGUUGUAGGCAAAUUGAAAUAUUAAAAAGAAAUAUAAGCAUAGAUUUGAGAUUUCUCACAGAAAAAAUUUUCUAUUCUAUAGGAAUUGUCUUUAUAUCUUCAUUUGAAAUCAGGCAACAGCAUUACAGUUUAUAGUGUCAUCUAAUAAUAUGUUCUUUGAUUAGAGAAAGUUGAGGCAAUUAGAGGUUCGCAAUUGUCUUGGCGUCUACAUUGACCAAUUAAUUACCUGAAAUUCAAGCUUCAAAAUAGUUUAAAAUUUUUAAAAGACAAUUGCAGAAGAAUUAUCGUGGUUCAACUACAAAUUAGCAAUAUAAAAACAAUAAUCAUAACCAAUAAUAAUGUAAGGUGGUGGAGUGCUGACUCUGCAGAUUUCCAGCGAUGACCUUUAGUGUUUUGGCUCGUGCGCGACGUAGGGAGGUCGGAUCACUGUGAAACUUGGUUUAUUGGAUUCUAGACUUCCAAAGAAAUCCAUAAAGCCCUGAAUUACAGAUUUUGGUUGAAGUUAGCUUGGUUGUUUACACGUUUUUCUAGACUGCUGGCAAUAUUGAGCUGAAAUUGAGGAUUUUGAGCUUUUCUUGAUGCUAUCUUUGUAGGCAGUGGACUUUUGGACCUGAGACACAUCAUUCUUCUAUACUUACUGGAUUUGAGACCUUCCUCACCUAAUUUGGAGGUAGUUAGGUGAGUUUUGACAUUGCAAUUGAGAUUAAAUUAAGCCUUAGUGCUGAAAUAGUGUUAAUUGAUGGAAUUCAAUGUGUAGAGCUUGGAGAUAGCUUGAUUUCUGGUGUUGGAGGAUUUUGGUUGAUCCAGCAGGGAUUAGCAUUGGUUCGGGACCCUUCUUUGCUGCCAGGAUUAGCAAUUAAGGUGGGUGUAUCAUUGGUUUCGCUCCUAAGUGCAUGUUUAGUCGACGCGUAUGAUUUUCGGUUCUUGUAUAUCAUGCUUAAUUCAUUGAUUAGCAUCUUGGCUAUAAUAUGAAUAUUGAAGCAUGCUGAAAUGAGUAUUUACAUUAUUCAUGUUGGACUUGGAAAUAUCUUAGGAGAAAAUUGCGUUUUGACCCGUCAUAUGAUUCUACUACCUGAUUUAGCUUUAGGAGCCGUGUUUUGAUUGUAUCAUCGCUGUUUCAACGCGGUGGAUAUCCGGGGUAGUUUAGAAUGCAUUUUACGCUCGUGCUGGGAUGCCGAGCUUAUUUUUACAGCAGAGUCUAGGCUGUUUCGGGUUGUCGGGUGCCGUCGGGGUAGAUGGUGGACCCAGAUUCUUGUUUUGGUCUCAGAUUGUGCCGAGAGCACGUGGGUUUGGUUUCUAGACCUGUUUUGACCCUAGUUAUUUGACUUUGGCUUGUUAGAGCCUGAUUGAGCUCGACAGAGAUACGCUUGCAUACUCGGUUGGGUAGCGCCCACGAGUGCUACUUCGGAGUCGGGCUUUGCGAGUUUGCGUUGGUGUCGUUCGUGCAGGUUGGACUUGCUCUCAACGAACUAGUUAGUGUAGAGGUAGCUGGAUAGUCGCAACCAAGCGGGACGGGUGUGUUCACAGUCCCAGGGACGGGUAUGAUUACAGUCCUUACUUGAGUUUGGGUCUGAGUUGACAUAGUUCUACAGAGGGUUAAGAGUUAGAGCAUGAUAGUAUAGCGAUAUUUAGUUGUAAAUUCGUUCCAGCUUUCUUUACUAUUCCUGCUUAUCCUUGUAGACUUAGUCGGUGGACCGAUGAGUUCGAGGGUGGUACCCACUAAGAACUACUUUUUGUAGUAGUUCUCACGCCUCGUUGUUACCCUGUUUUUGCAGAGCCUUCUGUUCCGGCUGCUGCUACUACCGAGACUGAUCGUGGUAAGGGCGUUGCGAGUUAGAGCCCUUCCAGACAAGUCGCAGAGUUAGAGGAGCACCAGCUACAGGUAGUUGUAGUUUUUGGGUCUUUACAUACAGUUGUUAUAUCUCGCCAGAGCGAGUAGUUGUAUACCUGGAUUACAUGUAUGUAUUGAACCACAGUUUAUAUAUAUAUAUGGUUUAUUUCUUUAGCUGCUCUGUACUACUGUUUGUAGUAUUGUAUGGUUACGGGUGCUUCUAUUUUUUGCUUCGUAUACAGGAAAAAUACUUAUGUAUACGGCGGGUCUGUUAGUGAGCCCGAAAAAACGAGUAAUCCGGGGUGUGACAUAUAUAGGAUAUAGAAAGAAACAGUAAAUAAAUGAAAGGCGGUGAAUGAUUCACCGUCGACUUUAAAAAAAGGGAGAAAGCGGGAAAGAAAUAGAAGAAAGCGAUGAACGAUUCACCGCCUUUAAAAAAAAUUCUGAUGUGGCGCCGACGUGGCGAAAGAAAGAUUAGUUUUUCAAAUAAAAUUUUGAGAGGGUUAUUUCGUAAAUUUUAAAAUUUUAGAGAAUUAUUUUAUUUUAUAAAAAAGUCCCUUGUAAGUCUAUCACUAUGGCAGUUUCGUCAUCUUAUUAUGGCCUCCGAUAAAUCAAUGAAUAAUUAAUGAAUAUAGCUGUAUGUUUAGAGCUUUUACUGUUUUCAGCUUUGGGUCUAUGAUCGACAUAGUGUAAAGAUAACUCAAACAUACAUUUUGGAUUUCAACUCGUUUUAACGUGGUGGUGAUUUAAAAGUAAAAAACAAUAUCAUCAACCCCGAGGUACAUCCGCAGACCUCGAGCGACUCACCGCAUGUUUAAUGAUUCGGAUAUAAAGUUCACAAUAUUUAAAACGUUGAUUCUUUCAACUGUAAAGAAGAGGAUUUAUUUGAUUUGUUGAAAAAUAAUAUAUGAAAUAGAUAGAUUGUAAGAAAAUAAUAUAUAAAAUGUACAAUUUUUUUUUUAGGGGCAAAUAGAUACUGUACAGUGGCACAAAAUAUAUUUAAUAAAUCAGAUUUUCGGUGCAUGGUUUUAAGAUACGCGCUGCAUGGGGUGUAUAUAUAGCUGCAUCUGCGGCGUAUCAACGUCGUACAAUUUGUUCAGCACAUUACAUCUUUUGGCGGAACUUUCCAACCAGACCGAGGGCGAUAGGUGUCGCACUGGGGAUCGAGCACCACAAGUCGUACGAAGUGCAAGCUGGCAGCCCAACCGAGAGGACCCGUUCCCCUCGCGGCAAAAGCUUGAGAUCGCCUCGAUCCGCGUGCCACAUUUUUCCUACCAAUCUUUCCUUUCCUUUGCUUCCUUUCCUUUGCUUCCUACAGUUAUCAAAUGAGGCAUCAACUACAAAGUCAAAUUGAACUGAUUCUAAAAUUAAAAAUUAAAGAAAGUAAUUUUUGGAAUCCAAAACUUACAAAAAAAUCCAUUUAUUUAGAAGAAUAUUAGAAAUAGAGCAAUCGAGGAAGUGAAGCAAAGAUAUUUCAAACUAUCAUACUACCAUAGGUGUGAGAAAAGUAUCAAAGUAGGAAAUCUAAAAGAUGAUUAUCCAAUCCAAUAGUUUUUGAUGUACACAGGCUGCACAUUAUCAAACAACCCAAAAAUAUCAGCCUUCACAAAAUUAAAACCAAAAAAAUAUCAGUGAAAAGUAGAUCCUGAAUCCAUAUCAGUGAAAAGUAGAUCCUGAAUCAAGGAAAAGGGUGCAUACUGUCAAGUGAGGCAUCAACUACAAAGUCAAAUUGAACUGAUUCUAAACUUAAAAAUUAAAGAAAGUAAUUUUUGGAAUCCAAACUUGCACUAUAAAGAAGCCCAACAUCAGCCUCCACAAAACUAAAAAGUUUAAAAUCACAAAUAAAUCAUGAAAAAGUAUAUAUUCAAGCGAGUUGAAAUUAAAUUGAACUGAUCCCAAACUUGAGAAUUAAAGGAAGAAGUGAGUGGAAUCCAAACCUACACUAUAGAGAAGCCCAACAUCACAGUAUAUUUAUGCAAUAACUUUAUUAAAUUUAAAGGAAGAAGUGGGAGAUUAAAAAGCACUAUAGAACAUAGAAAAUCUAGAAGCCACAAUCUGCAGUAAGCGUAGUCAUCAAAAUACAUAUUUAAAUAGACUAGUGAGUAGCUUUAAACCAAAAUGCAAAUAUGAAAUAAGCGACGCAUAGGAACGAGACGGUUACAAAAAUCAUGCGCGCAUACAUAAUCAUGAGUUACAAAAUGAGCAGUAGCAAGGCUCGAAACUUUUCUUUUGACCUUCAACAAUAAAACUAAGGGAGCCGAUGUGCCAUUGGAUGGAUCGGUUUCUGUAUUUGGUGGAAUAGUGUAACGACCCGACCAGCCAGCAAUAAUAACUCAUUGGGCCCAAACAACCGGUCCAAAAUGCUUAAGCUCAGUUAUUAUGUCUAGCCCAAUCAAGCUUAUAUACUUCCACAUCUAGCCAUAACUACCUGAUGUGGGACUGUUGGGGUGUCACAGACUCCCUUCCGUUUAGGCCCUGACGUUCUCGUCAGCCCUGAACACACACACAAUCCAAGAUCACUAGGCGAUGUGAGACUUGUCUCGCUAGCCUUUGUCAUUCUGGCCUUGACUAAGUCUGUCAAUUACCGACCCUGGCUUAGUCUGUCAUUCUGAUCCUGGCUCAGCCAAGACUCAUCUCACAAUUCCAACUGGUGAACUGGCUCUGAUACCAAAUGUAACACUCCGACCAGCCAACAAUAAUAACUCGUUGGGCCCAAACAACAGGCCUAAAAUGCUUAAGCCCAAUUAUUAUAGCUAGCCCAAUCAAGCUUAUAUACUCCGACAUCUAGCCAUAACUAUCCGAUGUAGGACUAUUGGGGUGUCACAAAUAGGAAUCAGACGGUUAAUCACAGCAUGGCACUCUUCAAUAGCACGACGUAUCUGGACAUGCUCGAUCACGAACUCAUUUAUCUGUGCAAGAGUAGCGACGUAACAAUCCUUCACAAAGUUAUACUCACGAACCAAGUUCAUAUACUGUGCGAACAACAUAGCAUACUUUGUGGCUAGAUGAUUGUAUAAAUUUUUGUAAAAGAUACUAUCAUCAAAAUUUACAUCUCUAACUUGCAAAUCUAAUUCCUCCACCAUCCUCUUAGUAGCAACACGAGCAGCAUCAUGCUCAGCCUCAGCAGAUGUGGAGGAUUGCAACCCCCAACAUCGUACAAUUUCAAUUAUAGAUUCAUUUCGUUCAAUCGGAAGAUCUAUAUAUGCCAGGUAAGUCCCCUCUGCAGCGGGAGCAACAACACACUGUGAUGUUUCCAUAUGCAGCUUCUCACAAAUCUCACGGAACAAUCGAAGGUAAGAAAGCUGAACCGUCGACAUAGUAGUAGCUGCAAAAGAAGAAGGCCGAGGAAAAAAGAAAGGGAAAAGGGAGGUAAAAGAGAAGUUAGUUGUAAAAAAAUACCAGGUCUUAAAAAAUAGGGUAAGACAGUUGUUAAAGCUAAAACGCAACAGCAAUUGCAAAAGUAAAUAGUAAAGAAUUAGCAGAGCAAGAAUAGUUGCAAGGAAGACAAAAUAAUAGAGAGCUUAAAAAGUAAUAAAGUAAAAAGCUAAAGGAUUCAUCUUACUUAAAGAAGAACUUUGACAGUAAUAAAGUAAAAAGGGAAAAAGAUUUAGCUUAGGUAAUAAAAGAAGUUUUAAAAAUAUUGAGAAAGUACUGCUGAAAAAAUGCUAUAUAAUGAAACCUUCACAAUAGAGGGUAAGACAGAAUAGUUGGAAAGAAGCCUAAGUAAUAGAGAGCUUAAAAAGUACUAAAGUAAAAAGGAAAAAUGAUUCAGCUUACUUAAAGAAGAAUUUAAAAAGUAGCAAAGUAAAAAAGAAAAAGGAUCGGCCUACGUAAUAAAUGGAGUUUUAAAAAUAUUGAGAAAGACUGCUGAAAAAAUGCUAUGUAAAGAAACCAGGAGAAAGUAUUUGAAAUGAAAGUAAGAAAGUAACCAGAAGAAAAUAUUUGAAAUGAAAGCAAGGCAAAGGCAAGGAAAUCUGCAAGGCUCAGGUAAGGUAGGCAAGUACUUUAAUCCAACAGGAUUGAAGAACCCUCAAGGCAAACAACAGAAUAUUCAUAAUUGAUCUAUCAGUAUUGAAAAGAGGCAUGCAACCCAUCAGCGAAAGAAGAACCCCCAAGGCAAAUAAUCUGAAAAUAGGAAGUGGCUGCCUAUGUUAAGGCCGUCCAAACUUCUAUUUGUUCAUGCCUGCUUUUCGUAACUUUUAGUAUUUUGCAUUCUUUGUGCCUGACUUUCAUCAUUGCCUAGCAGAUGAAAAUAGAAAGUGGUUGCCUGUAAUAAGGCUGUCCAAACUUUUAUUUAGUAUAAGACACCACUUUCUAGCACACGGGCAAGGAAGAAAAUAGAAGGAGUAGGAGCAAAAACCAAAAAGCUAAAAGUCAGUGCAAGUUCGAAAAGACAAUAAAUCGAAACUCAUAAUACGAAAUACAGAAAGAAAGUUGGGCAAAGCCGGCCUUUAAAAAAUCAGUAAAGAUGGCCCAUGAAGAACAGAAAACUUUAUAGCCAUGGUUUUUAGAAAUGAAUAAACCUUUCUACAGAUAGAUAAGAGGAAACCACACUGGCAGUACUCUAUUUCUGUCUUUAUCUAGACAACAUUUAUCUACUACAGAAAUUAAAAGGAGAGGAGAAGCAACCCAAGAACAACCUCUGUGAGUAUGCAGUAAAGUACAAACUAAUGAAGGGGCCUGCAAAACAGCACAACUAUUAUUAGUUAUUAUUAGCAGAAUAAAGAGAGAGUAAUUACACAAGUAAUUAAUGUUUUGAAGUCAGGAAUAUACCUUCUUGUCUUGGAUUGAGGAGUACAAUGUCGCAUGCAGUAAGUAACAAAUGUGUUCAGACCCACAGACCCAUAGGAGUGAAGAGGGUGUGAGUGGUAAGAAUAAUGAUGUAGAAGAUCUUUCUUCAAAAGAAAGAAUCUAUGCAAUCUUUUAAAACUGUAACCAGAUUCAAAACUCUAACCAGAUCUGUAAAAAAAAUAAAAUAAAUAUAAGCAGAUUUGCAAGAACUUCUCAAAAUCAUAGAGGCUAGGUUUAGAUAUAGGAGCAUCUAUAUCGAUGAGGAUUCACUGUAAGAUAGAAGAAAAGCAGCGCAGGGACAAAAAGAAGGGAGAAAAGGGAAAAAUGUAUAAAAUCCAUUCAAAAUCUAAAAGGAGAAGAAAUGAAUAAAAAUGUAUAUAAAAUCCAGUAAAAAUUAGAUAUAAUCCAUUUAAAAAUGCAUAUAAAAUCCAAUAAAAAUAUAAAAGAAGAAGCAAUGAGUAAAAAUUUGUUGGAACUCUCAUAGAUCUAAGGGCAAGAUGUAUAUAAAAAUCCUAAAAAUAUAAAAUAAACCCUCAAAGCUCUAAAAAUAGCCAGGUAGGUUGCUCAUCACCCGCGGUCGAAUGGAGCGGCGAAGCGAUCCAGAGAGGCAUCGGAGUUGGGGACUAUGAAGGAGUGCCAGGAUAGGUCGAUCCAAUCAACCGGGGGAGCGAAGAGAGAGGCCUCGAAAGAGGUGUACAGAGAGAAGUAUGGGCACCAUAGAGAGAAGAGAGAGAGAGGGGAUAGGGCAGUAAUCAGAGAAGAGAGGCAGGAAGAGGAGAGACUGAGAGAGAGAUAGAGGAUAGGGCAGGCAUCAGGAAAGAGAGGCAGGGAGAGAAGAGACGCCUCGAAAGAGGCGUAUACCGAGGAGAGAGAGCGCGAGAGAGAGAGAGGAUAGGGCAGUCAUUAGAAAAGAGAGGCAGGGUGAGUUGAGAGCGAGAGAGAGAUAGAGAAUAGGGUAGGCAUAAGAAAGAAAGGCAGGGAGAGGAAAGACGCCUUGAAAGAGGCGUAUACCGAGAAUAUAGAGCAAGAGAGAGAGAUAGGGAAGCAGAGAGAGACAUAUAGAUAGCGCCUAAAAGAAAAGGAAAAAAGGUUUAUACGACGUGGAGGUGGGAAAAGCCACCACGUAUACUGAGGAAACCGUCAAAUUAUGAAGUUGUAUGGAUACUUUUUUUUAUAUAUUUAUAAUUUUUCAAACAUUUUAUUUUUAUAAUUAUUUUUUCUUACUAUUCAAUCAACCAUUUAUUUAACCUUAUAAAACCACUAUCAUUCAAAUUAUAUAUUAUACAUUUCUUCACUCAACGGUAGAAAACUUAUGAUUAUAAAAAAAAAUAUUAAUUCUAACUAAAUUUUUAAUAUAAUAUAUUUUAAAAUAUACUAAAAAAUAAUUAUUUUCAGUUCGGAUUCUAAAUUCUUUGAUCAAAUUUGAUUUAAGUUAGAAAUUUUCAAAAUUGGAAUUUAGGUUCCAGAUUGGAUUGUCAGUUUGGGUGUGGAUUUUUUAAAAACUCACCCAUCCGAAUCCGACCGUUUGACUUCCCUAACUUAGUUACUUUUUUUUUUUUUAAUACAAAUUUAAUUUUUUAAAAACAAACGAAUAAAUACUAUCUUUUUAUUAAAAAAAAAAAAAAAUCCUCGGUCCAGCUCAACCACUCCCAUUCGCUUCUUCUUCCUCGACUCCAACGCCUCCACAACUUCAUCUCCCUCCCCCCGCCCCUGCAGUCUGUCAUCGCAUCUCCUUUUCUAAUUACAAAGAAGAUGCUGAUGCUGAUAGACUGCUCCCGCUGCCGCACGCCGCUGCAGCUGCCGGCGGGGGCGCGCUGCCUGCGCUGCGUCGUCUGCGGCGCCGUCACCUACGUCGCCGCCGCCGCGGCCGACGGCCCCCCUCCCCCGCCAUCGCCCUCCCCUGAUCGUUCCAAUAAUUAUGGCUUCGGCGCCACCGCCCCUCCGUGGGGGCCUUCGCAGCCCCCGCCCAGCCCCCACGGGCGGAAGAGGGCAGUGAUCUGCGGCAUCGCCUACCGGAACACCCGGAACGAGCUCAGGGGCUCCAUCACCGACGCCGCCUACAUGAAGCACCUCCUCGUCAACCGCUUCAAGUUCCCCGAACCCUCUAUCGUCGUGCUCACGGGUACGCACUUGCUGAAAUUACAGCUCUAAUUUGAUUCUCUUAUGGUGAUGAUGAUGAUGAUGAUGAUGAUUGUGUUGGGGCGAGAGGUUGUUAAAGGAACUUUUAAAUUGUAAUGACUCAGCCCGCUAGUAUUAACACGGACUCAAAAUGUUUAAGCCCACUAGUUGAUAAUGGAAUGCUAGGCCCAAUUAGGGCCGGCAAUCCUGCUUGCUGCUCGCGAGCCAAUUCGUAUUCGGCUCAAAAUGAGCUCGAGAUUGAUCGAUCGUUUAACAACCGACCCGAACACGAUGAAUUUUUCAGCUUGAAAUAUUAACGAGCCGAACACGAGUGCGUCAAUUCACUCAUGUUCAACUCGAUAUAGCUCAAAUCGAUGAUGGAACAUCCGAUUCGACGAUCGGUUUUGUUAGACAAGAUCUGCAGUGUUAGAACUUUUUAGAAACCAAAUUUUGUAAUUUUUUAACUUCGUAUCCUUAAAAUGAACGGCUGGAAAUAAAAAUCUCAUAAAAAAUAAUGAUAACAGACUCAAAUUUUAAACUAGUAGUAUUGAUCUUGCUUUUGAUGUUAAAUAGAAUUUUCUAUUAAAGUUUAUGUAAUUUGGAUUCUUUUACACUGUUGAACUUACAAACGUGCCACAUCGACCGUUAAAAUAGUCAUUUUCAAGACCCUUUGAUCACUUGGUAAAUGAUGUUGAAAAAUUAUGAAAUUUGGUUUCUAAAAUCUAAAUAGUUUUAAUAGCGUAGAUCAUCUCUAACGAAGCCGAUUGUCGAAUUGGAUGUGCUAUUAUCGAAAACAACUUACAAGCAAAAUGACCUCUAUCCUUUAGAAAGCACAAGAGACGUACUCUCUCUCUAUAUAUAUUACAAAUUUCUACUAUUUGGAUUUUAGGUCAACCCAAAUGUAAAUAGACCUAUAUUUUGUGAAUUUUAAAUAUUAGAUUAAGAUUCUAAUUUUUUAAUUCUCUUUAAAAUUUUCAUUUAGUAGCAAGGCUAAUAAUUUAACUUGUUGUUCGCCAGCCUGUUCAGCUCAUUAAUAAACAAGCCGAACACGAGAUAAAUUUUUUAGCUCGAUAUUUUAACGAGCCAGCUCGUGUUCGGCUUGUUAAAUAUAUAAACAAACACUAGACGACUCCAACUCGCUCGUGUUGGGCACGUCGAUAGCCCUAGGCCCAAUCACGAUGUGAGACCUAGCUCACAUUUUUGGCUAGCAAGCUGGCUCUGGUACCACCAAAAUAAUUACCCAGCCUGCUAGUACUAGCAACUUGUUGGGAAGCCUACUUAUUUAUACUAGAGUGCUUUGCAUAUAUACUCCCAUAUUGAGCCUCUUCCCCAUCUAAUAUGAAACUCUUGCUAUGUCAUGCGAUUACUCUAAAGGCUUAAGCUUCCCUAUCCGAUUGGAUUUGAAUUCAGGAUCCGAUUCUUUAAUACAGUGCGAAAGAGCCUACUAUUCUAAAAGUUUAAACAGUUAUAGAACGGCAUUUUUAAUCAUUUAUAUUCAAUAGUUACACUGAACUUUAGGGACUUUCAUUUUCUACACUUUUUUUCUGAAGUUCUUCACAAAUCUUGCAUUAUAUAUGCCAAUCCCUUAAUUUGUUAAUGAAUGAUAGCUGACGUUGGGCACAGUUAUUGUAGUUGGAACCUAUCUACUUUUCUUAGUUAAUUCUUCUCUUAAAUGCAAUAGUUGUCUCUUUUUUUAAAAAAAAAGGAAAUCAAAUGUUGAGUGAAUUGUCUAUUCUCGGAUGCCAUUCAUUUGAGAAGUUAACAGAAUCUCUAAACUUAAUUAAGAAAACUCUUAGAUAUUUAACUCCUGAAAUCAAUCUUACUCAAUCUUCCUAAUUUUCUCCGGAGACUUGGGCUUCUAUGUCUUCAACAUAGUUUGAUUUUCUCCUUCUUGAACUUUGUCACCUUCGUAGAAAACUUCUUGAAUUUUUGCUAGUGUUUUCCCCGCUUCUCGUGUUGUUUUUGCUGUUAAAAUAUUCUCAACCAAUGACAAAUUCACUAUUUGGUAAAUAUAUGGUAAAACUUCUGUCUCUUUCUCUAAAUUUUUCUUUACCAAAUUCUUUCUCAUAAUUUCUAUUCUCUACCACAUCCGACAAAUUUUGGGAUUCUAAAAUACAUUGAACGAUGAUUUUCCAUCGCUUAAUGUUCGUUCCAUUGAACUUUGAUAAGCCAUGUUGAAGAAACCAAUCCAAAUCCAUAAUAGAACUCAAAAAUCCAAAAAGAAUUUUAGAUUCGUACCUUUUUAAUAAGAUGACAUUCUUACUGUAUCGAGAUCUAGCCGAGUUUUCACUUUUCCGUACUUCGACUUGCUUGCCGAGCCCCCUUAGUUAUCUGGUCAAGUCUUCUUUUAUCUCUUCAUAGGCUCUUCUUGCUCUCUUUUCAUCAAGCGUCACAACCACCUACUUUUGUGUUGUUUGUAGGCCGCCUUCUUCGAGGUUGUGUGUUGUUUAGAGGCCGACUUCGUCGAGCGAUUAUUUUAGUUGCUUUCACUUGAACGUCGCCCUCACAAUCUGCUAUGAGUCGUCUAGCUUUGACAUAACUAUUUGGCACUUUGGUUCUAUCUAGCUCUUUUCAGCUUUGUUGUCAUCUGACUUUGAUGUCGUUCAACACUAUACUAUUCUUUCCAUCUCUGAUACCAAUUGUUGAAAUCGGUACUUGCGUUGUUACCGAUUUUAUAAUCCAGGAUCUAAAAUACUAAAAUAGAAUAAUAUGGAAAAGAGACAUUGGAGAAGGAAGAUAAAUAAACUAAUACUUACAUAUUGAGGGACCCUAAUAAAUCUCAACUACUGCUUGGCCCUGGCUUCAUUAAGCCGUCAACUUACCUGGCUCAUAUCUCGGCCGUGAGUUUCUAAUCCACAGGUCCAUACAUAUAUAUAGGCCUCAACAAAGUAUCAAUCCCGAUCUAAAUUCAACUUCAAAUCGUAAUAACAAUCAAAUAAUUGAGCAUUAAACUUAUCUCUAAUUAUACAUUGGAAUUAAAUUUGGAUCAUUAUUCCAACAUGAUGAUCAGAGAAUUUGAGAUAUUUCAAUGGGAACUUCUUCAGCAUUUUCUUUCAACUCUGAACGGAGUUAUCUCUAAAAUGAGAGUGUAGCAGUUUUGGGUGGGUAAGUACGCAGAACUAUUGGAAAGCUCCUUUUCUUUUUGAUUUUGAAUUUAAACCAUAAUAAACUGGUCUGGACGUUUAUUAGUUUAAUAGAAGCCUGGAGCCCUAUUAUCAUACCAUAGAUUUUCUCUUUAGAAAACUAAAUCUUUUGUUUGGAUAUAUAGGCCAUGAAAAUCUCAAUGUCCAUGCAAGUUAAGCUACUUAGAUGGCCCUUUUUGUUUCUGCCGUCAUCAACUCUGAUUUUCAAUUUUCACAAUGAAACCGAACAAGUUUUAUAUACAACCUGGUCUGAAAUUUUUGGAUCUUGACUAAGAACAUUUUUGAUGGUGAGCCUAAAUGCUUAUGACUCUAGCUAUAAGCAGCUCUAACUAAUCGUAUUUUGAUUUUGCAGAUGACCAAACUGAUCCAUAUAGAAUACCAACCAAACAUAAUAUAAGGAUGGCAAUGUAUUGGCUCGUGCAAGGAUGCCAACCAGGAGACUCUUUGGUAUUCCACUACUCUGGUCAUGGUUCACAGCAGAGAAACUAUACCGGCGAUGAGAUUGAUGGUUUUGAUGAGACCCUUUGUCCGUUGGACUUUCAAACACAAGGAAUGAUUGUUGACGAUGAGAUCAACGCGACCAUCGUCAGACCGCUUCCUAGUGGGGUUAAGCUUCAUGCUUUUGUUGAUGCUUGCCACAGUGGCACUGUGCUGGAUUUACCUUUCCUUUGCAGAAUGAAUAGGUCAGUUUUUUUUUUUUUUUUUCUUUUUUUUUUAAGCAGCUUCUAUUCUAGUAGUUAUUUGCUUGUGACACAGUCUUCGUGUGCUUAGAGCUUCUUGUUCAAGAAUUUAAGGUGCCUAUCGGCACGGGCCCUGCCCAACAUGCUGUUCCGUAUCGACAAGAUAUCGGCACAAUACAACCAUCAUGCCAAUGACACAGCUCAAAAUCUUCUUUUAUUUGAAAUUAGUGAAUAGUUAUAUCAAUAGAAUGCAAAAGAUUUAAUAAAAAUAUGUAAUAAGCAAUUAGACUAUAUCGUUGCUGAAGAAAAUAAGUAUUUUAAGCCAUAGUGUGUCAACAUAUAGGUACUUUUUCAAGCGUCAAAUAUCGGUAUGGCAGGGAUGCACCGUGCCAUUCCGUGCGUCUGUGCUAGCAGUUCUUGGCAUGACUCCAUGCCACUCCAUAAAUCCUUGCUUUUGUUGUUUACAAGGCUAAACUUCAAAAUCGGCACUGUGGUAUAGUGCAUUUUCGCGUUGGUGCACUAUGGAUUCUUUUCUAUCACAUAGGUGCCCUGAGUUUGGUAUUGAAAUUAUUCCUCAAGGACCUUUUUUCUAGCCCUGUUGGUAUUUGUGUGUGUUUCCAGUUCAAAUCGUUGUUGGCUCGGUUUUUUUAAGUCUAAACUCAACCGAGAACCCGAAUGCAAGCCCAUCUUAUAAGGGGUUUCUGAUUAAGUUUGAAUCAGAACACGACCUAAGCCCUGACCUAACACGACCCAACCUGUUUAUAUAUAUAUAUAUAUAUAUAUAUAUAUAUAUAUAUAUAUCCGAUCCCAACUAAAAACUUUUGAAGCUCUAAAUCGGGCACCUAAAUUAUACAGAGGAAAUCAAAGGAUGCUGACAUAUUCAUGGGCUAUACUAUUGGAUCAUUUUCUGAAGUUAAUGCUCGUUAUAAACAGAUCCUCCACUUAUAAAGAAUUGUCUAAGAAAGUUUAUAAGUAUUUAAAUUACAGUUUUCAGUUCACUAAAUGUGAACAACUAGCCAAAUGUAAUCAUCAACUUUUUUCUAUUGUUGACUAUGCAGCUGCAAUCUUAACACUCACCUCAAGAUAAAACUUAUCAAUAUGUAUUGUUUAUAUCAAGAAUUUCCACCAUUAGAAUUGCAUUUGAGAUGGUGAAUGAUGUAGAUGAAUUUAAUUUGUUUGGUACUUAUGUAGUAGAGGAGGCUAAUUGUCUUUUUGGUCAAAUAAACUUGAGUUCGGAUAUGUCCAUUUCAUUAAUCCAAAUGCCAUUAGUUUAUGUAUACAGUGGGAACUCCUUGUCAAUUGGGCUUGGAAACAGUUCGUUCGACGCUCAAAAUUGUUUACUUAAAGGGGCCAACAUCCUGCCCUGUGGUGGGAGGCUAGGUUGGGCCAAGUCACGUUCGAAAUGGCGGGAAGUCGAGUUGGGCCGGAUCAUGUUCAAAGUGGUGCGAUGUUGGUUGGGUCGAGACACAAUCGAGACCUGUAGGCGCUGUAUCUAUACGUUUAAGUGAAUUAGUUGUGUUUUUCUAACAGCUCGAGCUUUUGGGCUUAAUGGCUAACGCCAACGAUCAGACAAAAAUGUCAUAGAAGCUCUUUACUUGGAAGUUCUAACUAUCUUCACUAACAAACUUAGAAAAUUAGGCCUUGUUUGGUUACACUUCUCUUUUCCUUUUAAUUUUUAAUCACAAAUUCUGUGGGAUAGAGUUUUCCGAUGUUUGAUGACGUUUUGGUUCUCGUUUCUGUUGGUUAGCAUGCAAACUCAUCUUCUUAAGAAAAAGAAACGAGAAUGUUGCUACUAAAAUUUUCACUUUGUUGUUCGUACGUAGUCAUAACAAUUGUGAUAUGCCAGCAUACACCAUAGCAUAAAAUUGAGUUUCAAACAUUCUUCCUUUGUGUCAACAUUCAGCAUUCCGAUAAACUUCUUCCUUCUUUGCCGAUUUAUCAACAUCGAAGUGCAGUUAUAAGGUCAAACUUUUCGCGCUUUUGCUUGGUUGAGAAGCAUUUUGUUAGUUAUGAGAUUUGUAGAUGUUGAUAUGUUAUCAUUCUUGAUUUUUUCAGAGAGCUAGUAAGUUUAUGUUAUCCAUACUGAUGUAGGAGCGGCCAAUAUGUAUGGGAGGACCAUCGGCCCCGUUCUGGAACCUGGAAAGGUACCAGCGGCGGAGAAGUGAUCUCCUUUAGUGGUUGUGCUGACAAUCAAACCUCUGCUGAUACCUCAGUAAGUCUGUUACUCCUGAAUUCAGUUUAGGACAGCUUAUUAGUUGACUAUUAAGAAAAUCUUGAUUUGACAGCAGGUUGGCGAGUUUUCAACGAAUGGAGAUUAAUAAACCAGACAUGAAGUGUCGUUUGUCAUUCGUGUGAUGGUUUAAAUUGCAUUCUCAUAUCUUCUGCUUAGUGGUAGCAGCCGGCCAAGCUGUUGAAUUUCUUCUAGCUUUGAUGAAUAACAACUCUUUCAAACGACAAGAAACUAUGCUAGUUUGAGAAUUUGGUAAAAUGAAAAUUGAUAUUCCUACAGCAGAUCCAAGUUGAACUGAAAUGUCUUAUGACAUGAUGAAACAAUAACUAUAACCAAUGAGCGAUUUCGAAAAUCCCUGUUGUUUGUUGAGUGUUGAUGUUGUCUCUGAGAAAUUUAAGCUAAAGCUCGAGAAACUUUUCAUGCGAAGUGGGAGAAGUUUUUGUCAAUUUGUUCAUGGCUUUCUACACUAGAAGAUGUAAUCUAUGAUUCUAACGAUUUACGUCAACCUGGACUCAUUCAUUGUUGUUGUUAUCUCUCUCUAUUUUUGUCGCAAAUAUUUCUUCACGAAAACCUUUGCAAUCACUAAUUGAAGUACAUGGCAUAUGAACCGGCAGGCAUUUUCGAGGGUCACCGCAUCAGGUGCCAUGACCUAUUGCUUUAUUCUGGCGAUUGAGAAGGGUCACGGCACCACAUACGGAAGCAUACUAAACUACAUUCGAUCGACCAUCAGAAGCACUGGAGAUGCCAUCAGCGGAGGCCCCAUAACGACUCUUCUCUCCAUGUUGUUAACCGGAGGUAGUCCACUUGGAGGACUGAGGCAGGUAAUUUUCUCUUCUUAUCUUGUUUAAUGCACUCUUUUGUUCAAAUUAAACAUUUUACUCGAUCGGGCCGACACUGCAAUAAACUGUAAUGGAGAGUUUCAGAAUAAUGCUACAUUAUGAAUGCAUUUCGGCACAUUUCGUUUUGGUUUGCAGGAGCCACAGUUGACGUCCAACGAACCCUUCGACGUUUACAUGAAGCCAUUCUCUCUAUGAAUUGCAUUCAGAUGAUCUUCCACAUUAGUUUCAUGGACAGAUGUAAGUAUACUUGUGUUUCAGUGAUUCAUUAUUUAUGCAACGAUUUUAGUUUCGUACAUAACAUAGUGAAAGAUUGGGUAAAGCCGUUAAGGCCCUUUCUAGGGUUCCCAUUGAAUAUAUAAUGAAUACAAUUACAGAAAACACCUUAUAGUACAGAUUGUGUUCAAGGUGUUGAAUAUUAUUUAUUACUAUUAUGAAAGCACAGUUGGGAUUCCCCCUCUUAUUUUUUGACAAUCUCUUUUAUAUCUUUUGCUGUAUAACCUAUUUUUAAGUAGCCAAUAUUAUAAAAUUAAAAUUUUAAUUUAGUGUAUGCAAUCUAAACCAUAUAGAAAGGCUAUAUGCAAAGAAUUACAGAAUUUGAAUUUUUAUAAUGAGGUUUUAAAAAUAUAGUGCAUAAAAAUUAGUUUUACACCCGGUUUAUUUAGCUUUUUUUUUUUUUUAUUUUUGUUAUGCUUUUACUAUUUCUUCUUUCUUAGCUUAUUUUAUUUAUUUGUUUAUAUGGAAUCGACACACAGCAACACGCUUGAAUGCCUUCGCUAGUUAUUAUUAUAGCAUUAAAACACAGUUCUCUAGCAGCUAAAAUUUUAAAGAUAAAUGAUUGUUUCAUAUUAUUUUAUACAGUAUCUGAGCGGUUUGGCGUAGAUUCUUAUCGAAGCUAAAUGAUUAGACCCUGCUUGGUAUUGUACCUUUUGAAGUGGAUCUUCUUUGAAAAAUGCAAAGAAUCAGAAAAAGAGUCAUUAAAUUGAGGAAUUUGGGAUCUGCAAGUACACCCCAUGUUACCACAAGCGCACAAACAAAAAUUAAAAAAGAAAAAGUGAUCUCAAAGUAGACAAAUCAGAAACAAUAAAAAAAAAAUAGGACACAGAUUUAUGUGAAAAAAAUUUUGCAGGAAAAAAAAAAUUAUGGAUGAAAGAGGAAAGAACUUCACUAUUGGAUCGUUUGAUUGUAUAUAGUUGUAAUUGUACUACAGUGGUAACUGCAUGCAAAUAUAAAUUCGGCGUUUGGUUUGAUAUCUUUAACUAUAACUGUUUCAGUAGAAACCAUAGGAGGAGGCCGAACUAUAUCAGUUGGGACUGCGCUCAAAUUAACCGCAGUUCCAAUUGCAACAGUUGAAGAGAGUAAUUUAAAUAAAAGAUAAGCUUACUUCUCUAAUUAUUUUUUAAAUAAAAAAAAAUAUUAUUUAUAUUGGAGGUAAUCUCACCAUUAUAUGUAUAAAAUAAUAAAAUUUUAAAAAUUAUUUCUCAAGUGCAUGUAAUCAAACAGAUUAUUUGUAGUUGGAGCACUUUUUGCUACAUUCAACUAAAUAAAAUGCAUAUACUUGCAAUUGUUGCAUUUUCAACUGUAUGCAUUUUCAAUUAUACUGUAUUUAUAAUUACAUCUAACUAAGUCCCAAUACAGAAGAGAGAGUAUGUACAAUACUGUGAAAAAGUACUAUUCACUGUAUCGAGCCUCUAAGAUAAAAAGGAAAAAAAAAGUUUCUUAACGGAUAUUUUCAAUAUCGGAUCCAAGUGCAGCAUCUUCCCAAUGUGCAAAUGGGGAAUUCGAAAACUUGUGCAAUUUGAGUUUACAUUAAUUACAUUUAAUUUUUAUUUUUUCAGUUGUAGGCCCUUUAUUCUGUAUUCCGACAAAAAUUGAAAUUGCUUGGGGAUGAAAUUUCAAAUUGUCAAUUUGAGACUGUGGGAUCCAUGGAAAAUCUAAUACACAUUUAAAAUAAAAAACAAAAAAAAUAAUUAAAAGUUAAAAUAGUUAUUUAGAUAAUUUUUAGUUUCUGCAUUUAAUGUCAGUUUUCAAAAUCUUAAAUUUAACAUUUUUGAAAUUCUUAUUUAUAUUAUUUUGGAUUUUAUUUAUAAUACUUGAAAACCCACCAAGGAUUGUCUAAACUCUUGAUGGGAUUAUCUGAAAAACUAUUUUAAUUUGAAAUUAAAAAUUUAUUUUUUUUAAUAUGUAUUAGAUUUUUUUUUAAAUUAAUUAGCACGUCCAAAAAGUUCGAACCUUUUAAGUGCUGAAGAGAGGCUGACAUCAAUAUCCGUUCUGAUUAAGUAGGGCGUCUCGAGAUGUGAGAUCCGACGCUCACAUAGCGGUAGAUUCUACGGUCUCAAAUGGAUAGUUUAGGGUCUAUAUCGUUCUAUUUAACCUGUAAUUAAGAGCUCAAGUACUAAAUUUACGCAUACGCAGAGACUCGAAGCUGUGUUGUAUAAUACGAUAUUAAAGUGUCAAAUGAAUUUAAUAUAAUAUUAAGAGCUUCAUAACUCAGUUUUAUCUUUCACUUGCAUUCCUUUUUGAAACUCAAAUUAUUUUUUAAAUUAAUUAUCUACUAAUCAUAAGUUUUGUUGCUUAGCUAACUAGUCAUUAGUACUAGAAUUCCCUUAUAUACUCAUCCGCAAUCUUUUUCUCACCCAAUAUUUAUAGGACUAUAUCGUUUUAUCACAAUUACAUACAGUAUUAAGCAUCUGCUUUCAUGCUCUGAAAAGCUUAAAUAUAUAAAAGUGCUUUAAAUCUUCUAUUAAUACUGUAAAAUGGUAGUAGGAGUAUGAGUACAAAGAUCUUCAUUCUCGAGGAAGCUUAAUUACAGUAACUCUACUCUUGCAUAUAGUGUCUACAAAUAAAGAAACGAUAGUUAUUUCGUAUUAUUUCACAUAGUAUCAUAGCAGAAGGUUCUGAUCGAAUUCGAAUUCCGCCAAAUUUCUAGCAUUAAUUAUUUAAUUCCAUAUCUUUGAUUUAUUAAAAACUUUCGAGCUCAGACGUAAGAAAGUAUGUUGAAUAUAAAAUAGAUAAAUGUUAAUUGUUCUCUGAUAGCUUAAGCUAUUGGUAGAUAAACAGUUGUUUUUAUAUAAUUUCACAUUAAUUCCUUAUGAAUAGGAAGAUAUUAAUGGCCAAACUUUUCAAUAAAUAAAAUCACAAAAUUUGACCAUAAUUUCGGUGGCCUAAAUGAUCUCAAAAUACCUUGGAACUCUUUAUUAGACUUAGCCAACUAGUCCUUAAUACUAGAAUGUUCUUUAUAUACUCAUACACAAUCUUUUUUUCUAAUCCAAUAUAAGCAUAUUGGGUUAUCACAAUUAUGUACAGUGUCAAAUUAAGCACCCGCUUUCAUGUUCGGAAAAGCUCGUAAAUAUAAAAGCGCUUUAAAUCUUCCAUUAACACUAUAAAAUAGUAGGAGUAUAUGAGUACAAAGUGUCUGAUCGUUGACGCUAACCAUUAAUCUCCAAAAACUCGAGCUAUUAAAAAUACGCAACUAAUUUACUUAAAGUGUACUAGAUACAGCAUCCUCGGAUUUCGAUUGUGACUCAACCCAAUUAGCUCCACGCUUCUUUGAACAUGAUUCGGCUUGAUCCGAUCUCCCGCUAUUUUGAACGUGACUGGGUCCCACCUGGCCUCCUGACACAGUGUACGAUGCUGGUUUCUUUAAGCCAACACAGAGAUCUUUAUUCUUGUGAAAGCUAAGUACAGCAACUUUACUCUUAUAUAUGAUGUCUACAGAUUAAGAAACAGCAGCAUGGAAAUGGGGCAUGCUUGGGCUCCACGCCUCUUAGCAAAAGACUAGAAGAGCAGUUGCAUACUAUAUAUGAAUGGGGUGAUCAGUGCAUCAGAAAAACUGACUCAUAAACUGACUCAAACUGCUGCAAAAACCUCCAUAUAAAUAGGCAAAGAUUGUGUGGUCCUCAUGUAAAUGCCAUAUAUAUGUACUACAAAGGGUGAAACUGUGUGGACACCCCCCAACUAUAGAACAUUUAGAAAUGGGCCCUUGACCAUUUCUUUUUCUUUUCUAUAAAGAUAUUUGUGGGCCACGCGCGGACGCUCGUCAAUGUUUGGAAUUUGGAUUGAUUUGUAUUUGCAUUUUACACUGUAGUUUGAAAUGCAGCAAACUAAUAUGUAGGCCCUUAAUUAGAGCAGUAUUCGUACUCGAGAUUUAACAUUCAAGGUCAAGGAUAUUGACCAACUAUUAUACUCUGUAUAGUAGUGACAAUAGGCCCUCUAACAUUUUUUUGGUUUUGAGACUCUUGUUUUUAGCCCUUUGAUAUAAGGUACAAAUUAGUAAUACACCUUUAUUAACUCCAAAUUCUUUUAGAAUAAUAAUGUAAAAUAACUGUUUGUCUCUGAUUAAAAGAAGGGAGAGUGAUGUUUUUAAUAUUUUGUAUUCAACACUUUCUGCUCACGUCUUAGUUCAAUAUUUUUGAAUAGACUCAAGCCAUGAAAUUGAAUUAAGUCUAAAAAAAUUAAAACUGGUUAAGCUCAGAGCCUGACGGGAUUCAAACUCACAAAGAUUAUAUGAAAAAACAAAUUACCUUAAAAACUUAAUCUAUUAGAGAAAACUAGUCUUUGAAUAUAUAUAUUUGUUUGCCCUGCACAUUUUCACCAUGAGGAGAGAGCCAACCCCACAAGUUUCAUAAGCUAGCUGAGAUGCAUCACAAAAGUGACAGCUUUGCCAUCUUCUACCAGUAGUUAAUGAAGAAGAAAGAAAGGAAGGGUGACAAAGGCUCACAUUUUUAAAGUAUUUUUUUCAAAAGAAAAGGAAAGCCACCAUUCCAGUUAUUUGCAGGAACGAGGGUGGAUAUACUUUUAUAUAUUUUGAUAUAUAUAUGUAUAUAUUAAUAUAUAUAUAUAUAAUAUAUAUAUAUCAUAAAUGGGGACGGUGAAGUAUGGUCAAAGAGAAGUUUCAAAUGAGAAGUUAAACUAUAUAUGACAAGAUAGCCAUAGAGAGAGAGAGAGAGAGAGAGAGAGUGAGGGGAUGUUGCAUGCUAGUAUAUGUGAAGAGGUAUAGCAUAAACAUGUGUGCACUUGUUUCAUUGAUAUCUUUGUGUAAUCUCUUGGGAUCUCCUGUGAGAACGACAGUAGAAGACACAUGCAUGAUUACACCAAAGAAACUUGUAGUUUUUGUACCAACCCUUUAUUAGAGUAGAGCUGCUCCUCCAUAGGAUCUCUCUGGCCUAUAUAAGUUACUAGUUAGGCAAUCUCUUCCCUAGAGAGAGAGAGAGAGAGAGAGAGAGAGAGAGAGGAUAGUGUAGCUAUCAGAUGAACUAAAGAAUUAUCUCAUACAAAGAAAAUUUUCUACGCAUGGAGAUGUAGAGAAUCUGUGGUUGGGGAAGGAGGAGCAAAAAGGAAACAAAAAUGUUAUGAACUUCUUUAGAAAAUCAAGAAAAGAUUAAGAAAAAAAAAAACAAUUACAAACAAAAAGGUUGCCUGUGGAUGGUGUUCAAAGAAAAAAAAAAGGGAAAAGUUCAAAAAAAAUCUCUAUGUUACGCAUUUGCAGUUUACUAUCAUAUAACUCAAAGUAUCUCAUUUGACUAUAUAUAUAUAUAUAUAUAUAUAUAUAGAGUGAGGCUACUAUGCUAUCGGAAGCACGGAGCCAUCCGUGCUUCCACUUUAUUUUCGAUGUUCGGACUUUCGAAUCGUCGAUCGGCUUCGUUAGACUUGAUCUAGAGUAUUUGAAGUACCUAGAAAAUAAAUUUUAUGAUUUUUCGAUAUUAUUUGCCUAGUGAACGAAGGGGCUCAAAAUCAACGGCUGAAAAUAAAAAUCUUACAAAAUUUAAUAAUAUGACAUUAAAAUUUUAAAUCAAAUAUAUUGAUCUUGUUUUAUAUAGUAUAAAGAAUUUUCUAUCAAAAUUUCACGUGAUUUGGAUAUUUCUACACCGUUAAACUUGCAACCGGCUCACUACGGCAUUGAAAUUUGUUGAUUUUGAGCACAUCGAUCACUAGGCAAAUGAUAUCGAAAAAUAAUAAAAUUUAUUUUCUAGAUACUCCAAAUACUCUAGAUCAAGUUUUAACAGGAGCGGAUCGACAUUCGAAGUCGCAACAUCGAAAACGAGGCUGGAAGCACGGAAGGCUCCGUGGCUUCCGAUAGCAUAGUAGCCUGACUCUAUAUAUAUAUAUAUAUAUAUUAUAAUAUAUAUAUAUUAUAUAUAUAUAGUAGGCUAUUAUACUCUUAUAAGUAUAGAGUCCUUCAUGCUCAUAAUUGUUUUUUGAUAUUAGGGUGUUUGAAUCGAUAAUCCACACCGUUAAAUAUGAUCUAGAGCAUUUGAAACUUGUAGAAAUAAAUUUCGUAAUUUUUCGAAAUCAUUAUAUAAGUCCAUUCAAGCGGGUAUAAAUAUGAACAAUUAAAAUCGAACAACAUUACUAAAAAUGGAUGAUCAGAUCUUUUCAUUUAAGAUCGAGUUAUUGAUCUUUAUUUAAGUAGUGAAUAGAAUUUUCUAUCAAAAGAAUCAACACUAUUCCGAUUCUUUUCAACCGUUAAACUAGCAAAUAUUCAUACGACCGUUAAAAUGUCAAUUUUGUGAGCUUUUGAUCAUAAGGUAAAUGAUAUCGAAAAAUUAUAAAUUUGAUUUCUAGAAGUUUUAAAUACUCUAGAAUGUUUAACGGUAUAGACGUCGAUUUGGAAGCUCUAUCACGAAACAUAAAGUAUAUAUAGUAGCUGGACGAGAGGAGAGAGAAGGAUAGAGAAGAGAGAGAGAGAGAGAGAGAGAGAGAGAGAGAGAGAGAGAGAGAGAGCAUGCAUGACAUAGCAUUCAAACGUUCAAUGGUACCUAUAUUGUAAACAAAAUAAUUUAGUGGAGAAGGGUAAACAUUCAAAUUGGAGUAGUAGAACAUAUAUUGGUAUAACUUUUUCUAUCUUCUUGAUAAUAUGUACAAUAUUUAAUAUAUAUACAGUAAGAACUAAUCAAGACUGAGUAAAAAAGAGAAUAUUACAAAAAUAUUAUUUUCUAUGUGCUGCCAUUAAAUACAUACAAAUCCUACCUAAAUUGGCAAGAUAAAUUUUGUCCAAAAUAACAAACAGUUAGCCAAAUCUCUAGCUAUGCAAUCUUCACAAGAUAUGAAAACUUCAUUUUUUAAUAUGCUCCAUCAAGCUAGAAAAAGUCUAUAAUAUACCACUCACAUAUCUUAUGUGGCGUGGUCCAACCAAUUACAAUGCCCCCCACAGAUACACAUCCCAUCAUAGUUUAUAAAAAAAUAUUUUUAUUAUACUUUUCUCUUAAAAGAAGAUAUUUAAUUGGCUGGAUAUAGUUGGCGUGGUACGUGUGACUGCUAUAUAGAAGACUUUCUCUUUGAUUGUACAUAUUGAAAUCCUUCUUUACCAAAUGCCUCUUUAUAAAUAAAACUAUCAUAUGAUGAUCAUUUGUUGAUAUAUGUGUCGUAGUAAUGAACCCGUACUAUAUUUUCACUCAUAUGAGACUCGAUGUGUUUUGUCGAUCUACUCAUGAAAUGCUGGGUUUGAAUAAUAUGAAGAGCAACGUGAUUAUCACAAUAUAGCAACAUCAGCUGACAAUGAAAAACACCAAGUUCAUUAAGUAAAUACUUAAGCUAAUUUAGCUCAUAGAUUGUAGUAGCCAUGAGACACCUCAAUUUUGACGGAACAGAAUGAGCAUCAUUGAAGCGGUUAUAAGAACUGCCUUUAACAAUAAGAGCAUGAGUUUCAACGGACUUGAGUGAGAUGCUUGAAGAUCAAGAUACUUUUCUUCUUGUUGAGAGAAUAUACCUUUGCAACACUUUGUAAAGGAUCCGUUAUGACGAUUUGAGUGCAUAUGAUUCAAACAUGAAUUUAAGUGCCGUGGGACAAGGAUGUGUCAGAAACAUAGCGGCACGGUACGGUGUGAGUCGGAUCAUACCGAUACGUGCCGGUCACAAAAAAUAUAUGUGUACCGACACAUAAUAGCACGAUUUCUUUAGCAAUAAAAUAUUCUGACGGUUUAUUGUGUAUUGAUCUUUAUCAAAUCUUUUGAACUUUUUUGAGAAAUCACUUACUAAUUUGAAAAAUAGAGGGUUUUAAGCUGUGCCAUCGGCACGGGGACUGUAUUGUGCCGAUAUUUUGUUGACACGAUACUACACGAUAGAUACGACGCGUGUUGAUGGACACUUAAAUCCUUGAUUCCAAAGGCCUCAUUCAAUCCUAUAAGAAAUUGAUAAAUAUGUUCGAUUUGUCGCUCUUGUUGAAUUUCCUUCAAGGACCACAAUUGCAUAUAUAACAGGGGCUAUAGAGUAUGAGCUAAGUUCAUCCCAAACUUAACACAGUUUGUAAAUUGCUCCUGACAAUCAUUGAUGAUAACACACCUAAUUUCGUAAAUGCGAGGAUCAUUUCCUUGCAAAAGUCUUUCUUCUUCAAGCUAAAGUUCAUGAUCUAGCUUGACAAAUACCAUACUUUCUCUAAAAUCUUUACUUAAUGUAAUUGGUUUUUUAAUCGGGUUUCGGGUCGCCCAUGAUGGGCAAAAAUCCGACCCAAUCCAUUAAGUGGUAGUUUUCUUAGUUGGUUGGAAAACCACCCAGUACGUGCAGUUAAAAAACACUACAGAGAAAAAAAUGGAGUGAUGGUGAGUAUGGUGGAAGUAUUUUUUUCUCCCUCUUUCUGUCAAAAACAGAUUACUUUCUAUCACUCUUUGGACAAAGAAAUAUUCCUAAAAUUUUACUCUCUUAUUAGAGGAUUUGACAUUUGGGUUGUGAAAACUAGUGUAAUUUUCAUCUUGUGAUCAUGCAUUUGAUCCGUUGGAGCGAGUGGUUUGAUUUGAUCCUAUUUUAUCACGAUCUUCAAAUCACAAUUGAGGUAUUUCAUAAAUUAAAUUUUACUUUCAUAAUGCAUUGAUCAACCAAGAAAAUAUCGUAAGGAUGCAUCGUUCCCACGCUUGAACGAGAUCAUUCUGAGACUUUCGCGAACCCAAAGUCCCAUCCACAAGGCCGAACUUGUUCUUAAUUUGCGCCUAAAGCUACAGUAUGCAUGUCAUGGAACUCUUCCUUAUCCUGCAGUUGUCUCCCAAGAUGCAUGGGUUGAGCCACAAACAAAACUUCGGAAUCGUCAAAGGGGUGUAUAUAAUAUAUGAAUAAACAUCGAUUCUGGACAUAAAAUUUUUAGCGUACGUAUAUAAAUCUUUCAAUACUCUAAUACAAUGUAAACAAAAUAACUAAGUCGAGAAUGGCUACAAAUUCAAAUUGGCGUAAUACACCAUUGGUCUAACUUUUCCUAUCUCCUUGGUAAUAUGUACAACCUUUAAUAUACUGUGGGAACCAAUCAAAGAAUGGAAAAUAAACAUUACAAAAAUAUUAUUGCCUCCUAUUUGUUGCCAUUAAAUCCGUACAAAUUCUAGCUGAAUUGGAAAGAUAAUUUUGAUCCAGAAUAACAAGUAAAUAAGUUUCACAAAAUAUGAAACUUCAUUUUCUAGUAUAAUACUUAGAGGAGCAGAAGCAGGAAAUUACAUAUAAGGUGAGUCAUGUAGGAGAAUUUAUUGCCUGCAUCAAGUAUAUGUAUGUAAGCAUCAUUUAUUGUUGAAUGAAUUGUUCAUUGUAUUAUUCACUUUUAUUACCUUUAAAAUGGUGAAAAAUAAAUAGAAUUAUUACAUUCAAAUAUUAUGCUUUUUACAUAUUUAUAAUUCUCUGCAUUUUUUUUAACUCUGAAUUAUUUAUUUUUUAGAGAGAAAAUGAUAGCAAGUUAUCUGCUUCGUUUUUUUUCUUUUUAAGAAAUGAAGUCAGUAGAGAUGUUAAGCAACUAGCUUCGAACUUGAGAUCUGGGCAUCAACCAUCGAGCCCUUAAUCCACUGUAGUAAGUAUGGUUGGUAAACUCCGAAAUUUUUAACCUUGGCAAAUUAAUUCUAGCCAAAUGCUACAUCCCCAUGCUAAUAAGAAGUUUUAAAAUUAGCACACUAGAUGAUGUUGAGAUGAUCACUUGAACCAAGCUAGAUAUGGAAUUCAAAGUGAAGAAAUUAACUUUGAGCAACAUACAAACUAUAAGGCGCAUGAUAUUUUGGUCCUUAAACUGUAAUAUGUUGUAAUUUUUUGCUCAAAUUUUAUAAAUUAUUAUAAUCAAGUCUCACGGCCUAAUUUAAUCAAUCGACUAAAUAUUAAUGUGCCACUAAUGUAGAAUUGAUGUAUAAUGUUGUGAUUGAUAACACGACAAUGAUUAAGAUGUCACAUCAUUUAUUUUCAACGACACGCCACUAUUUAGUCAACUAUAUCGGCUUGUGAGAUAACUUGAUUAUAAUAAUUUAAAAAAUUCGAUAAACAUUUACAAUAAAUUAAAGUUUAAACACUAAAGUAUUACAUACGCUCCUCGAUCAUAGUUUGAUGACCAUAAGUGUAAUUUAGCCAAAUAAUUUAACAUAUUAAAUACUAAAGUGAGAAUCACACUUGCGACAUCAUCCAAGGAUCGAUAAGCUUAAAAUUAGUUUUGAUUUUGUAUAAUUACUUAAGCCUUUGUUUGGUUAGGUGUUAAGGGAUGGAAUAACCCCUUAACCCCCAUAUUAUUUCCAAACACCUCUAAAAAUGGGUUGGGUUAGCUAACCCCAUCUAACCCGAGAUAGUCUCAACCAAAUACUAUUUUCUAUUCAUAAUAACUCACUAUUCUUCUUAUCCCACCUAUUCCAACCCACUAUCCUUUUUAUCCCACCUACUCCAACCAAACAUUAUUUUUCACUAUUCUGGACUAACUCCAACCCCCAACCAAACACAAAAAUACUUUAACCUCACCUUAACUCUGAACUUAACCAUAUCCCUGGAAUAACUAGUUUUUCCUUAACCCCGAACCAAACGGUAGCUAAAAGAUUAUGUACCCAUAUUAUCUAUACACCCAAAGAGUAAAUAUAAAUAUCAUACCUCUUUACUUAAUGACCAGUACUAUAUAUUUCUUACUAAUUGUAUUAAUCUGUUUUUUAGUAGUAAAAACUUAAAAAAUGAAAUUUUAAUUUUAAUUAAAAAAGUGUAAAAUUUAAACCAAAUUCUUCGAACUCAAAUCAGAAUUAAUUUCUUUUAUAUAUAUAUAUAUAUAUAUAUAUAUAUUUUUUUUUUUUUUUUUUUUUUUGAGUCACCUACAAAUCACAGCCAUGCAUGUGAAGGAAGAGAGAAGAGGUGAUUUGAUCAUACAUGCAUAUCAGCGCCUCUUAUCAGGUAUAUUUCGUUAGUUCAAUGCAUACAUACGUACUAUAUAUACCCUUGAGCCCUAACUCUAUGCAUAUAUAUGAAUAAUAUAAUGUUAUGAUAUGAUUAAUAUAAAAUAUAAUAUAUAUAGGCUUGUAGCAUGGAAUAUUGGUCAAUGAACCAAUCAUGAUAAAGAUACGUUUCCGAAGUAACACUGAUUUUGCAAAUUAACAGUCACUCACAGUGUCCGCCACUCUCUCUCUCUCUACCCAUCUUUCUCUCUCUCUCUCUCUCUCUCUCUCUACCUUCCAUUACCUCCAAAUUCUUUACAAUCAUUCAUUCCACAGUCUCUCUCUCUCUCUCUCUCUCUUCCACAACUCUCUCUCUCUCUUUUCUCUCUCUCUCUUCUCACAUAGGGUGAAUUACACUAGUUACUAGCUUCACUUAUCUUUUAUUUCAUAUAUAUAUAUAUAUAUUAUAUAUAUAUAUAUUAUUAAUAUAUAUAUAUAUAGCUGAGCUAGAAUACUCUCAAAAGCACUAAAUGGAUGGUGCUUUUGAGUUUUUAACCAUUGGAUGGAGAGAUGUAGGAUUGAGAUGAUAGUAGUAGGUGGUGGCGGGUGAAAUAGUGUUUGAUCCAAGAAUAUUAAUAAUUGGAGAGUAGAUCCAAGGGCUAGAAACUUAGAAGCCAAGGGAUUGGUGCUUCUAAAAGUAUUCUAGUUCAAUUAUAUAUUAUAUAUAUAUAUUAUAUAUAUAUAUAUAGAGAGAGAGAGAGAGAGAGAGAGAGAGGCACUAUGCUAUCGAAAGCACGGAGCCUUCGUGCUUCCAGCUCGCUUUCGAUGUUGCGACUUUCGUAUCGUCGAUCGGCUCGUUAAACUUGAUCUAGAGUACGUAUUUGGAGUACUAGAAAAUAAAUUUAUUAUUUUUCGAUAUCAUUUGCCUAGUGAUCGAAUGGGCUAAAAUCAACAAAUUUCAAUGCCGCAGUGAGCCGUUUGCAAGUUUAACGGUGUAGAAAUAUCCAAAUCACGUGAAAUUUUGAUAGAAAAUUCUUUAUACUAUAUAAACAAGAUCAAUAUCUUUGAUUUAAAUUUUAAUGUCAUAUUAUUAUUUUGUAAGAUUUUUAUUUUCAGCCGUUGAUUUUGAGGCCCUUCGUUCGCUAGGCAAAUGAUAUCGUAAAAUCAUUAAAUUUAUUUUCUAGGUAUUCAAAUACUCUAGCAUAGUUUAACGGAGCCGAUCGACGAUUCGAAAGUCGCAACAUCGAAAAGAGCUGGAAGCACGGAAGGCUCCGUGCUUCCGAUAGCAUAGUAGCUCCUAUAUAUAUAUAUAUAUAUAUAAUAUAUAUAUAUAUAAUAUAUUAUAUGUGCGUCUGGUAUGUUUCUGGAAGCACAGAGCGCUCCGUGCUUCCAAGUCGUUUCGAUGUUGGGACUUUCGAAUCGACGAUCGGCUUCGUUAAACUUGAUCUAGAGGAUUUUAAGUAUCUAAGAAAUAAAUUUGCGAUUUUUUAAUAUCAUUUGCCUAGUGAUCGAAUGGUUAAAAUCAACAACUGAAAAUAAAAAUCUUACAAAAUAUGAUGAUAUGACAUUAAAAUUUAGAUCAAAAAUAUUAAUCUGUUUUAUAUAGUAUAAAGAAUUUUCUAUCAAAAUUCACUGUAAUUUGGAUAUUUCUCAUUAAACUUGCAGACGGCUCACCGCGGCCAUUAAAAUUAUUGAUUUUGAGCUACUUCGAUCACUAGGCAAAUGAUAUCGAAAAAUUACAAAUUUAUUUUCUAGGUAUUUCAAAUACUCUAGAUCAAGUUUAACGGAGCCGAUCGUCGAUUCGAAAGUCCCAACAUCGAAAAUGACUUGGAAGCACGGAAGGCUCCGUGCUUCAGAAGCAUACCAGCUCUCUCUCUCUUCUCUCUCUCUCUCUCUCUCUUCUUCUCUCUCUCUCUCUCUCUCUCUUCUCUCUCUCUAUAUAUAUAUAUAAAUAUAGUAUUAUAUAUAUAUAUAGAGUGCGGCUAGGAUGCUUAUGGAAGCACGGAGGCCUCCGGGCUUCCACUUUGUUUUCGAUGUUCGGACUUUCGAAUCGAUGAUCGGCUCCAUUAGACUUGAUCUAGAGUAUUUGAAGUAUCUAGAAAAUAAAUUGAUAUCAUUUGCCUAGUGAUCGAAGAGGCUCAAAAUCAACAGUUGAAAAUAAAAAUCUUACAAAAUAUGAUGAUAUGACAUUAAAAUUUUAGAUCAAAGUUAUUGAUCUUGUUUUAUAUUGUAUAAAGAAUUUUCUAUCAAAAUUUCAUGUGAUUUGGAUAUUUUUACACCGUUAAACUUGCAACCGGCUCACCACGGCCAUUAAAAUUAUUGAUUUUGAGCCCUUUCGAUUGCUAGGUAAAUGAUAUCGAAAAAUAAUCACAAAAUUUAUUUUCUAGAUACUUCAAAUAUGUUAGGUCAAGUCUAACAGAGCUGAUCGUCUAUACUAUCUAUAGCACCGGAGCUCCAGUACUAUAGCUUUGUUUUCCAUCUUAGGGUGUUCAAAUUAACGAUCCACACCGUUAAAUAUAAUUUAGGGUAUAUGAAGUUCUUAGGAAUAAAAUUAGACAUCGUUUACUUAGUAAAUAAAUUAUGUCAAAAUGGAUGGUGUAAAUUGAAUAAUUUUUAUAAUUUGAGAAUAGGACUUUUAAAUUCAAGAUCAAGAAUGUUAUCCUUAAUCUAGAUAGUUUAAAAUAUUUUCUAUCAAAAUUUGAAGAAAUUUAGAUUCUUCUACACCGUUAAACUCCAAACUUGCCAUAGUAGCCAUUGAAAAUUGGCAAUUUUGAAAUGGUUUGAUCAUAAAGUAAAUUAUGUCGAAAAAAUAUAAAAUUUUAUUUCUAAAAACUUUAAUACCCUAGAUCAGUUUUAACGGUGUGAAUCGUUGAUUUGAAUACCCUAAGAUCAAAAACGAGACUAUAGUAUCGGAGCCCCGGUACUAUAGAUAGUAUAGAAGACUAGCUCUCUCUCUCUCUCUCUCUCUCUCUCUCUCUAUAUAUAUAUAUAUAUAUAUAUAAUUGAGCUCCUAUACUUUUGAAAGUACCAAGACAUUGGUGCUUGUAAGUUUUUAGCAUUUAGAUUAAAAAAUAUGUGGUUAGGAUGAUGUGGGCCCCCUAGGGUUGAGUGGGUGGUUGGUUGAAUAGUAUAAUCUAACGGGUGUAAAUGAUCAACAGUGCUGAUCUAACGGUUAAAAACCUACAAGUACAAAGUGAUUGAUGCUUUUACAAGCACCAUAGCCGAACUAUAUAUAUAUAUAUAUAUAUAUAUAUAUAUAUAUAUAUAUAUAUGAACUAGGUUGGAAUACUAUUGAUAGCACCAACCGCUUGGUACUAUUAGGUUUUCGGCCCUUAGAUAAAAAAAUUGAAUAAUAUAAUCUAACGGGUAAAAAUAGUCAAAGGGUUAAAUCUAACGGCAGAAAACUCUAUAGCACCAAGCUUUUGGUGCUAUCGAUAGUAUCCCAGCCGGACUCUAUAUAUAAAAUUGAGCUCCUAUACUUUUAAAAGCAUCAAGUCAUUGGUGCUUAUAAAUUUUAGCCAUUGGAUUAAGAAAUAUGCAAUUAGAAUGAUAGUAGUCCUCUAAAGUUUAGUGGAUGGUUAGUUGAAUAGUAAGCUCUAACGGGUGAAAAUAGUCAAAAUGAUAGAUUUAAUGGCGGAAAACUGGAUAGCACCAAGCGCUUGCUACUAUCGAUAGUAUAGUAGACAAACUUAUUUAUAUAUAUAGCUAUUAUACUAUCGAAAACAUAAAAGAGUUGGUGCUUCCGACUUUUUGGCCCUUGAAUUAAGAGCUGUAGGAUUGGAAUGAUAGUGGACCCUCUAGGGUUUAGUGGUCUCUCUAAAGUAAUAAUAUUAAUCCAAAGACUUGAAAUGAUCAAAAAAAUUGAUCCACAGGUUAAAAAAUUUGAAGCACUAUGUGAGUGGUGCUUUCGAAAGCAGCAUAGUCAGACUCUCUAUAUAUAGAUUAUAGAGAGAGAGAAAGCUGGGUUUGUAUACUUUUAGGGCAUGUUUGGUUUAUGAUUGGAAUAGGAAUGGAAAAUGAAAUUGGAUUGUUUGGAAUGGGAAAUGGAAUGACGAAUCCUUCAAAAAUAUUUGGUUCAUUAUUGGAAUGGAAAUUGGAAUGAAAAUUUAAAAUUUUUGAGAGAUGAUUUUGAUUAAGAAAGAAAAAAGUGAUGAAGGGAGAGGAGGUAGGUGUUGGUGAAAGAGGAUUUUGAAUAGUUUACUUUGAAAUGAGCCAAUCCGGAAUUCAAAGCCGGAUUGGAUCAUAAAUGGAUUUGACUAUUUCCAUUCCGAAGCGGAAUGGGAAUCGGAAUUUGAUUCCUAUAAAACAAACGGCAAUUAUCGGAAUUAAUAAAUUCCAUUUCGAUUCCAUAACCUAAAAUAGGUGGACCAAACAUGCCCUUAAAAGCAUGGCCCAUGCCUUUCUUCUCUAGCAGUAGUAUCUUAUCCUCCAACUUCGUUCAGGCAUACCAACCGAUUGCGCUAUAUUAAUUUUAAAUUUAACAUCUGAAAUACUAAAUUUCUAACGAAUUUUCAUUUUAGUUCGUAAACUUUUAAAAUUGUAACAUCUUAAUCUUUACUUUAGAAUAAAAAAUUAUUAUUUAUUUAUAUCCACUGCAUCUUUAUGUCCGUACAACACAUACGAAUCUUUUAGCCCUUCCCCCAUCUCGUAAUUCUAAUUCAAGUGAAGAUUAUAACUAAUUCGUGAUAUAAAAAUAAAUAUAUAGAAGCACUAGCUAGGUAUAGACAAUUGUUCACCCUCUAAUAAUAAAGACUUAUAUACCCUCAAAACUUCUAAAAUAUUUUUUAUAUAUCUUUUUUCAUUUUUGCCCACUGUAUAUUUCUUUGUUAUUAAAAUAACUACGCUGUUAGUAUCUGUUAAGACAUUUCGGAUUAAAUCGGGUUAAAUUAAUUACUAUGAGAGUUAAAAAGAAGUUAAAACACUUCAGAGUUAAAAAGAAGUUAAAAUACUUCUUUUGUUUGUAAUUGAAGAGCAAAUAAAAAAAAGUUAGUGACAACAAAAAGGUAUAUUUGGAACGUUAAUAAGAAAAUUUUGUGACAGUAGACGUGUAUAUUUGAAAGGGCAUAAUAAUAAUUUUAUAUAAAUAAUGGUUGUUUCUAACUGUUUACUAAGGCUGCAUUUGGUGUGGAUUAUAUUCUGAAAUAAUGGGGGAUAUAUCCCCAAUUUGUACCCAACCAAAACUAAAACCGGGCAAAACUAGUUUUUCCGAUCAAAGCGGGUUUUUCCGGAACAACUCGUUAAAGCUGUUCCUACGUGAACUAAGAACAACUUUAUUUUUCUCUUUAUUCUAUUAUAUAAAUAAAUAUAUAAAUAAAUAUAUUAAUAUAAUAUUAUCUUUAUGAUAAUAUAUUUAUAUUUAAAUUUUAUUAUAUAAGAUAAAUUAAUUAAAUUUUCAUAUAUUAUUUAUUUUAUUUUUAUCCUUUAUAUAUUAAUAUUUAAUUAUUUUAUUUUUUAUUAAUUAUUAUAUAUAUUAAAUUAUUUUUUCAUAUAUAUAUAUAUAUAUAUAUUAUAUUUUUUAAAUUUGUAUUGAAAUUCAUACUAUUAUUAAUUAAAAUUAUAAGGAUAUUGUUAGUAUUAUAUUUUAUUCAUUACAUAUAUUAUGGAUAAAUAAUAUAAAAUAAAUUGUUACAUAAAAUAAAUUAUUAUAUAAAAUAAAAUAAAUAUAAUUAUAUAAAUUAAAUUGUUCUAUAAAAAUACUUAUAUAAAUAAAUUAUUUUAUUUUUAAAAUAUAUUUAGAAACUGUUCUAGACUUUUUAUUCAAAUACUACUAAAGAUAUCCCCCAGAAUAUUCCUGAAUGCAUCCAAAUGAAAAUUUAUAAUUAUUCUAAAUUAUACCGGGAUAUUUCCUGUUCUCAAGAGCAUUAAAAUUAUCCCCGAAAAUUUAGUUCUCGAAACCAAACGCAACCUAACAGAAUUUGACUAUAGGAAUAUAUUUGAAAGAAAUUAAGGGCGUGUUUGGUUCGAAGUCGGAGUUGGAAUCGCAAUUGAAAUCAAAAUAAGCUGGAAUCGGAAUCGGAAUGGCUCAUUACCUAAUUCCGUUUGGUUCAUCAUCUGAAUCGGAAUCGGAAUAAAUCAUUCCUAUUGUUGGUGUUUGGUUCAGGUGGAUAUAAAUAAAAAACGUAAUCAAAUUAAUAUACGAACAUUAUCUUUAUAAUAUAUUAAUUUAAAUUCAAAUUAAAUAUUAAAUAUUAAAAAUUUACAUCAAAAUUUUUAAAUAAUAUCAAAUUUUUAAAUCUAUUUUUUUAAAAUAAAUUAAUCUUUGAAGUUGAGUGGAUAAUUCAAAAUAUGAAACUAAAAUUUUAUUUAUUCAAAUUCAAAUUUAAAAUUACAAUUUAAAUUUUAAUUUGAAUCCAUAAAUUUAAUUUAAGUUUGAAAUAAAAUUUGAAUAAACUUCAUAUAAAUUAAAAUUUAAUUUAAAUUCAAAUUCAUAAGUUAGAUUCAAAAUACUUGAUUAAAUUUUAAUUUUUAAUUUAAGUUCAAAUUAAAAUUUAAAAUUAUAUAUUUAAUUUUUAAAAUUUAACUUAUAUUUUAAUUUAAAAAGUUGAAAAAAUAAAUUUAAUCCGAAUAAAUAUCCAUUCCGUCCGGAUUCAACUUUCAAUCCGGCCUCCUAGGCCGGAUUGAAAAAAGGGGUGAUUAGGCAUUCCAUUCCACUGGGAAUCGAAUCGGAAUGGGACUCCGCGUACCAAACACCACAAACGGAUUCACCCAUUCGAUUCGAUUCCAUGGUGAAAAAGAGGCGAACAAACACGCCCUAAAGAGUAAAUAAAAAAUUCUAAAACUUUUCGGAAGUAUAUAAAUAAUUGUCCUAUAAAAAUAUUGCAGAAUUACUUUGAGUAUUUAAUGUUGAAAGUUUGAGGAUGAAAAUGAAACUCAACAAAGUUGGAUCCCCCCCCCCCCCCCAAAACCUAUUGGAAUAUAUUUGAAAGAAAUUGAAAGAGUAAAUAAAAAAGUUUAAAACUUUUCAGAGUUAUAUAAAUAAUUGCCCUAUAAAAAAUAUCGUAGAAUUAUUUUGAGUAUUUAACGUUGAAAGUUUGAGGAUGAAAAUGAAACUCAAUAAAGUUGGAUGAUUAAUUGGUGGUGCCAUUUACACCCCCCAGAGCCACCACUGUUUCAUCUUUCUUUUGUAAUGAUUUUGUUUCAUAAAGAAAGUAACAUCCAAUUUGUAGCAUGGCUACAUACCUAAGCAUAGCUUUUCACCCAAGCAAUUCCUUCCAAGUCCAUAGCUUUCUACUCCCCCUCUUUGUCCCCUUCCCUUUUUAAGCUUCCCAUCUGUCCACUUCAGUCCCUCUCUCAAAGAUAUCCAUCUGAUCCUCUCAAUCUCCACCUACAGGCCUCUACAGAUAUUAGUGCCUGCACCUAGUUUAUUUAUCCUUGCUAUAUCUCACACACUGUACUUGAUAUUUACUUACUGAUCAAUAUCUCAAAUGGUGAUGUUAUUAGCAGAGCAAUCACUAGUUCAUCUUGCAAUGUACAUUAUUGAAUUUUCAACAAAGGUAUCGAGCCAGUCAUUAAAUAAUUGCGAAACUAAACUGCGUAAAUAAAGACAUUAUACAAACCACAUGACAUAUAUUUUAAAUAACUAUAAGUUUUUGAUAUAGAAUUAAAUUUUGAUUUUAAUAUUGUAGUUACAUAACAAUGCUAGCUAUCAGUGCAUCUAAAAAGUAGGUAUAAAUUUUACACUCUUUUAGUUAAUUAUUCAAGAGCUAAUAUCCCCACACUAAUACAGUAAUAUUCUUACCAAUUAACAGUAAAAUUUUAAAAGAGAUCGAUUAAACUCUUGCAUAGAUUGGUGUAAAUUUUAAACUCCAUUUUUGAUUGUAUAAAUCGCUGUUCUUUUCAAUGACAUGAUUCUAGCUAAAGGUGUAUUGAACAAUAACAUUAACAUGGUGCAUUAACUUGAGUUCUCCUAGCCCUUCUCUCUCCCCCACCCUCCCCUAUCAACCUAGCCCUAGCUAUAUCCUCUCUCUCUCUCUCUCUCUCUCUCUCUCUCUCACCCUCUAUUUACAACUAUAUAUAUAUAUAUAUAUAUAUAUAUAUCCCACCACCCAAUCCUCUUCCUCUGCCCUUUAACUUUUUCAAGCAUCACUUCACAGUUCACACUCAUUCUCUCUCUCUCUCUCUCUCUCUCUCUCUCUCUCUACAACUACGUACAUAUAUAUCCCACCACUCAAAUCCUCCUCCUCCACCAAUCACACUUUUUCAAGCUACAACACUUCACAGUUCACACACACUCCUCUCUCUAAAAGCUCUCUCUGUGUCUCCCUCCCUUGUAUUGUUUUCAUGGAGCCCUAUCAAUACAACGCGCACCAUGACCAAGAAACUGCUCCUCCCAUCCCCAACACCAUUGGAAUGGGAAUGGGAAUGGGAAUUGGAAUAGGCGGCGGAGCAGGAGGAGGAGGAGGAGGUCUGAUCAACAGCAGCAAGUACAGCGGCAGCAGCAGCAGCAGUGCCAGCAGCAGCAGCAUGGUGUGCCGGCAGUCGAGCACGCGGUGGAUUCCGACGAGCGAGCAGAUACGCAUCCUGCGCGACCUCUACUACAACUGCGGCAUCCGGUCGCCGACGUCGGAGCAGAUCCAGCGCAUCUCCGCCACGCUCCGCCGAUACGGCAAGAUCGAGGGCAAGAACGUCUUCUACUGGUUCCAGAACCACAAGGCCCGCGAGCGCCAGAAGAAGCGCCUCUCCGUCGACCCCAAUGCCGCCGCCACACCCUCCCACAACAAACCCGUCACCGCUGCCGCCGCUGCCGUUAGUUCAGUUUCUUUCCCCCUCUAUCACAUUCUUUUCUAAAAAAUCAAAACAAAAAAAUUUAAUCAGACGCGUCUGAGUGAGACGUAUAUAUAUGUAUCUCAGUUUCCUUCCCUCUCUCGGUUAUAUAUAUAUAUAUAUAUAUAUACAUUUUUUAAGAAAAGAGUGUAAUCAAACUUAUACUACGUACUCUUUCAGUUUCUUUCCCCUCGUUCUCUCUAUAAUGUUUUUUUUUUUUUUUUUUUUUGAAAAAGAGUUUGUUUAAUCAGACGCGUCUGAGUGUAACGUAUGCAGCUUAAUUUUAGGCUUUACAGUUUUUUCGGAGAAUUUUUUUUUUUUUUUAUCAGACAUGUUCGACCAUCUAAUUGCACCAACGGCGCGUUGAGAAAUUUCCAAAUUUAAAUAUACACCAUUAGAUUAAAAUUUAUUAAUAGACAUGAAAUUUAUAUGCACCCUCUCUUGUCAAGGUGCUUUGAGAUUCGGAUUGAGUACUGUCAGAUAGUAGGAAUGACCCUGUCUCACUUAGACGCAUCUGAUAAUUUUUUUUUUUAAUUUUUUCCCUUUUUUUUAUUUUUAUAGUUUUUACCCUCCAUAUAUACACACACACCAUUCAUGUGCUGUAGCUUGUGGUAAUGAUGAAUGUAUAUAUAUGCAGGUGUUUCUAGUCCCUGUGUUUCUCCGGGGGUGUACGGUGUGGGACAGAUACUGGAAAACAGUGUAUAUGAGGGUUCUAUGAUCAGAGAAAGGAGCUUCAGAGUAAGUGCAGUUCCAUGUCGAUCUAAUGGUUUUUCAUUUCAUGUAUGCAUGCUUGACUUUUUUUCUUUUUUUAAAAAAAAAUGUUAUCUUGUUAAUCUGAAACUCAAAGAACUAGCAGGUUGUUAAGCACUUCGUAAUUAAGCAUUUGCCAAUGUAUCUGUGUCUCGGUCCUGAGUGAUCACUCACCCCACUUGCAUUAUGAUCGAUCGAGCGUUCAAAAUUUGUUAUGUUAGUGCGCUCUUUCGCCCGACGAAAUGUUUCAUGCAGCUAUAUAUCAAUUAAUGCUCAGGAAUACUGCUGCAUGACUGGAGGAGUAGCAGUAGAGGGAGGAGAUGUGAUCAUAGGAGAAGAAAGAGAGAGCAAUGACAAUGCAUCAUGGGUGGGAGUAGACACUGCCGCAGCUGACGCUGACGCUGUCGCUGUCACGACAGCGCAGUGGAUGCACUACUGCCCCGACCGUCAGGCAGCAGCGUCCGCCGCUCGAGAGAUCGAAACCCUUCCCCUCUUCCCGACUUGCAGCAGCAGCGGCGGUGGCGUCCUGAACGGCGAAGAAGAAGAACAAGAAGAAGAGCAGGAAGCAUACGGCGGCGGCGCCAAUUGGACCGAGCAAUACAUGCAGGCUAGCUUAUGCCACAACCACGGCCACGGCCACAGCGCAGCCUCAUUGGAGCUCACACUCAGCUCCUACUACGGCUCUCCUCCUCCUGGAUCCAUGUGAUUAACAUUAUUGAUUAGUUUCUUUUAGUUGCUAUGCUAUGUUAUGUGAUCUCCCUUUUUUGUUGUAGGUAGCUAAGUACCUAGCUAGUAUGUAGAAUAUGGUGUUGUUGUUGUUGUUGUUGUUGUUGUUAGUAACAGUAGUAGUAGCAGUGUUAAAUGGUACUUGGUCUUGGUGACUUUGUGAUCUCCAAUCCAAUACUGAGCCUAGCUCUGCAUAAAAUGUAGCAUCUUCUUUGGGAAACACUCAGCCUCUGCAUGCAUCUGAUCACUCAGCUUUGAGAUUCGAGAAGAUACCAAAGUACACCUCUCUCUCUCUCUCUCUCUCUCUCUCUCUCUUCUCUCUCUCUCUCUCUCUCUCUCUCUCAUGGAAUAAUUAAGAUUAUCAUAGAGGAGCAUAAAAGCAUUAUAUAGAAAUGCUAGAUAUAUAUAUAUAUAUAUAUGAGUUUGGCUACUAUGCUAUUAAUAGCAUGAGGCACUUGGUGCUACCAAGUUUUCUGCCGUUAGAUCUACCCUUUUGAUCAAUUUCACCCGUUAGAUCAUACUAUUCAACCAACCACCCACUCAACUCUUGGAGGCCCACAUCAUCCUAACCGCAUAUCUCUUAAUUCAAUGGCUAAAAACUUGGUAGCACCAAUGACUUGGUGCUAUUAAUAGUAUAUUAGCCUAGUUCUAUAUAUAUAUAUAUAUAUAUAUAUAUAUGUAUAUUUCAAAAGGUGUAUUUAGAAACUGCAUUAAUAUUUAGUAUUUUAAAAGAAAUCGACAAGAUAAAGGUUAAUUCUUAAUUGGUUUUUAGAUGCAAAAAUAUAAGAUGUACACUCUCGCCAAUUUUUUUUCUUGAUGUACGUAUAGCAUUUCUCUAAAAAUAUUAAAAAAAUUGUACAAAGACCUCCUAAAUUUUAGCGCUAGCUUUUGCAAGUGGAUUUGUGAACUUUUAAUUUCGGCAUUUUAAUACUCUCUAAUUAAUAAGCCUUCUGUUCAAUCGAAAUUACAAAUUGAGCACUUGUUUAUAAUUGCAUAUUUUGCACAUGAUUUUGUCUAAUUUUAAAACGUAAAUUAAGCAAUUUACUUUUAAUUUACCUAUUAUGAUAAUUAUCAGUAUUGAGGAAUAAGAUGAAGCUAUUUAAUUUUUUUACUUCCUUCAUAUAUGCGUUAGGAUAUGGUGAACAAAUUUCUUUAUUUUUUACAGCUUUAUAACAUUACAUGCGUGAAUAUAAUGAAUCAAAAUGAUCGUGUUAUUAGUUAGAUCGAGGAUAAGGGCUUAUCAAACUAUUUGAUAAAGUUUAUAGAGUUUUAUUGUUAUGGGCAUGCAAUUGCUUAAUUAUAUGUCCCGAAAAGUUCUAGCCAUUUUUAUUUAUCAUGUUUAGAAAGCUAAUAUUAAAAAAUAUAUUUUUAACAUUAUUUCAAGUUCUCUCAAAUAGACCCCUAGAACCAAAUUCUGUUUGUGAACUAUUAGAAACAGCCAUUAUUUUUAUAAAAUUACUAUUUUGCUCUUCAAAUGUUCUUUUUUAUUGUCACCAAUUUUCUUAUUUGUGCUUGAAAUUAGAGAUAAAAAAGGAAUUUGAACUUUUUUCCUUCCAUAUAUAUCUUUCUACCGUCACUCACUUUUCUUAUUUGCCCUUAAAUUAGGUGUAAAAUAUAUUUUAACUUUUUAUCCUUUCAAAUAUACAUUUCUACCGUCAGUAAUUUUUUUUUAUUUUUUCUUAAUUUAGAGACAAAAAAGGUAUUUUGAUUUCAUUUUAACUCUAGUAAAAAUUUCACACAGGUUUAAUCCGAGAUGACUUAACGGAUACAAACAGCAAAGUUAUUUUUUAUAGUAGAGAAAUAUACGAGUGGUAUAUUCGAAAUAAAAAAAAAAAAGUAAAGGUAUAUAAGAUAUUUUAGAAGUUUUAAGAGAUAUGUAGAUAAUUAUCUCUUAUUAUUAAAACUAAAAGUUGAGAUAUCUCUUUGUAAAAGUUUGCUUAAAUUUAGGGAUUUUUGUAUUAUUUUUGCUCCCUAAAAUUAUGGAUAAUUAUAAAAGCUCAUCAAAAGUAGUUCUAUUUGUGGGCCCUCAUGUGGGCUGCGCCGAAGUCUUAGUUUGACAAAAGAGAGUUAAUGAUGUCACUCACAUGAUGAUCAUCUUUUUCUAUCAAAUUUUUUUUUUUUUUUCAGGAAAAUUUAUUUGUGUGUGACUAAUUUUUGCAACAACUUCAAAAGGAAAAGAAAAUCCAAGUGCUUUUUAUCACUUCAUACUAAAUUUAAUUCUUGUUUUUAAAUUUUCAUUAGAAAAAUUCUCUAACGCAUGUUUUAGUAAAUAAUAUCAUAUUACAUAUGUCGCGCUGAGUCAAAUAUAAUAUAUUUUUUUAUAGUCCCACCAAAAAAUAGAAAAAUAAAGUCACGUUUGGUAUUAUAUUUGUUUUUUAUUUUCUAAAAUAGAAAUUUGUAUAUCAAAAAUGUCAAAAUAGACAAUGAAUUGCCGGCAGUCUUUUCAUCUAACGUUUUUACUUGACAAUAAAAAUAAAAACUUGAAAAUAACCUUUUUUGUCUUUAAUUUUUUAAAAUAAAUCGCCAUUUAUUACUGAGCCAAAUGUAUUGUAAAAUAACAUACUAUAAUAAUAAAAGAAAAACAUUUUCUCCAAGGGAUCAAAUUAUAUAGAAUUAGUAUUUAAAAAAUUAAGUAAAAAAAUGACAUGGACACCAAAAGGGGGAGUCCUAAAUCUAUAUAUACAUUUGCUGCAACUCUGUUUUAUCUAAUAGUAUUAGAUAGAACUCAAUACCAAACAAGCCCUAAAAGUUAACUCACCAAACUUCUCUCUCUCUCUAACUCACCAAACCUCUCUCUCUCACUCUCAAAUCAUGCAUAUACACGAACUAAUUAGGCACUAAUCAUUAUUUUAAAAGGAGUUAUUUUGUAAAUUGCAAUGUAUCAGUUACACAUGAGCUAGAGCCUAUAACCUAAAGGUUCCUUGAUGAAGUCCAAAUUGUCCACGGAGUGUAGGAACCUUUUUUGUUCAAGUUUUUUUUUUUUUUUUUUCCAAUUUUUAGGUAUAAAAUGGGGGAUAUAUCUCUUGUUUCUGGGACCUAAUCAAACAAUCUGAAGGCCUCUUUGGGAUGGAUAAAUAUUUUGUUCGGUAUAUUUUCAUAAUUUAUUUAAAAAUUUUGAAUAUGCGAUAGAUAAGAAGUGCGAUCAAAUAUCUAAAAUUAGAUACUAUACGACAAAUCACCUCGUAGGUAAUAUGCACUAUCUUAUAAAUAUCGAGACUUUUUAAGGAGAAUAAAUCAAACUCCUUCCGUACAAUCACAUUAGAAAAUUUUUAUGCUGAAUAAGUUAUCUGACUUUCAAAUGGGGCCUAAAAGAUUAAGCCAUACUCUGACACUAUGUUAAAUAAUGUGAAAUAAUUGUUUGCGUCCAAAAAAUUUAAAUUAUCAAAAGGCAAUAUUUUAAAUAUUUUAUAUUCAGUAGUCUCUUCGACUAAGUCUUGUAUAGGUCUUAAGAUUACCUAAGGUUGCUUGAGAAUAUGUAAGUGUGAGGCAUUUUAAGCAUAUCGACUUGUAUUUUGUUCUUUAUUUGGAACUGUCUGUUAAUAUAUUUUUUUAGACCAAUUUUCUAUUAGAUUAAUUUGUUGGAUAUUGUUAGAUAUGACUCGAAAUCUAUAUCAACUUAGGUUCGGAUUUACGACUCGCCGACAGCUUCGCGGUGCGACCAAAUUGAAAAAUUAAAUUGUGAAGGGAAAAUGAAUGUCUGUGGUGGGUAGCAGAGGACUCGGACCGUCAAUUAAUUCUAGGUGCCUUUCAUAUUCACUAGGACGUGAGUGAAAGUAUUAAUAUAUAUUUCUGAAUUCUGAUUUCGUAUCCAUUAAGCACAUGGGUGAAAGCGUUAAUAUAUAUUUCUAAACUUAUUUCCUACUAGCUAGUUUGAUCUUUGGAUAAUACUGUAAAUAUUUUUUUUUUCUUUUUUAUAGUGGAGUUACUUAUAGCAUCCUUACAAUUCUACGAUUCUCUUUAUAACUCUUUUCACAUAGGUGAAAAUGUUAAUAUAAACUUCGAAGCUUGUUUCCUACUAGUUUGAUCUUUGGAUAAUACUGCAGAUAUCUGUUUGUUUAAAUGUCGGAUAGGAAUUAAUGUGAAGCAAUGAAAGGCUUCGAAUUUGAGAUCUCGGGUACCAGCCAUUAAGCCUUUCGCCAACUGCGCUAGUUGCGGUCGGUGAGUCUGAUAAUUUUAUUAUGAUUUUUAUGAUAACAAAUAAUCUGAUUCAAAUCUAUUUAAUGCUUCCUCUCAUUGAUAUUUUGUUUAGAAAUAAUUUCACCAAUACCCCUAUGGGAUAACUUAAUUAAUUUUAUGAAUCCCUUUUAAAAUUGAGAAUAACCAUACUAGGGAGUUUAAUUAUCGUACUCUGGGUAGAUUUAAUGACUUUACUAAAUUUGAGCAAUAAAUUUUGGAAUUUUUUACAUAAUUAUAGCUACGCAGGAGGGUGCUUAUGAAAUUAACCUAAUAAUUUAAGAUUAUGGUUAGUUCUUAAAGUUGAGCAAUAUACUAAUUAGCUUUAAAUUCCAUUUAAAAAACUCAUGUAUCUUAAACAAAAGAUAUUUUGAUUGUCACAAUUCAAUUAAAAACCCAUCUUUAAUAAAAAUGUAAAAAUGCCCAUUCUAAAUGGUAACCUUUCACUUUUUUUUUUUUUUAUUACACCUUCUCAACUUAAGAGUUUUUUUUAAAAAUUUUUCCUCUUUUUUUUUUUUAUGCAAUUAAGUGAUUUUUAUCAACUAAGAUUAAAAUUUUAUCAAAUGCAUGAGUAAGAAAUCUCAAUGAAAAACACAAAUACAAAAAAAAAACACUAAAACUUGGAGGGGUCUUAGUGAAAAAAAAAGUUUGGUAAAAUUUUCAAAGUAUCAAGAAUUUAAGUGCCCAUAAAUAUAGGCUGUAUCCACCGUGCCAACAAUAAAAUAUCAGUAUAAUACAGCCUUCCUGCUGAUAACACAGUUCAAAUUUUUUUAAAAAAAAAUUAGUAAGUAAAUUUCUUAAUAAAGUUUGAAAGAAUUAAUAAAAAUAUAUAAUAAUUAAGUAAUUAGAAUAUUUGGUUGCUAAAUAAAAUAAAUAUUUUAUAUCAUUAUGUAUCAUCACAUAUGUAUUUUUUAUGACUGGUACGUAUCAACACAAUUCCAUACUACUGUACUUAAAUUCUUGCAAAGAAUAUCUAUAAUGUUUCUGAGAAUUAGAAAAGUACCUGUGAAAUUAUCCUCGAACUCACGAACUGCAAGCUGCAUUUCCAACUAUGUCUGGUUCGGUUUUUGUUCGAAAACAGGAGUCUGCUGGUUGGUCUUCAACUGCAGAAUCGAACUGUGGAUGCAAUUGCAACCAUCGGAAACCAAACAAAAUUUUUUGAUAUAUUAUGUAUAUCCUGGCUUAAAAUGCAAGCAACCAAAGAGUCCAUAGUGCUGAAUCGUUGGGACUAAUCAUUAGUGUCAAAAGUUUAUUAGAAAUACGUAAUCAAUUCACUUAAACUGCACAAAUACAGUGCCUACGGGUCUCGAUUGUAAUUGACCCAACCAGCCUCACGCCACUUCGAAAAUGAUUAGUCCCAACCCGACCAGUGUCACAGGACAGGAUACUGGCUUAAAUCACCUGCACAUAUUCGUAGCAUGCAAGAAUCGAAUCUGUGACCUCUGCCUCCGAUACUACUUGUCUUAUUAUUGUCGCUUGCCAUUAAUUCUAAAUGCUCGAGCUGUUAGAAAUAUACAAUCAAUUUAGUUAAAGCAUACAGACACAACACCCACAAAUAUCGAUUGUGAUUCGGUCCAAUCAACUUCAUGCUAUUUUGAAUAUGACUCAGCCCGAUCUGGCCUCCCGCCAUUCCGAACGUGAAUUGACACAACCUAACCUCGUGCCACAGAGCAAAAUGCUAACCCAUUUAAGCAAACACAUAAGAUGCUUUACUAUAUAAGUGACAAGUAAUCCAACAAAAGCUAGUAAAAUUAUAUAUGUACUCCAUUUUUGGUCAAACUAUGCUGCACGUGCAGGGGUGAAAAUGAUCAGGGUAAACUCGGAUCAAAUACGACACCGAAUUCGAUCGGAUUCAAAUAUGGAUAUCAAAAUUAUACAUUGGCCAUCAAAUUCAGAUUUCUAUUCGGAUAUUAUUUUUAUAAUAUUAUCGAACCCGGAUUCGAAUGUGGAUAAUAUUUCAAAUUUGGAUUUGAAUUUGGAUUCGAGAUCGAAUAUGGUAAAAUUAAUAUAUAUUAUAAAUUUAUAUACUGCAAAAAAAUAAAAAAUGUGGCGAAUUAUAGUUAUAUUAUUGCUAAUUAUAGUUCAUAUGUCACGCUCCGGAUUACUCGUUUCUCCGGGCACGCCGAAAAAUCCGCCGUAUACAAAGAAUUUCUCCUGUAUACGAAGUGAUAGCUGUAUCUGUACCUGUAAUCAUACAAAACUACAACUAGUAGUAUAAAGCUGCUAAACAGAAAAAUAUAUAUAAAUAACAUCUGGGGUGAAACAUAUAUAAAUAACAACAAAAGCUAGUAAAAUUAUAUAUGUACUCCAUUUUUGGUCAAACUAUGCUGCACGUGCAGGGAUGAAAAUGGUCAGGUAAACUCGGAUUAAAUAUGACACCGAAUUCGAUCGGAUUCAAAUAUGGAUAUCAAAAUUAUACAUCCCAUCAAAUUCAGAUUUCUAUUCGGAUAUUAUUUUUAUAAUAUUAUCGAACCCAGAUUCGAAUGUGGAUAAUAUUUCAAAUUUGGAUUUGAAUUUGAAUUCGAGAUCAAAUAUGGUAAUAUUAAUAUAUAUUAUAAAUUCAUAUACUGCAAAAAAAUAAAAUAUGUGGCGAAUUAUAGUUAUAUUAUUGCUAAUUAUAGUUCAUAUGUCACGCCCCGGAUUACUCGUUUUUCUGGGCACGCCGAUAAAUCCGCCAUAUACAAAGGAAUUUCUCCUGUAUACGAAGCGAUAGCUGUGCCUGUACCUGUAAUCAUACAAAACUACAACUAGUAGUAUAGAGCUGCUAAGCAGAAAAUCAUAUAUAAAUAAUAUCAGAUUCUCUAUACAUAUAUAGUCUCCAAAUAUAUAACACUCUUUCCAGCGAGAAUCUAACAUCAGUAUGUAUAAGAACCAAAACCAACACUACCUGUAGCUGGUAUGUCUCUAGAUCAGUAGCAAAAUGGGAAGGGAUCUAACACGCGACUCCCUUUUCACGACCUGUAUCCGCAACAGCAGCAGCCGAAGAAGAAGGCUCUGUAAAAGGUUUCAACAAUUGGGUGUGAGAACUACUGCAAAAAGAAGUAGUCCUCAGUGGGUAGCGCUACCGACCUCGACGGCUUACCCACUAAGUCUACAGAACUAUGCUCAAAGAUAGUAAAGGAAGCUGGAACAAUUCUACAGCUAUAUGCCACUAUACUAUCGUGAUCCAACACUAACUAUCUGUAGAAAAAUGCAAGUCCUGACCUAAUCUUACUAGGGACUGUGAACACACCCAUCCCACCUGUCGAAGCGAACCCGUAUACUACCCCAUGAGUAGCUGAUGGAGAAAACUCUCUAGGGACUGUGAAUACACUCGUCCUGCUUAAUUAGGUUACACCGUAGCUCAAGAGUAACCGGUGGAGAAAAUUCUUUAGAGACUGUGAAUACACCCAUCACGCCUAACUAGACUACACCGUAUCUCAAGAGUAGCCGGUGGAGAAAACUCUCGAGAGACUGUGAAUAUACCUGUCUCGCCUAACUAGACUACACCGUAUCUCAAGGGUAGUCGGUCCAAGUAGAAAGGUUCAACAGGACGGCUGUGACUCCACUCACGUUACAACCUCACUGAAGGUAAAGAAAAGUAUCACUAACUGCCUCACCCGGUGUAGUGUUCCUGAGCUUUGGAUAGGGUUGGCUUCAGUAUUAGUGACUGGUCGACAUCUCUGGAGAGUGUCGGACUGAGUCGGAGUCAAUUCUGCACGAAUUGGAUGCAGAAUUGGACUCGACGCACUCAAAUAAGCAAAACUGGAGUUUUACCAGAUUCGGGCGCCCAGAACAUUUUUAGGGUCGCCCAGAAACGAGUGUUGAAUUUAACUGAAACUGGAAGCCAAUUCGGAUCCCAUGUUCCGGGCGCCCAGAUGUGGGUCCGAAAAUUCGACAUCGUGAAUAUCGCUUGCUUCGACGCGUGGCAGGCGGUAGGUGAGUUCCGCCGGAGCCAUUUACGGGCGCAGCACACCGCGAGCGGAGAGUCCGAGGAGCCCGAUUUGUGCAGUCGGGAUGUUCUGGUCGCCCAGAACAUGGUUCCGGGCGCCCAGAAAUGCCCGUUUCUGCAUGAGUACUGGAUAGCAGCUGUUUUCUCUUGGGGCUUAUCUUAUCCCUCCAGCAGCCUAUAAAUAGAUGGAAGGUGACCCUGGUGAGCUCUUUUCCUCCCUUCUUCACAGAGAAGUCCCUUUUAGCAUCUCUACCCUCGGAUUUGCUUCAAUUUGCAUCAAAUUUCCAUUGAUCCAGCUUGAUGGAGUGCUGAUUCUACAAUUCUUCAGCGACGACCUUCAGUGUUUUGGCUCGUGCGCGACGUAGGAAGGUCGGAUUUUGACGAAACUUAAUUUGCUGGAUUCUAGACUUCCAGAGGAAUCCACGAAGUCCUGAAUUGCAAAUUUUGGUUGAGGUUAGCUUGGUCGAACUGAGGCUUUUCUGGACUGUUGUUGAUUUUGAGCUGAAAUUGGAAUUUUUGAGCUUUUCUUGAUGCUAACUUUGUAGGCAGUGGAAUUUUGGACCUGAGAUUGAUCACCCAUCAGUAGUUGCUGGAUUUGGAUCUGUCCUCACCCGAUUUGGAGAUCAUUAGGUGAGUUUUGACAUUGGAAUUGAGAUAAUUAAGCUUAAGUGCUGAAAUUUUUGGUAAAUUGAUGGUUUUUAUUGGAUUUUUGGGUGAAUUGUAAAUCCAGAUCUUGAGGGACUUUGUUGCUGGUUUGGAGGUGUUUCCAGCAGUGUUGCUUGUGAUCCGAGACCAUCUUGCUGCCAGGAAUUGCACUAGAGGUGGGUGUAUCAUCGGUUUCGCUCCUAAGUGCAUGUUUAGUCGACGUGUAUAGUUCGAUUUUUGUAUAUCAUGCUUUAAUUCAUCGAUUAGCAUCUUGAAUGUAAUAUGAAUGUAGAAGCAUGCUGAAAUGAAUAUUUAAAUUUUACAUGUUGGACUUGAAAUUUGACUUAGGAGAAAACCUGCGUUUUGACCCGUCAUAUGCUUAAACUACCAGAUUUAGCUCUAGGAGCCGUGAUUCGAUUGUAUCGUUGCAGCAUCAAUGCGAUGGAUACCUGAGAUAGUUUAGAAGGCAUUUACGCUCGUGCUGGGAUGCCGAGCUUAUUUUUCAGCAGAGUUUAGGCUGUUUCGGGUCGUUGGGUGCCGUUCGGGUUAGCGGUGGACCCAGAUUCUUGUUUUGGUCAUAGAUUGUGCCGAGGGCACGUGGGUUUGGUUUGUAGACCUGUUUUGACCCUGUUCACUUGACUUUGGCUAGUUGGAGCCUGAUUGAGCUCGACAGAGAUACGCUGCAUACUCGGUUGGGUAGCGCCCACGAGUGCCACUCCGGAGUCAGGUUUUGUGCUUUCGCGUUGGUGUCGCUCAUGCCGGUUGGACUUGCUCUCCACGGACCAGUUGUGUGGAUAGAGCCUGAUAGUCGCAACUGGGCAGGGACGGGUGUGUUCACAGUCUCAGGGACGGGUAUGUCUACAGUCCCGAUUGGAUUGGGUCAGAUUUGACAUUUCCUAUAGUUGGUUAGUGUAGAGCAUGAUAGUAUAGUGUUUGUAGCGGUUGAGUUUAUUUCCUGCUUUUUGGCUAUUCUUGCUCCCUUCUGUAGACUUAGUGGGUGGACCGAUGUUGUUUUGGGCGGUACCCACUGAGGAAUACUUAUUUUUACAUUAGUUCUCACGCCCAGUUGUUACCCCUGUUUUGCAGAGCCACAGGUUUCGGCUGCUGCUCCUUCCGCGGAUCAGAAUCGAGGCAAGGGCGUCGCGAGUUAGAGCCCUACCCGACGUGCUGAGCUAUAGGUGCCCCUACUGCAGGUAGAUGUUUUGUUUCAAGUUUAUGUACAUAGUGGACUUAACUCGCCAGUGCGAGUAGCUUUGUAUUUUGGAUUUGGACUAUGUAUAUGAAACUCAGUUUGUUUAGCUUCUGUUUUCUCUAGCAGCUCUCUACUACUGUUCGUAGUAGUGUUUGAUUUACAGGUACAGCUAUCGCUUCGUAUACAGGGAAAAUUUCUUUGUAUACGGCGGAUUUGUCGGCGCGCCCGGGAAAAGUGUAAUCCGGGGCGUGACACCCGGGCUGCCCAAAUGGACCCACCUUGCCUGUAUCCAGCUACGCCGUACACCAUCACGGGGGUGGCCGGCUCAAGAACUAUCCAAACAGAAACAACGACCUCAUCGCACUGAAACCUCAAACCAAGUUUACAAGUGUCUCUGUCAAGUUCAUUCAGGCUCUCACAGGCUGUAAUCACUGUCAAAGGGUCAAGCAACCAUAAUAAACAUACUCUUGGCACAAUCUGAUGCAAAAACAGCAAUCUUGGUACACCGUCAACCACAACGGCACCCAACAGUUCGGAACAGUCUAAACACUACUGUAAAAAUACACUCGGUAUCCUAGCACGAGUGUAAAUUCAUUCUACAUUAUUCUAGAUAUCCAUCGCCUACAAACUGCGACGAUACAAACAAAUUACAGCUCCUAAAGCUAAAUCUGGUAGUUUUCAGAAAAUGACAGUGUAGAGGUUAUGGUUUUCUCCUAAGUCAAAUCCAAGUCCAACAUAUAUAAUCAAUCUAGCAUUCUAAGCUCCAAUUCAGAUUUUAUUUAAGAACAAUGCAAAUCUACGAAUCGAGCUAUUAAACAUGAUAUCCAAAAAUUUAAUAAUACAUGCUGUCAACUGAAGUUUAGGAGCAAAUCCGAAAAUUUCGGUAGCUUAACAUCAACCCACCUCAAAAGCGCGUCCAACAACAGUGAGAAGUCGCAAGGAAAGGAAAUCCCGCACUCGCCCGACCUCCAACGACGCUACUACGAUGAACGCACGCUCGAACGGCUCAUCGGCGCACGUCGACGUUGAUCCGAGCUCCAACCGCGACCACCACCUCGAGCGCGAUCAAAAACCAGAGGGAGAGAGAGAACAGCAAGCCAAAAACCCUUCUUCACGCUCUCUGCAAGUAUAAGAAGGCUGAGCAGGCAUUGGUUUGAACGAUACAUCAAAAGACCAAAAGGUCCCUCACCUACCCUGGAGUACCGGUGUUAGAAAUUAACCGGCACAUCAGAAAAACGCAGCGGAAAAUAAUUUUGCACUUUUAAAAUUUUUCGGAAGCUAAAUACAUAUCACAUAUGAAAACCGAAAACCAAUAAAUCAAAUCAUUGCCGGCGGAUCAUUCUCAUGUUACUAUGCAAAAAUUUAAUCUAAACAAAAACUCUUUAUGUUUAGAUAUCUUACCGUGGACCAGUUAAGGUCUCUUGAUCUACUGUACGGUUGAAACUGAAUAUGACGAACAGAGAUUCCGAUUGGCCGCGCACAUGCCCGGCCUCUACGCGUAUCCACACGGAAUUGAUCCAGAUCCAACGCCUUCCGUCGCACGGAAUAGAUGAGUCGCAGAUUACAAAGACAGUGCUAGCAGUCUUCUCUUAUCCACGUUCCCUUUUAGUAAAAUAUUUGACGAAAGGUUGAGAGAGAAUAAUGUGAAUCUCUUCACAUUAAUUUUCAUGUGUUGCCUACUAAUGAAACCGCGUCUUUUUAUGUACAGCUCCAAUUAAUUGAGCCGUACGGAUCGGCACUCCUCAACAUUCUGUUGUAACUAAUUGGAUCAUAUCCAAUUAGUUGCAUACAUUCUGUUGUAAUUAAUUUGGAUCAUAUCCAAUUAGUUGCGAUAUAGGAUAAGUAAAAGUAAAUUUAUGCUCAUCCUUUAUGGAUAUUUUAUCAUUAUCUCUCUCUUUAAUUUAAUUAGAUCUUAUCUAUUAAAUUAUAAUUAAAUAUUCAUAUUUAAAUCUAAUCUAAUUAGAAUAUUAUCUCAUAAUAAUCUAUGAAUAUUUAAUUAUUUUCUAAUCUAAUUAGAGAUUAAACCUUUCGUAACAUUCAAAUUCAAAUUACUAUUUCCACUAAACUGUUUAGUGUAUUAUACUCAUAUUGUCAUGCAUGUUGGAUGCAUACAAUUACUAUUGUGUAUGACCGCAUAGGUUCAUUGUCAUUCGGCAGUGAGGUCCAAUAUCAAACCCUUCAAUAUUGAAUUAGAACUCUUUUAAUCUGUAAAAUAAUUUAUUUAAAUUAUUUUUUACUUCUCUCACUGUCCGCGAGUGACACCUAGCAGUAUAUCACGGCAAUCCAGAACGAUGAUGAAAAACGAACCUUUCCGCUAACCGUUACCGUGUGAUUAAUUCCUUCCAACACACAACGCCCCGAUCGAACUAAGAUUAUGGUUACUCGCCAAAUCUUAUUAUUCGAUCAUAUGAUUAGAAUAUCUAAAAUCAACUCAAUAUGGUAACACAGUUAGAAACUCUUUCCACAUACCAUGUACCCUGGCCAGGGGUUUUCCGAGUCGAGUCCGAUAAACUACAUAGGACAUUCUCCCUCAUCAUUGAGAGUGUUGGAUUCCUUAUUGUGCAUUCACAUACCUCAUCGCAUAAAUCACUAUAGUCAAUCAGUACCGAACAUAGACCCGUGUCUAGAGUCUAAGUAUUAGUACUGUCAAACGGUAGCAAUCUAUACGUGAAGCAGUACUGUCAAACGGUAGCAAUCUAUACGUGAAGCAACUAUGAUGCCUUAGGUCCGAGGAAUACUUCACACAACUGUAGCAAUGAACUUAUCACUGGCCAGCAUAGAACCAUAUGACUGUUCAACUAAAUAGUCACGCUCAGUGUACUUGUUCUCUAACAAGCACCUGUAUGCUUGUUCUAGUGUCCCUACACUAGUGACUUGAGAUUCGUCACCUCAAUUAGAAACAUAGCAUACACCGGCCUAUCCGGAAUAUCACCGUCCCUGUAAUAUUCCUCUGGCUAGGAGCAUUUAAAGAGUCUGGUACAGAGAAGUACAUAUCUCAAAUUCCUAACUCUUAAGAAUAUGUUUUUUCAAACAAAGACCCUAUGGACGAUUCAUGUCAAUGUUGUACUGCUAUAUAAUAGAUACGAAUAGAUUAUCUGCCCUUAUAUUAUGAAUUAUAAAUGAUUAAUACAUAAAUACCCUUAAACUAGUGUCACCAGAUUGGCUUUUGGGCAUAUAACUAACAACCGGUACCAGGCCGAUGCCGUAUCGGUACUCCACAUCAGAAGUUGCAACCCGAGAGCAGUAGUGCGCAGAAUAUGCUGGAGUACCGGUAUGCCCCUGUGUGGUACCGGUAUGCAAUGCUGAAAACCUGCAAUUUGCAGAUUUCAAAUGCUAAAAUCCUGCUCUCACGUCGCAACGAGUUCGUUUUGCGUCUCUUUCGCGCUAAAACGACUCGGACUUGUCCCGACACUCUCCAGAUGUGUCGACAAGCCUCAGAUGCCGAAAUCUCACGGCUGCAGAAAGCCAACAUAUUUAUAUGUGUAUACUAGUAUAUAUUACUAUCCGAAUACUAUUCGAAUACGUAGAAAUAUUCGAUCCUAUUCGAAUCCACUAUUAGCAUAUAUGGAAAUUAAAAGUUAGCAUUAAACAUAUAUUCGCACUCGAAUUCUCUUUGGAAAAAAGAUAUGGAUGUGAAUAUGAUUUCGUCAAAUAUCUAACCGUAUUCGACCGUUUUCAUUCCUAUGCGCAUGACAUUUAGUUCUAAAACUUUAAUUUAUUGUAGUAACUAAAUCGAACUUUAUAAAUUAUCAUAGCUAAUUUUUACAACUCAAAUUAUUCGACUAAACAUUGAUGUCGCUUAUAUAGAAAUGAUGUGAUAGUAUUGUGAAGAUGUCACAUCACUUUUUACAUCAGUAAUUACGUAAACAUUUAGUCAACGUCUAAAUUGGAUUAUGAGAUUCCAUGCAUUGCAAUAAUUUAGAAAUUUCGAGCCAAAUCUAUUUCUCUACAUUAAAGGAGAGUUUGGGGGGACCUUGCACUACAACAGAAUUAGGUUAUAGCGACAUAUCUUUGGGAUACUUUUGUCUAAGUGUUCCAUUUAUGCAAAAAUUUUAAAAAACAUCUACUAAUGUUUAAAUAUAAAGCCGAAUCCAACAAAAAAUAAAAGGUUACUCUACUCAACCCACCCAACCCAGCCCAUUUAGCCCGAUUAUAAACAGAAAAGAAAAAACAAAGAAAAAUAAAUUACCAUCUCCCCUUCUCCUCUUACUUAUUCCACUGAAAUCCUAAACGAAGGGCCCUUCCCUCUCGUCCUCCUCCGCCACCGCAGCCAACAAGGUAGAGUUCCGGCGGUUGCUAGAUGCUUAAAUAAGUGUUGCUAAAUUAGCAACACUCUUUUUAGAUUAUAGCGACACUCUUUAACUGUCACUAUAUACCUAGCGACCCUACAUAUAGCAACACUUUUGAAAAGUGUCGGUAAUUUAGCCAGCAGCACUUUUUUUGACCUGUACCGACAUUUAACAGUGUCGCUAUAGACCGUUUUUGUUGUAGUGUUGGGGUGACACGUCUCCCCCCAAACCCCCUCUCUCUCUCUCUCUCUCUCUCUCUCUCUCUCUCUCUCUAUAUAUAUAUAUAUAUCAAAAUUUAAAAUUUUGAUACUUUCAAAUUUUAAAAUUUUAAAUUUUAAAUUUAAUUUAUAAUAUUUAUUUUCAAAUUUUAAACUUCAAAAUUUAAAAUUUUAAAUCUCUAAACUCUAUGAAAUUAAUUAAUUAAAUUUAUUAAUAACUCAUUGUAUAUAAUAUAAUUAAUUAAUAUUAUUAAUAAUACACGUAAUAAAUUUUAGAAAUAUAGUGCGCGUGUGCAUAUAUAUAAAAUUAAUUUUAUUAAACAAAUUCUUCUAUUAUUUUAUUUCCCUUCUAUUUAUUAUUUUUUAAAAUUAUUUUGAUAUAUUUAUCUCAAAUCUUUUUUCACAUAAAUCUUUAUAAAAUAAGUUCACUACAAAAAAAAAUUAAUAUAAAGACGCUUUUUAGACGACUCUUAGGGGAAGCGUCUCCAAGCAUUUUUACAAUAUAGAAAAUACCAACGCUUCAAAAAACGUCGUCAUAUGAUAUCAAACAAUUUAUUAAAUGAUGAUAAAUUUUACAACUAUUUUUAAUUUUCCGACGCUUAAAGCGUCGGGAUUUUAAAAAUUCUGACACUUUAAAGCAUCAGAAUAUAUUUUACUGACGCUUAGUAUAAGCGUUGAUAUAUGCACGGCGACUCUUCAUUUGCCGACACUUUGACCGACGCUUUCAAAAAUGACGUUGGAAUAUAUUGGGACGCUUUUAAGCAUUGUAAAAUAUAAAAAAGAGCAUCCUUAAAUGUAACAUUUUUUGUAGUGGUUGUCGUUUCAAUAAAUUUUAUUUAAAUAAAAUUAACUAUUAAAUUAUUUUUAUAUAACUUUUAUUUAAUUAAUAAUUAGACUUAUAAAAUUAUUUUAAAAUAUAAAAAACUAAAAUUUAUUAAAAAAAAAAUUUAUAUCCAGCAUCGCGCGGGUAUUUCACUAGUAUUAUAAUAAAGUAAAGUUUGAGAACCAUAAUGUUAUAGAAUUCAUAGUCCGAGGACCAAAAGUGUAAUUUAGCUUCAUUAACUAAGAUGUUCUACCAAGUCCUUAAUUAGUGAUUCAACAACACAAUCUUUCCCCUCCUCACGCGAAUAAUUACUAGCUGUACUUGUUUUCAACGAUUUUAAAGCAUGCAUGUUAUUUUUUAAUUAUUGAACAAUUAAUGAUGCAUGGAUGUAACCAUUCCCCACAGUAGAGAAGACACUAAUGCAAGGAAAAUUUCUUAUUUUAUAUAUAUUUUUUGGGUGGAAUUCUAUAGAGGUGAACUAAAAUUGGGUCCAUUUUGGAAAUGCCUAUUCAAAUUUUGAAAAUUUUAAUUUUACUUUCUGAGCUUUCAAAUAGGUUGAUUUGUGUUCUUAAAAAUAAUUACGUGUCCGGUGCAUCCAAAUAUCUGUACAUCAUAUUUUAUUUUUUUUAACGAAAAAAAAAUGCACAACUUAAUUAUUGAAUGGCAGAGAAAAUAAAUGACAAAUAAAAGUGCCGUGUGCGCAUGUGUGCAAAUCCAUCACCUUCAUGCAAUAGUUUUUCAGCACUAUAUAGUACUAUAAUUAAACAAAAUAAAAUGCUAGAUAGUAAAAUCAAAAUUUUUAAAUAUCUGGUAGUUAUUUCUAAAUGAUCUAAAGUUGAAGUUACUUUGCAUGCAUUUUUUACCUUUCUGUUUUUUUUUUUUGCCAAUUUGUUAUUAAUAUUUUUUUUGCGGUCCUAUUUUUCUCAAUUUUGGUACCAAUAUAUGUAUGGGUCUAAGUCUCAAUAUUGAUAUAUUUUACAAGACAAAAAUGAAGAAUUAUUCUGCAAGCACGGAAGACUAACGGUGGAAACUCGAUAGCACUAAGGAUUUAGUGCUAUCGAUAGUAUCCACUACAACAAAUAGAGCUUCUUCCGACAGUUUUUUUACCAGCAAUUAGGCUAACUGCCGCUAAAAGUAUAUUAUACCAGCGCUUUUUAUUUUUAUUGCAGCAGUUACUAAACCGCUGGUAUAUAUGAUGAUAAUUCUCAAAUUUAUAAAUAAUAUUGGACCCUAUAUUUUAUUAACUUUUUCCAUCAAUUGGGCCAUGGGCCAACCUUGGGCAAUAAACACUUUCCACAUUAGCUCUCCUUAUAUUUCAAAUAACCUCUCUCUCUCUCUCUAUCUCUCUCUCUCUCUCUCUCUCUCUCUCUCUCUCCAUCUCCACGCACCGUGAGCUUCGAGCUCGAUCGAUCUCCAUCUCUCUCUCUCUCUCUCUCUCUCUCUCUCUCUCUCCAUCAUCUAUCCGAUCAGAUCCGAUCCAAACCCUAAUCUCCACCCCCUCUAAUCCCUCCGAUCUGAUCGAAUCCAAGCCCUAAUUCUCAGAUCCCAUCCAUGGCGUCCCUCUCCUCCCCUCUGCCGCUCCCCUCCGCGGCGGCGGCGCUCCGCCGCGCUCGCCGCCCCGCCCCGAUCGCCGCGGCGAAUCCGUUGCAGUCGCCGUAGCCCUCGCCAGAGCCGAGGAGGCGAUCUCCGUAGUGGGCGCCGCUGUUUCAGCCGAUCGUCGGCGACGUGGCCGGAGGAGGCGGCGGUGCUGCGGCGGCGGCGGAGGAGGUGGCGGCGGAGAGGGAGAGGGAGAGGUUGACGGCGGAGAAGGCGAGGGUUCUGAGGGUUCUGAGGAGGGAGACGAGGGCGACGGAGGGGUGGCACGACGCCAUGUAUCACUCCACCAUCGCCUCACCCGACGAUCUCGAGGUUUAAAACGACGAUCCUGAAUAUACUCGGUAUGCCCUAUAUAUGUAACCCACCGCCCUUGUUUUCAUGUUUCUAAUGUAGAAGAAACCUGUGUAUGAUAUAUAUAUAUAUAUAUAUAUAUAUAUAUAUAUAUAUAUAUACUGGUGAAAUUUGUUAGAUAGACGUUCGGUUCUAUAUUUCUAUGCCCUUUUUGAUGUCCUGUAAAAAAAAGAAAAAAAGUUGAAGGGGUGAGGGCUUGUUGGGGAUAAUAGGAGAAAUGGCCUAGAGAAUAAAAGGCAACGACAAUGGUUUCAUCUCCCACAUACAAUUUUGAAUUAUAUAUAAUAAGGUAAAGAGAUCAUACAAGCUUUAGUGUCACACUUCACGAGUUCUGUUUCUAAUGCUGCUUUUUUAUAUAUAUAUAUAUUUUAGGGGAUAAAAAAAAAAUUUUCUAUGCAUAAGAAAGCCAGAUGGGUUCAAAGAGGGAGGGAAGGAAAUAGUCUUUUUCUAUGCAUAAAAAAUCUCUUCUGAUUCUAGCCUCCUUUCUAGUCCUUUUAAGCAGCUGCACUGUUGUUAUAAUAGUACUCACUGCUUGAGCUUCUUUCUCCAGACUUCUGUUAUAAUAAUUCAUGUUGUAGAUACAUAUUUAGACAUAGCUAAGCUAAUUAGGUGCACUUUUUUUUCUUUUUCUUUUUUUUUCGCUUGCUUCUGUUUCUAACUUCUGAAACUUUACUAAUAGCUACGAGAAAAUUUUGCUGCUAUGUUUGUGAUUCUAAGCGUCUUUGUUAACCCAUGUGUGAGUAUCAGACUCUCUUCUUUUCUGCUUCCUCUGUUGAGUUAUAUGGAGUGAAAAGAAUAAAGUUUUUAACACUUUCUUCAGAUAAGAAGCAUUGUGUCCAAGAAGGUUGGAUCAACUGAGCAGGUAAUGCAUUCAAAAUUGGCGCUAUGCUUUCUUAUCAUAGAUCUGCUGCUGAAAAUGUUCGAUAAUUGUGGACUAGACAAAAUGACGUACAAAUUUGUAACAUUGUUAGCUAAGUUUCUAUAUUCUAGAAUUGGUUGCACAAUUAGGGUUAAAUGAAUUAGGCUUUCUUUAAUUUUCCUUUUGUGCGUACUCAAAAAGUUGUUAGAACUAGUGUAAAAUCUCCACUUAUUGCAUGCAUCUAUUAAGCUUUCUUACCAAAUCUGAAAAUAAAGAUGCUUCACUUCUAUACAUAUAAUGUUACUUCUUUCUAACUGCAACACACUUUUAUUAGGGAAUGGCCCAAGGGUGUAUAACUGGUAUAAGUUCAUUUGCCAGCAUUAUUGCCCCUCUUGUCUUUACUCCUCUAACAGGUAGAUACUGGUUAUGCUACAACAGUGUAAUGAUCUUUGAAUUUACAAAAUGCAUACAAGCCUCUGUUGCACCCUCUCCAUGCAUGUUCGAUAUAUCAUGAUGAGAAAUUUAAGGAAUUUUGUUAUAUGUUAUGUAUAAUAUGUCAUUGUUUCGUGGAAACUAAAUAACAUGUUUUGCAAUUUUGCACCUUGUAAACUCACCGAAAUUAAAAUUUGAUCUGAUAAAUUAAUCAGUAUCUUCUUGAUAAGAAAACUUCAUAUUCUAAUUGAGUCCCACUAUGGAUCUAAAUCAUUUAAGAUCCAUACGAAGUAUCACCCAUUUUCCUUGAUUUGAAUCAAAUAAUUCUAAUUAAAGCUCUACUACAUGUGGUUACACCUCAAAAUUUUAGUUGUUCUUAAUUCUCUUGUUCUAGUGAAAAAUUUUAGUUCUAUAAUUAACAAAUUUCCUUUAGUUCUAUAAUUAACAAAUUUUCUCUAGUCCAAGAUUUUCGAGAUUUUUAUGAUACUUUUAUUUGGAGAAUAUUGAUGACACAUGAAAGGGAUUGAAUCCAUGAUCCCCUCAUAGAGGAGAGAGAGUUGGUAGUACCAGCCACUUGGUUAAGCCUUGGUCAAGGAUUGAAAUAUUCUGUUUGAGAUCUUGUUUAGUGAAAGUACAUACUCUGCCAAUUAAUUAACCUCUUUCAAUUGUACAUUUCUAGCUACAAUUUUCUUAUAUUUCUUCUAUUCCUCUUUGUUUCGGUUUCCGUAGCUUUUAUGUUAUAGGAGAUCCUCUAUUGUCUCAUUUUACGCUUCUUGCACAACUUAAUACAUUCCAAUCUUGCAUGCACAAGCUAUAUAUAUUGCUCCUAAACUUGGCUUUUUAUGAUCUUCUGCCACAUGCAAUAUUCUUCCAAUUCUGAACUUCUUGUUAACAUAUCAAAUCAAGGAUUUCACUUGUGCUAUAUGUGCUCAAUCCCUUAAAAUUCAUGAAUAGCAGGAACCAUCACUGUGUUCAUUAAUGGGAUUGCUUCGGAAGUUCCGAGGGGUCCUAUAGACUAACUGUCUUAUUUGAAUGUGGGAAAUUGAAUUGUUGUUUUACAAUUGUUUGCAGCUAUCAAAGAUCAGUUUUUGAUAAUCAGAAUCAUAGCUCGAUUGUGUCUACAAGGCAUUAUAGGGCAUGUAAAAUCCGGGCUGUUGCUACUUGAGUGCGCAUGAGCGUGAGAGUGGAAUUGAGGUGAAUCCGUUUUGGCGCAAAAUUGAUGCGAAAACGGAUGUUUUGGGCUACUAAUCUUGCAAUUGACAAUUGCAUUGGGUUAAGUUGCAAGAUGGCCUUCUUAGUGGAUUUCCACUAACAGAGAGAAAGAGAAGAGAUUUUUUCUAUUCUCUUCUUAUCCUCUUUCUCUCUCUCCCUCUCUCUCAGAUUUCAUCAAAAAAAGAGAGCAAGUAAAAGAAAAAGAGAGAAUAAGAAGAAGAAGGAGAAGAAGAAGAACUUGGAAAUGAGGGUGAAUUCUCUUAUUUCUCCUUUCCUUCCCUUUCUUUUCCUUCUUCCCUCUUUUCUACUCUUCUCCUUUCUCUUCCCUUCUCUUCCUUCCUUCUCUAUUCCCCUCCCCUGCUGCUGCUACUGCAGGAAAUUCCUGCAGCAGGCAGCAGCAGCAGCAUGCAGCUUGCAACAGCAGCACCUGCUGCAGGGACAGCAGAUUAUAAAAAAAAAGAAGGGAAAAGAGAAAUAGAGGGAAAAGAGAAGAAAAGAAAAGAGAGUAAAACAAGAGAGAGUGAAAGGGAAUGAUUGAAGUGGAAAGGAUUGGAAUAAUUAGCCAAAUUCGCGAUUCUGAUGUCAAAUUGACACUUACAGGGUGUUCCGGAGUGUACAUUUAAGUGCCCCACACAUCUCGUUAGUCGCAAUUUAAGUUAAUUAACUUUCAAUUUGUGUAAAUUGAGUCUGGAUUGAAAAUUAGCCUUUUGAUUGCAUUUCCGGAUGUUUUGACUUGUUUAGUGAUUCCGGGAAAAGACUCAGCUUUGUCGGAGAGCUUUGUGGUGGCAAUGCAUUAAGGAGCACAAUUGUUGUGGGAAAUGAGAUGAAACGGCAAAGAGCCCACAAUACAAUGUUUCAUGUGCCCUGGAGAUGUGAACGGGUAUUUACUAAACUUGUUUUUGCCUAAACUUCAGCAGUUAGAUAGUCGUUGUAAAUAGUUAUAAUUCAAUGUGGCACUUUUAACUAUUUGUGAUUUGGGUUAUCUAGUGCAUGUUUCUUGCUAAACAAGAUUUUUUUCAGCUUGGUCUGUCAUAUGUAGAGAUCAUCUUAAUUUGUAAAUUCCUUAUUACACUGUGAUGCUAAUCAGGUAUUUGUAUUUUGGUCUGCGGAGUAGAGGUGAUACAACUCACUAUGAUGCUGUUGCGAAUUCAGCAGCAUCUGGAGUACUCUCUGCUGGAUUAGCUUCAGGUUUGCUACUACUGACUUUCAAACCAUUUCACCAUACAUGUUAAAAUGAUAUUAUUGGGAUAUAAGAUUGCUUGUAAACUCCUUAUUGACGGAAUGUAUAGUAAACACUAUCUUUUCUUCCUCAGACUGAAGUUGUUGAAGUUUAAUACUAGUAAAUUUCGCCAUAUAUUAAAAUGCAGAUCAGCUGUAUGAGUACCCUAAUGGUUGAUUAAUGCUGAAGCUGGCACUAGCAUGACUAAGGCCUCUUGUAGGGGGCUACAGGGCAUUUUAGUAAUUUCAUGUCCAUUUUGGGACUAUAUCCUCCAAUACCAUAAUAACAUUGUUGAGUUUAUUUGGGGAAGUUUCAUAAGGUACCCAUGAUCAGUAGCAUGCUAUUUUAGCAUGGAGGUGGAAGUGGAUAACUAGUUUUAGCUCUACCCCAAGCUAAGUGCUUUAUGAUAAACCGCUGGUUAUGUCCACAAUAAACAUAUUGCUCUGAUUUAUGUUUACAUUGCCUACCACCAAUUAUACAUGCAUCUUUGAUCAAAUAAUUAUGCACAAUAUGCAUUGAAUUAAUUCAUAUGACAGUUAAACUAACAGUCUAAGAUCUAGUUAUUGUCUUUCUAUACUUGGCAACUAAAGCAAUUUGAUAAAAAUAUAAGAGUAUUCCACCUUGAUCCAUAUGACUUAGCCCAGUAUACAGUACUCUUAUAUUUAGAAAACACAAAGUUCUUAGAUACCUACUUGUCAUUACAUUUAAUAUCAUGCAUUUGCCCACAUAUAUUAUUUUUACACUCACAUAUGAUCUCUUCAUGAUUUAUCUCUCUUUCCUUUUGGAUCGAGGUUCCUAUGCAUCUCUAAUAUAUAUGAACUUGCUAACUACAGGAUAGUAAAACUAUUUGUAUUAGCUACGUUGCAGUAUUUAAAAAGGUCUUUUUUCUAUGCCCUGAGAAAUGGUGGUUGGCUUAGGUCUUAAUCAUCUUGGUAGUGGCUGCAUUCCUUCUUUUGACUGUUGAUGGCCCACAUGAAAAGGUAUUUAUCUUUUUCUCAUUUAUUAACUAGAAUCACUCUUAGUUUAAGAAAUACCAUUUAAUUUUUGAAUCUUGUCUAAACCUCUAUGUUGAUCUUGUGUUUAGAUAUAAUCUUCUGAAUUCACUUUUAAUAUAAUGACUUGAUUUUGUCAUAAACGUAUAAUUGAAGAGUACAUUUUAUACUUUUAAUGCAGCAUGCUAGGGAUGAACUUCUAUUCCAUGUUACUAAAUACUUCUCUUUUGCCCUUUUAUUCUUCUAAUUUCUAAAUGAAUGAUACUUUUUUUUUUUUCCAUGCGAUGCAUGCAGCAUGUCCAAGAGCUUCUUAAUUAUGCCAGAUAUGGAUUGUGGUGGGUAUCUCUAGGAGUGGCAUCAUCAAUUGGACUAGGCAAGUGCAAAAAUUGCAUUCUACUUUAAUGAAAUAUUGGAUUGGAUCGUUUAAAGUUUAAAGUACAUAAUUUCCUUAUGUCCACAUAGUUUGCUUAUGUAGUUUUACAUAUUUUUAUGAUAGUACUCCACAAGCCAAAAGAAUUUUGCUAAUAAAUUCCUACUGCUCAAUUUGGUUCAUUCUAAGGUUUCUUGGCAUUCAUUUUGGGCCCUUAUCGUCUAGCUUUUCUAGUUUCCUUGGGGUGGUGGCCAGCCACUGCAAAAGCAGUCAUUUUGGGGCUGGUUUUCAUGCUGCAGUGGAUUCCUCAUCACAAAAAACAGCGGUUUGCAAUAGAAUUUAAGUUGGAUGUUGUGGCGACUCUUAUCAGAAUUUAUCGCUGGCCAAAUUUGACCUUUUUCUUGGAUAUGUUAUUGAAGUCGACCAGAAAUCAGAUAGAUAUCAAAUUUGUGAUUUAUACCGCUGAGUUAACAUUGUCUUCUGCCUUCUUUUCUGGUCUAUUAAAAACCAAACUUUUAUAAUAUUGUGUGUAUAAUAUUGCAUUGAUGGAGGUUUCUAACCGCAUAGUGUUCAUAAAUUGAAUGCACUGAUUUUAGAAAUUUUAGGGAAAAUUUGAAAAAAAACUAUUACGUUGGUCUUUACUAUAUGGUACUUGUGAUAAAUUUUCUAUUGGAAUGAGCUUCUGCAGCUUAUAUGUUUCAAUUUUUCUUAUUCCAGAUUGAAGCAACAAGCGGGAUUUGAUACUCGCAUUUCAAGGAUGUGUAGCAACUGUUUCUUUUUCAGCAACUGUUUCUUUUUCUUAUCUUUCUAACAUUUGGAAUUCAAAUAUAUUUUCUAUUGCGUUGAUUCUAUUAGAACAUAAAAAAUUUUUUGUUGCAUUUUGUCAUUGUUAUAGAUCAUGAUUGUACCAUUUGAUAGUUUUGUUAUAAAUAUUUUUACUGUUUUGUUAUAGAUUUCUCUAUUACAAUUUAAUAAUGUGACUCUCAUAUGUGACUCAUUUUUUUCGGAUAUUAUAGAUUUAUUGGUUUUACAAUUAAUAUCAAAUGAAAAGGAUCUAUUGUAAUUUGUUGAUAUUAGUAUCUUUUUUUCAUUUUAGUCUUAAAUUGCCAACGGUCAAAAACUGUCGGUAUAUAUACUUUGCGCCAGUAUUUUUUUAAUAGUUUUAGCGACAGUUUAAAAAAUGUUGCUAGAGAUUAUCUUCUCCAAUGGUCAAUAAAAGUGCUGGGAAAGGGUAAUACCAGCAAGGAUAUAGUAAUGGUCACUUACACUUUUACCAGCACUUUUAGAACUGCUGGAGCAAGUAUUACCAGCGGUUUUUGUAAUCUUUUCCAGCAGUUUUGGCAGCUGGUACAUACCUAUUUUUUUGUAGUGAUCCCAGCCAAACUCCUCUAUAUGAACUAGACUGGAAUACUAUCAAUAGCACCAAGCUAUUGGUGCUUUUAGCUUUUAGCCCUUGGAUUGAGAAAUGUACGGUUAGGAUGAUGUGGACACCCUAGGGUUGAGUGGACGGUUGGUUGAAUAGUAUAAUCUAACGGGUAAAAAUAAUCAAAAGAGUAAAUCUAACGGUGGAAAACUCGAUAACGUACACCAAGUCCUUGGUGCUAUCAAUAGUAUCCCAACCGAACUAUAUAUAUAUAUAUAUAUAUAUAUAUAUAUAUAUAUAUAUAUAUAUAUAUAAAAUUGAGUUAAUUCCUGUACUUUUAAAAGUACCAAAUUAUUGGUGCUUAUAAGUUUUUGGCCCUUCAAUUAAGGGAUGUGCGGUUAGAAUGAUGUGGGCCUCCUAGGGUUAAGUGGGUGGUUGGUUGAAUAGUAUAAUCUAACGAAUAAAAAUGAUCAAAGGCAUAGAUCUAACGGUAAAAAAUUUACAAGCACCAAGUGCUUGAUGCUUGUACAAGCACCAUAGCCGGACUAUAUAUAUAUAUAUAUAUAUAUAUAUAUAGAGAGAGAGAGAGAGAGAGAGAGAGAGAGAGAUAGGCUCUUACGCUUUUUUCCAAAACACGAAAGUCUCCGUGCUUAUAAGUUGUUUUCGAUAAUGGGACGUACGAUUCAACAAUCAAUUCCGUUAGGAUGGUCUACACUAUUAAAACUAUUUCGAAACCAAAUUUUAUAAUUUUUUAAUUUUGUUUGCUUAGCUAGUAAAAGAGUAGCAUCAAAAUGAACAGCUGAAAAUAAAAAUUUUAUAAAAAACUAAAGAUAAAAGCUCAAAUUUCAAAUCAAAAGUAUUAUUUUUUGCUCUUGAUGUUAAGCAGAAUUUUCUAUCAAAGUUUCAUGUAAUUUGAAUAUUUCUAACGUAGUUCAUAUUUAACGGAGCUGAUUGCCGAAUCGGAUGUCCCAUCAUCGAAAAUAAUUACAAGCACAGAGAUCCUCGUGUUUGUAAUCAUAAUCGAGAGUAUAGAUCUUGUUCUAAAUAGUUUAAAGAAUUUUCUAACCAAAAUUCAAUUGAUUUGGAUAGCUUUACACCAUUAAACGAGAAAACCCCUCAUAUCAACCGUUAAAAUUACUAAUUUUGAAACUCUUUGAUCAUUAGGUAAAUGAAGUCGAAAAGAUUUGAAAUUUAAUUUCUAAAUAGUUCAAGUGAUAUAAAUCAUGUUCAACGGUGUCGAUCGUCGAUUUGAAAGCUCCAUCAUCGAAAACAAACGGGUGGCAACGGAGCCCGUUUGCUACCGAUAGCAUUCCAGCUCAACUCUAUAUAUAUAUAUAUAUAUAUAUANUAUAUAUAUAUAUAUAUAUAUAUAUAUAUAUAUAUAUAUAUAUAAGUAGGCUAUUAAACUACUAAUAGCAUGCACCAAAUCAUUGGUGCUAUUAGAUUUUCGGCCCUUGGAUGAAGGGAUUUGCGAUUAGGAUGAUAGUGAUCCUCUCCAGUUGAGAGGGUGAUUGGUUGAACAGUAUGAUCUAAUAAUAGGUGGAAAUGAUUAAAAUGAUAGAUUUAACGGUAGAGAAUUUGGCAACACCAGGCACUUGGUGCUAUUGAUAGCAUAACAACCAGACUAGUAUCAAUAAUAUAUUCCUCUUGUAAAUAGUCAGUAAUAGUUGUACGUACCAACGCAUAAAAUAAUUCAAAUUUUAGAUUAAUUGAAAUUAUAUGGAUCUUUCAUAAACCAGUUUGCAUAUAAUUAGCACUUGCAAUUCAACUCGUUGUUCGAAAGCCAGCUCAUAUUCAGCUUGAAAUGAGCUCGAGGUUGGUAGUUUCACUUAAUAAACGAGCCAAAUAUGAGUUGAAUUUUUUUGCUUGGAAUCUUAACGAGCCAAACACGAGCUGGGGUAAGUUUGCUCAUGUUGGAUUUUAACCCAUCCAAAAUUUAAAGCAGCCUAUAUUUUGUGAAUUUCUAAAAUUAGAUUAGGAUUCCAAUUUUUUUUAUUUUUCUUUCAAUCUUUCACCCAGCAGAAGCACCGACAAUUUAAUUUAUUAUUUGUGAGCCUACUCGCAUUUAGCCCGUUAAUAAAUAAGCCGAAUACGAGUUAAAUUUUUCAGCUUAAUAUUUUAACAAGCCAGCUUGUGUUCGGCUCGUUUAAUAAAUGAGCGACACGAGUCCACUCCAUCUCGCUCGUGUACAGCUUAUUGACGGCCCUACGUGUAAUCUUGAUCCAUGAAUAUAAAAAUCCUUCUUAUCUCCAUAGUUGAUAUAUUUAUUUCAUAAAAAGGUCAAAUCUAUUAGUGUUUUUUUUAAUUUUCUAACUCCAUAAGGAGCUCUCCAUAAAAUUUUGGUAAAACAAAUUUAUUUUUUUUUUCCAUUAUUAGGUUCCCUUCAACUUAAUUUCCAUCCCUUUAUUUUUCUUUUAUCUUUGUCAAUUAAAUUAAAUAUUUUGUUAAAUCCAAAAAUAAUUCUAUCAAAUUUUACUCUUCACACCAGAUAUUGAACAGCGAAUUUGAAUAGUUAUGUAAGAUCAUUAAAACAAUAAAAAAUAAAACAAAUAUAAAUUAAAAUAAAAAAUAAUUGAGGGAUUUUUAUACAUUUUGACUAAAAUUUUUUGUCCUAAUUGUGCCCCAUUAAAAAUGUUGUUCUCCAACGGUAGGAAAAAUUCGAGAACACCAUGCACUGCAACUAACAAAUUAAUAUAUACGAACGAGUUAUAGCAUUAAUUAACAAAUAUACAAUAUCUUAUACAGCUCCAAUUGCAAGUACAAUAUUCAUUAAAUUCCUCUCUAACUAACCAAAUUAACCAUGGGUUAACUAAUCCUCAUUUUACGAGAUAAUUUCUUAAACUUAAAUUUUUAAAAAAAAAUCUUCAAAAACCAUCACAUUUCAUUAAGAUUAUUGAUUCUGGAGUCAUUCCAUACUAAAAAUAAAUCUUUUAGGUUGCAUGGCAUAAGCGCAUGAGAUUCUAAGUUUGAAUUGCACCAUUUCAUUUAAAUUUGCAUCACAGUUUCAAUAAAAAGUUUCAAGCUAAUACGUAAGUAAAAUUGUUGAACACAAAAAAAAAAUCAUUGUUCUUUAAUGGGUAAAUUACACUCUAUAUAUCAUGGAUUUUUUUAUAAAUUUCACAUAUCUAAUACACCAUGAACGCCCAUUCGAUGCAGAUUCAUACAUUUUUUUUAUUUUACUUUUUUUUUGUGUACAUAAUAUAAAACCAUAAGUAUUUUGGAUUUUUGAUCAAUGCAUAUAAUUUUCUUUCGAAUAGUAUAAAUAAAUUAUGUACGAUGGAGAAUUUUCUUUCUUAAAAUAUAUAAAUUAUCAAUGAGAAUUUAUUAAUUUCAUUCAUAUAAAAAAAAAAUUUCAGCAAAAUUAAUAUUUUAUAUAUAAUAAAUAUAUAUUAUUAUAUUAAUAGUAUUAUAUUUUAUUAGCGGUGUCGUAUCCUACAAUCCAAUUUAGUUGGCUAAAUAUCGACAAAUUGUUAAUGUAAAAGUAUUGUAAUUGACGAUACGCUAAUAAUUUGCCAAUAUUUAGACAACUAGAUUGAGUUGUGAAACUUUAUUAUAACAAUUCAGAAAGUUCUAGCCAGAUAUUACGACAAGCUUAUGUUUGAGGACCAAAGUGUCACGUUCCUCGUAGUUUGACGACCAAAAGAGUAAUUUUCUUUUUUUAAUAACUUUGUUUUUGGAGAAAAAUGGCUAUAUAUUCAAAGCUCAUUCUGUUCCAAAUAAAUUUGUUUGCAAUUUUUUACAUCUACUAUUAAGUGGCAUGACCUCGCAUGAUUCAUAUGAUCUUCUCCACUACGAGCGCGCAUGAUCAAUAUUUUUGAGUUGUUUACUGUCAAACCAAACAGACAUACUUUGCUACUCGAUCGCGUGCUUUUUUCUUUCAAGAAGUAGAUCUUGAAAUUAAAUAGCAAAUAUUCUACCUUGUAUUAGCGCAAUUAAAUAACACAAUAAUAAAAAUGCAACGUUUUUUUGAUUUUAUAGAAUAUUAAAGCGUUGCAUGCAGUUUGAAUCCAAAGUACAAAUAUAUAUCUAGCCAUGGGGCAACUGUUUACAAUUAAGUUUAUUUACUUAUCUAUCUAUUUAUUUAUUUACUCCCCUCCACCCGUUCCCAUGCACGUACGUACGUACGUACGUUACCACCACCACCACCUUUAAUUUCUCUCUCUAUAUAAAGUGCACAAGCUUUCCAAGUUGAGCAUAUCAAAUUAAAACACUUGGAGAAAGGGAGACAUAUAUAGAGACCUAGAGAGAGAGAGAGAGAGAGAGAGAGAUUUACGUAUAUAGAGAGAGAGAGACCUAGAGAGAGAGAGAAAUGGCUUCGAGAAACGGCAACAAUGUUUCCAGCGGAGGACCUAGCCGAGUAGUGUGUGUUACAGGAGCAGGAGGGUUCAUUGGAACAUGGCUUGUGAAAGAACUACUUCUCAGAGGCUACCAUGUUAAUGGAACUGUGAGAAAUCCAGGUCAAAUAUGUGACACAUAAAUAUAUAUUUAAUAGCUAGUAUCUUUUCUCUGCAUCUCUAUGCAUGUUAAUUUUUAAUUCUCGAUCGUUAAGUUUAUUCAUAGUCCUUAAUCCUUAUCAGAUCAAUCUUUGGAGUAAUAUAGUAUUGAUUCAUCUGAUAUUCACCUGCAUGUGAGCAGGGGAUGUUAAAACUAUUCAUACUAAGAGUAAUUAAUGUAAUGUUUCUAUAUAGCUUAAAAACUGUUAUUGCAUAGAGAAGUUGGCUGUUAUCUACAACAAUUAUCCUUAAGGUCAGAAAUUUGAAUCUCUGUGUCCAUAUUUUUCAAGAAAAAUAGAAUUUGAAUCUCCUGUUUCUUGGAAUUUGAUUCUCUGUGUGCAUGUUUCCAAUUUAGGUGUUCAUUUUAAGAAUAUAAUCAUGCUUACACAAUAUUCUUUUAGUUCUCGCUAGGUUGCUUCUCUUUAUCGACAUAUAGUUGUUGCGAAAUACUAAUUACUCUUAGUUCUACUGCAUGAAGAGAGCAACGCACAUCUCAAAGAGUUGGAAGGAGCAGCAGAAAGACUUACCCUCUACAAGGCGGAUAUUCGUGACCAUGAAAACAUUCGUAACGCCUUUCGUGGGUGCGAGGGAGUGUUCCAUGUUGCCGCGCCCGUUAUUGACGACAAGGUCACUCUUCAUAUAUACAUACGUACAUACAUAUAUAUUAUGCAUUAUAUUCGUAUUUGUAUAGAGUUAAACAAAAAUGCUUUCAGAAACAUCACGAUGUGCCGCUUCCUUAUGUGUGUGUGCAUAUAUAUAUAUAUAUAGAGAGAGAGAGAGAGAGAGAGUUUUGCUGCGCUACUAUGGAUUGUAAACGGCUCAGUUUACUAUCAAUUUAUUUUCGAUAAUAAAGCUUCUAAAUCGACGAUUGGCAUUAUUAAACAUAAUUUAGACCAUUUAAACUAUUUAGAAUCAAAUUUCAUUUUUUUUUCACAACUCUAACCAAAUGAUCAAAAUGUCACAAAAUUUAUAUAAUUUUAAUAGCUGUUAAUAGUGUGUUUGUUCAUUUAACAGUAUAAAAGAGUCCAAACUAGAUAAAUUUUUAUUAAAAAAAUUUUAAACUAUCUAAAAUAAGAUUUAGAUUCUAAAUUUUGAAUACAAAAUUUAUAUCAUCACUUUUUGAAAGAUAUUUAUUUUCAGUUGUUCAUUUUUUGUCCACUUAAUGGAUAAGAGAAUAAUUGAAAAAAUAUAACAUUAAAUUUUCAAAUAAUUUAAAUUUGUCUAGAUCAUAUUAAAUGGUGCAAAUUGUCAAUUGGAAUUUCUAUCAUCUAAAACAAAUCGAUAGUAAACCUAGCCGUUUAGUAUAUAUAUUUAUGUAUAUAGUUCGACUAUGGUGCUUCUGAAAGCUCCAUUCAUGUGGUGCUUUAAAUUUUUAACCCUUGGAUCAACCUAUUUGACCAUUUCUUAUCUUUGGAUUAAUGUUAUGUGAUGCCCCAUCGUCCCAGGGGAUCACCCAUUUUAUGACUACUCUAGUACUGGCACGCUUAACUCGCUUAACCUCUUAGACCUAGCCACCGUAUAAAAUACUAUAGCUGGAUUAAGAGUUUCAGUCCUAUUAUAUCUCAUAUAUAUACUAUCUGGGGUCUAAUAUUCUCCCCCUUUCAAGCCCCGAUGUCUUUGUCAAGCUCAGACUUACAAGUAUCAGGUGAUAUGAGACCCGUCUUGUUAAUCUUAACCAACCUUGUGGGAGAGUCGCGUUCUAUCCACAACAGUCAACAAUAUGAGAGCCUAAUUACUUCCCCACUGUAUAAUCCUGGCUCAAUCGAGAUUCAUCUCAUACUUGCGGCUGAUAAUUGUCUUUAAUACCAACUAUGGCGCCCCAACUUCCCAGGGGGUCACCCAUCCGAGGACUAGUUCAGUCCUGGCACACUUAGCUCUCUUAACUUUUUGAGCCUAACCAUUACCCAAAAUACUAUAGCUUGGUUAAGAGUUUUAGUCCUAUUAUACCUCAUAUAUAGGACUAUCUAGGGUCUCACAUAUUAUAUUCCUAGGAGGACCACUAAAUCCUAAGGGGACUUCUAUCAUUAUAACCCUACAACCCUUGAUCGAAGAGCCGAAGCAUCAAUUCCUUUAUGCUUUCAAAAGUAUAAUAACUUUAUAUAUAUAGAACUAGGCUCCUAUAUAUGCUUUCGAAAGUAUGGAGAUCUCCGUGCUUGUAAGUUGUUUUCGAUGAUGGGACAUCCGAUUCGGCAAUCGGUUUCGUUAAAUUUGAUUUACGCUAUUGGAACUAUCUAGAAACCAAAUUUCAUAAUUUUUGACUUUGUUUGUCUAGUGAACGAGUAGCCUCAAAAUGAACGGCCGAAAAUAAAAAUUUCAUAAAAAAUAGUGAUAAAGGACUCAAAUUUUAAAUCGGAAGUAUUGAUCUUGCUAUUAAUGUUAAGUAGAAUUUUCUAUUAAAUUUUAUGUAAUUUGGAUACUUCUACACCGUUGAACUUAAAAACAUGCCACAUCGGCCGUUAAAAUAGUUAUUUUUGAGACCUUUUGAUCGCUUGGUAAAUAAUGUCAAAAAAUUAUAAAAUUUGGUUUCUAAAUAGUUCCAAUAGGGUAGAUUAUACUUAACAGAGCCGAUCGUCGAAUCGGAUGUCCUAUCAUCAAAAACAACUUACAAGCACGGAAGUCUCCGUACUUUUGAAAGUAUAGGAGACGUACUCUCUCUCUCUCUCUCUCUCUCUCUCUCUCUCUCUAUAUAUAUAUAUAUAUAUAUAUAUAUAUAUAUAAUUAAGGUGGCGGGAUUGAUUUGAAAGUUUGAGUUCAAUAUAUAUUAGUGCAGGCUGUGGUGUCCUUAGCUAUUGAAGGCACCAGAAAUAUAAUCAACGCUGCAGCAGAUGUGGGUGCUCGUCGCGUCGUGCUCACAUCUUCGAUUGGAGCCAUCCACAUGAACCCUAAAAGGAGUCCCGACACCGUCGUGGAUGAAAACUGCUGGAGCGAUGUCGACUAUUGCGAGAAAACAAAGGUAUAUAACAUAUCCAAAAGCUUAAGUUAUUAGAGAACAGUAUUUUUAAUAUUUAUAUCCAGUACCCUACAUUUUUGUUUGAUCGAUCAUAUAUAACUGAUCUCCUGUAUGUUGUAUGUCUUGACAUCGGUUGGCGGCAGAACUAUUACAGCAUGAGUAAGACGAUAGAAGAGAUGGCAGCAAUAGUAGAGGCGAAGGCGAGGGGGAUAGAACUCGCGAUAGUGAUACCGGCAAUAACGACCGGCCCGAUGCUGCAACCGAGGUUGAAUUCGGGUUUGAUGCACAUUUUGCGCUACAUAGUUGGCGAGAAAACGAAUUUGCCAAAUGCGGUCACAGGAUAUGUGGACGUCAAAGAUGUUGCACAAGCUCACAUACUAGUCUACGAGAACCCGAAUGCGUCAGGCCGUUACUUUUGCGUCGAGAGGGUCAUCCACCGCGCCGAGCUCGUCGACAUGUUGGACGAGCUUCUUCCUGAGAAAAAUAUCAAAGCGAGGUAAAGAUAAAAUGUUUGAAUAAGAUGAGAACUAUAGUCUUAGUUGUUGAACUUGAUUAACAGUACAAGUUAGGUUAGAAAUAACCCCACACAAUUCCAACCUACCAUUAAUAGAAAUUUCUUACAUUGGAACAGGAGAGUAAUUGCCAUAAAAUAGUUAAUUAAGUGCAUCAUAUAGUUUAAGGAUACUAAAGGUUAUUUGAAGUUUUCUCUUUUAAUUGAUAGUCUCUGACACAAGUGGCAAAGGGUUUGAUUGAUAGUCAAUUGGUACUCGAGGUCUCAAGUUCGAAACCUAAUUUUUUUUUCCAUUUCCAGCUACGUUCAUUUCUUAAAUAAAAAAAAUGUACAAAGCAGGUAGUAUGCUACUUUUCUAUCACUAAAAAAAAGGAUUAAUUUGACCUUCGUGUUGGUCAUUUAUUAUUGGUUGAAAUAGGUUUAACUUUCUGCUCCCUAAUAAUAAGACUAGAAAACAAUAACUUAAGUUGGAUGAGCCUAAUAAAUUGAGCGUGGUUAUGGUCCACAUAGGCCGAACAACAAGAUGCCCAACAGUAGACCUAACAUCUAAGAGGGUUGAAUCAGGUCGAAACCCGUGAGAACUGUGAUUGAACCUUUAUAAGUGUGAUAGAUGCGCCAUUUCAAUCAGCAUGUGCUUUCGGGAUUGUCAAUCAGUGCUUAUGAUUCAUACUUCCACCUUUACAUAAAAUAUCUACCAGUUACAUUCAUAUAAUUGUUGAUUAAUUUGAUUGAUCAAUAGGUAUUCGCCCUUAAACGGUUAUUAUAGGGUUUACUUAAUUUUAACGGGGCUAUUAAUUUUCUCCUCGAUCAACGUAAUCUUCUAUCAAUGGAAUAUAAAUAUGAGAUACUUAGAAAUAUACUCUGAUUCCCUUAUUUGACUCUAGUAAUUAAUGUAUAGUACUGUUUGAUAAAGUGCUAAGUUAUUUUAAAAAAAGCAAGGAAUUAAGUCUCAUAACAUGUUAUAUUAUUGACUUAAUUAAUUACCAUGUGUGCUCCUUAGCACCAACUAAUAACAAUUACAAAUGUUUAGUUAGCAAUUCUCAUACAAUUAAUCAUUUACCAUUCUUUUGUUGAAACUGUUUCAGGAUAAAAAAUAACAUCAAAGAGAAGAUAAAGCCCUACAAAUUCUCAAAUCAAAGGCUUAAGGAUCUGGGACUCGAGUUCACUCCGCUGAAGAAAAGCUUAUACGAAACUGUGAAGAAGUUCGAAGAGAGGGGUUUUCUUUCCCUUCCUAAGGACAUGGAUUUUCAGAAGUUAAUUCGCGCAUCGCUGUAAAUUGCGCUACUAUAUAUGCAUGCUAAAGAAAUUGGUAUCUUCUUAUAAUAGCGAAAUAUGGAAUAAUUAAACAUGCAUGAAAUUUCCUCCUUAAUUCGAUAAUAAGCACUGCUCAUAAGUGUACUUCUCUUGUAGCACUAAUAAAGCAUUUUGGGAAAUAAAGUUUUGAGUAUGAAGGGUUUAUUUAUUUGAUCUCACGGCACAUAGAUGACAUUUUUCUUAAUUUCUCUAUGGAUGUUGUUUAAAUAAUGAGUGUUUAUUAACUAUUUGAGCUUAAUUGUUAACCCGACAUUUUGAAAAUAUUUUAGUUUAUUUGAUGUUAACAUCUACAUUUGUUUUCAUUUGAGUUCUUUUGAAUAAUUUAAAAUGAAGAUUUUAAUUAGCUAUUACUUGGAUAAUUUGACAAUGGAUGCUCUGAUUAAUUUGACAAGGUUAUUAUAGCCUAUUCGAUUGCCUUAUAUAAAAUAGAAAUAAAUUGAAAUUACCAAUUUCAAACUGGCACAUAGUUAAAGGGGCGUCCAUACAAUUUUACCUUAAAAAAGAAUUUAUUAAUUUAGGAAAAAAAAAAACAUAUGUAUUCCUCUAAAAGUUGAGACAUCAAGUACAUGUCUACUAGGGAUGUCAAUGGGUAUGGAUAUGUAAAAUUUUAUCCGAAUCCGAACCCGAAUGGAAUGGAUAUAUCCGAUGGAUAUGGAUAUGGAUUCGGAUAUGGAUAUCAAAAAUAGAAACCCGACGGAUAUGGGUUUAGAUAUUAAUUUUGAUUGUACCCGACCCGAACUCGAACCCGACCCGAAUCCAAAUUUAUUUUGUAUUAUAUAUAAUAUAUAUAUAAAAAUUUGAUGUUAUAUUUGAAUUUGUAUUUUAAAAAUUUAGAUUUAAUAUAAUAUAUUUUGAAAUAUUGAAAAAAAAAAUAAUUAUUUCGGGUUCAAAUUUUCGGGUUCGGGUUUCGGAUUUUUGAUCGGGUUCGGAUUUGGAUAUGGAUUUUUAAAAUCCGUCAGGUUCGGGUUCGGGUUCGGGUCUCGGGUUUGGAGUCGGUUUCGGGUUCGGGUUUUAAAAUCUGCCCCGAAUCCAACCCGUUGACAUCUCUAAUGUCUACAAAUCUAAAAAUCUAAAAUACACCACUCAUAUUAUUGAUAUAGUGUCCCCAACCAAUUAAAUUGUAUUCUUUGGAUACAUUCGUCUAAUCAUGAAUUCAUGAUUAAUAAAAAACUAUUUUCUUUAUAUUUUUCUCUUAAAAAAAUAUAAUUAAUUUGUUACUGAUGAUGUGGUGCAAAUAUGACAUAACAAAUAUUAACCUUGACUGGUUUGGGGAUAAUGCGGGAAUAACAAAAUUUCUUCUUGCUAUUCCGCCAAACAAAAUACUUUUAUCGGAAUAAUAUAUUCUGGUAAAAUAUUACUAUUUUCUGUUAUACCGGGAUAGUUUGGAAUAAAUUAUUUCAUGCUUUGGUGAAAUAGUGAUAUUUAAUUUAAAAAAUUAUAAAGAUUAUAAAUUGAAUUAUAACAUAUUAUGCAGACAUAAUACAUUACAUAUGAUUAUAAUAUAUUAUUAUUUAUAAAAAUUAUUAUUUGUACUAUAUUUAUGCAUAUCAUUUGUAUUUAAAUAUUAGACUAAAUUAUAGAAAAUCUUCCCGUAAAUAUUCGAUUUUUCACUUUUCCUCUGUGACUUUCAACAACCUAUAUUUCAUCUUCUUGAAAUUUCAAAAAUGUUUUAAGAGGGUACAACAUUAAUGGAUAGAAAAAAUAAUCUAAUUAUCCUUACUUACUAAAAAAUAAUUUUUUAUUAUAUAUCUGUCAAUUUGAAGAGUAUUUUUGGUAUAAAUUAUAAGAAAUAAACAGAAUAGUAAUAAAACGCAUUUCUAGUAUAAAUUAUAAGAAAUGGACAGAAUAAUAAUAAAACACUGACGGAAGAGGGCUAAAUACAACAACUUGAAAUAUUAAGAAGAUAAAAUAUAAAUUUUUAAAAAUUACAAAAAAAAAAUAAAAAAAUAUAAGUAUUUAUAAACAGGUUUUCUAUAAUGUAGCCUAAAUAUUAUAAUUAAAAAAAAACUUCAAAUACCAUCUCUGUGUUUUCGCACUUUUGCACUUUUCUGUGGUUUAAAGUGUAUCAAUUUAGUACCCUGUGAUUUCUAUUUUUUUUUAUUAUCAAUUCUACUAAUUUUUUUGUUAAAUGAGUGACAAAGUUAAAACCAAAGAGUACUAAAGUAAAUAUUCGAUAAACCUAAGUGUAGUAUCUGUAGUUUUUUCAUAUAUAUAAUUUAACAAAAUAUUAAUGAGAAUGAUAACAAAAAGAAAAAAAUUCACAGAAUAUAAAAAUAAUAUAUUUUAAAUUAUAAAAUAUUAAAAUAAAAAAAUGUAAAAUUNAACCCCCCCAAAAAAAAAAAAAAAAAAAAACUGUAACCGUGACAUAAGAAAGAGGAAAAAAGUAAGAGAAGCGGCUUGGCUUAUCCACACACUCCACACACAAAAGGGAGCGAGCUGCCGGAGCGAGGGAAAGAGAGAGAGAGAGGGAGAGGGAGCUGACAGCCCUGCGCGUGAGAAUCGAGAGAGAGAGAGGGAGAGGGAGCUGACAGCCCUGCGCGUGAGAAUCGGAUGAUGAUGGCUGUCGGCAGUGGGUACGGCCCCCCUUGCUGACUGCUGAGUUCCUUCGCCGCCCCCCCUCUCUCUCCACCGCAGCCUGCCUUCCUUCCUUCCUUCUCCGAUGGCUUUUCUUGCUCUCCUCCCUUCCGGCCCUCUCCCGCCGGCGCUCCCCGUCCGAAAGAGCUCCCACGCGCCGCCCGGAAUGAGCUUCCUUCGCCCCUCUCCGCCGUCCGACUUAACUCCUUCCACCUUCUUCAAUCCUGUGAGAAAAGACGAAUCAUUCUUCUUGUGCUACUGUUUUCGCUUUCCAACGUUUUAGUAAAAUAUGAAGCAAUCGUUAUUCUCUAAAAACUUCACAUAGGAAAGAACGGCGUGUCAUGUCUUAAAUGGGAGGAAAUUGAAUAAGGUUAGUGAUGCGGCCAAUUUAGUAUAUGGGUAUGUUUGGUUCACCUAUUUUAGACUAUGGAAUCAGAAUGGAAUUUAUUGAUUUCGAUAGUUGCCGUUUGUUUUAUAGAAAUCGGAUUCCAAUUUUCAUUCUACUCCGGAAUGGGAAUGAUCAAAUCCAUUUAUGAUCCAAUCCGGCUUUGAAUUCCGAAUUGGCUCAUUCUAAAGUAAACUAUUCAAAAUCCACUUUCAUCAACAUCUACCUCCUCUCCCUUCAUCACUUUUCUCCCUCUUAAUUAAAAUCCUCUCUCAAAAAUUUUAAAUUUUCAUUCCGAUUUCCAUUCCAAUAAUGAACCAAAUAUUUUUGGAUGAUUCGUCAUUCUAUUUUUCAUUCUAAAGCAAUGCAAUUCGAUUUCUCAUUUCUAUUCCGAUCAUGAACCAAACAUGUCUUUAGAGUUUUUCAGAAAAACGUGACUCAACCAAACCAAGCCAAAACUUCUAUUGAGUUCGGUCGCUUUUACUAUUGGCAUGAGAAAUCUUUAAAUGGCCAUAAUUUUUCUCUCCGGUAUCUAAUUUCAGCGUGCAACCUAAUUCGGAAAACACUUUUCGAGAUCUACGCGUCGAACCACGAAACCGUUCCAGCCAAGUAUGGGACCCAAAUACAAUUGUUUCGGCCUCCGUUUUGCAUUUUUAGGUUAAUUCGGAAAAUGUUCUUAAUUUUUUUCAUUUUGAGUCUGAUUAUUUGAUUAUUUCUAAUCUGAGUAAGUUUAGAGAUAUAUCAGAAUUUAUUAUCUUCAUCUAGUAGGAGUCCAAUAUCGCCUCUUUAUAUAACCGUGAUGCUCGGUUAAUGUAAUCGGAAAUUUUGAGAGUUGAUUAAUAUAUUUUCGUCUUUGUCGAAUAAUUUGUUCUUCAUAUAUCAUCUCUUUUCAUCCUUGAGCUUCUUCCCUCUCAACACCGAUUAUAGCUUGCAUCAAUUAGGAGCUUGAUGGGAUUCAAAUGCAGAAUCUGCUACUCUUUUACUCAUAUUAAGUAAUAUGGGAUAGUGUUUUAGUUUUAUACAUUCAACAAUAUAUACAUAUAGAGAGGGAGGGAGGGAGGGAGGGAGAGAGAGAGAGAGAGAGUCCGGCUGGUAUACUAUCGGUAGUUCGGAGGCUUUCGUGUUACCAAGUUGUUUUCAAUAAUGCAGCUUCCCAAUCAACGAUUGGCUCUGUUAAAUUUGAUCUUUACUAUUGAAAGUAUUUAGAAACUAAGUUUUAUAAUUUUUCGACAUCAUUUACCUAUCAAACAAGUAGUCUAAAAAUGAACGACUGAAAAUAAAAAUCUCAUAAAAAAUAAUGAUAAAAGACUUCAAUUUAAAAUCAGAGGUACUGAUUUUACUCUAAAUAGUGAAAAGAAUUUUCUAUAAAAACUUCAUCAGAUUUGGAUUGUUUUAAACUAUUAAAUUCACAAACGCAUCAUAUCAACCAUUAAAAUUGUAAAUUUUGAGACCUUUUGAUCAUUAGCCAAAUGAUGUCGAAAAAUUAUGAACUUUAGUUUUCAAAUACUUUCAAUAGUGUAGAUCAAGUCUAGCGGAGCCGAUCGUCGAUUUGGAAAUUGCAUCAUUGAAAACAACUUGGUAGCACGGAUAGUAUACCAGCCUAGUUUGAUAUAUAUAUAUAUAUAUAUAUAUGAUAGUUUAUUGAAUAAUGUUAUUCAAUUUAUAUAAUUCUAUAGCAUUAAUUAUCGCUAACUCCAUCUGUCCAUUUGUUUCUACAAACUUCUACAGUUUAAUCCAACGGAAUUCCCAAGUGUUCGGAUCUGUUUGAAAUGAUAGCAAACUACAGGGGCUAAGGGCCUAAAGUGCAAGGGGGUAUUUUAUAAUUUAGCCUAUAACUGUUGUUGAUACGUUUUUUAACAAAAUCUGCAGUUCCAUCAGGUGAGAGAAGAGUUCAGAGCAACUGAAUUUAACAUGAUCACUGCUAGCUAAACUUAAACAAAAUUUAUAAUUUAUAGUUAAGUAAUGUCAAUCCAAAAAAGAAAAUAAAAAAAUAGAUCAGUGGUCUAAUUUAAAAUGGACUGUGGUUGAGGGUGGGGUACCAAAGAGUUUUGCCUUCUAUCUUUGUUGAAAUUUAGGUCCUGUUUGAUUGUCAGAAUUAGGUCUCCAAGGAUAACUUGUUGAAAGUUUGAUUUUUUACUUCUUGAAAGGCUUUGCUAUUCAUGACUUGAUAGAAUAACAUAUUUCACCUACGAGAUGAUUUAUUUUAUUCUGAAAAAAUGACUUGAAGGUUUAAUAUGACAUUCCAUUCUAAACUUUGAUCACACUUCUCGUCAUCCAAAUGUAUAAUCUUCUUAAGUAAAUUAAGGUGAUAUACCGAACAAGAUAUUCAUGCAUCCAAACAGGGCCUUACUGUAAGAUUUUACAUAUAGAGAAGAUUAUAUAAUUAUUCUAACUUUUAUGAUGAUUGUUAUCCUGCAUGAUGGAAAUAUACGUUGCAUAGACUUAUAAUAUAUAUAUAUAUAUAUUCGGCCUAUUAGAUUUUAAUAGGGGAUUUAAUCCAUUAAACAUGAUAAGGAUUGAAUCCCUGACCUCAUGUGUGGUAGGGGUUUAGAAGUGGUUCUGAUAUCAUGUUAACCAAUGGAUCAUCUGAUAGGACGUGAUUCUAGAUUGUAAUUUGCAAUUACUUUUGUCUGCUAGAAUACCUAUCUCUUUUGAGCCAGUUUCCUUAAUAUUUUAUUGUAAUUCUAUGCAGAGGAAGCUGAAAUUUCUAGCACGUGCUGCGCAAGAUCUCAAUGCUCAACCACAUCUUAGUCUUGAAAUUGUAAAGGUAUGCAUGUAUGUAUCGUCGUAAAGGUACUUAUUUCUGCUUUUGAACGUGAAAAGUUUGAAGUAGGAAGUGAGGAAGAGUCAAAAGAUGUGUUUUUCUCUAAUGCAUCUGGACGAAAACGUGAAAAAUUAUCCAAUAAAAUGCGUCAAAAUAAUACAUUUAGAACUUUUCAAAGCUAAAUGUAACAGAAUCGUCACCUGCUUCCCUCGAAUGAUUAGGAAAUUUUGGUUUUCUCUAAUGCUUUAUACUGAUAUAUGCCUCGAUGUACUACAUCUGGAGCAGUGUUAGAAAUUCAUUAAUAUUAGUCUGUGGUGAUUGCAUGUUUAAGGGAUAAUUUGACGAAGAUAUACCAAAUGAUCAGUAAUAUAGUCUGUGGUCAUUGCAAGUUUAGAUAAUUACGUACUGGAGUUAACUGGAUUAAUCAUGUAGCUUUGUCAAGUUUGAUAGAUCACAUAAUCGCUUUAGCCUAAUUCCCUUCAGAUGGGGUAAGUCUUGUUUCUCCUGUUUGUGAGUAUUUUGCUGUAGCUUCAGUGACAUAAGAGUUUAUGAUGUUAUGGUCUAUCAACUCAUCAAUGUGAUGGGAGACAUCCUCUACGGAGAGGGAUAGCAAAAAUCUUUUGCCAUUUGUAUUUUGGUAACUUAUUCUUUGGUUAAAAGCCUAGAACGAGCAUCCUUGGAACAAAUCUAAAUCUGUAACUCGCAUUAUGUGUAUGCUAUCCUCCUACCAGGUUUCCACUUGUGUUGACUUUUCUUUCUUUAUUGUGGUUUGCUGAGACUCUUUCAUUGUAUGAAAUGUACUUUCGAAAUCACUUGAUGUGAGACAAAGUUAAAAACUUCGAUCUUCAUCACUAAUUGUUUUAAUUUGAUCUUCUGUUCUUCUUCGCUGAAAAGGCAGGUUAGUAGUACAGAAGUAGAGAUGAGAGGUUCGAUCUCAAAGUACCAUGACGGUACGGUCCAUCUUUCACAUGGUUAUAAGCUUUGUAUGGUUUACUUUCGAUUGAAGAUAUAUGUUUUUAACUUUUUCUCAUACUAUAUUUGCUUCUGGUGUGACAAACGUAGGAGUUUCUACUUGAUAAAUCCUGUCGAAUCUUAAUUAAUUUGGACAUAACAGCAUAUUUGCCUAUUACAUAAGGAAACUGAUUCAUCUUGACAGUGAGCAUAUCUCCUUGGAAAAUAUUGGGAAGGCAUCCAAAAUAAGGAUACUGAUUUUUUUUUGACACAGAGAUUGGUCCCUUUUUAUUUUCAACGAACAUCACUCAAGAAAUAAAUCUAUAAUCUUCCAUUAUUCCGUAUUUGCUUCUGUUGAAUUACUAAUUCCUUUGUUAUUUCAGGGUAUUUAUUAGUCAUCGGAUAAUUUUUUUUUUAAAAAAGUUCAUUGUUAUCCUGCUGUUUUCCGAUUUUACAUUUAUUUAUAGAAUUAUUUGUUUAUAAAGAAAAGUUAGAAUCCUCUGAUACGUAUGUCCUUUCUUUGAGAAUAUUGAAUCAUUUUCUGCAAUGAUUAUGUACUCUGUUUAAAUCUGAAUAAUGUUUGAUUAAAUUAUUCUAACUUUCUACUUGAAACCAUUAUGCCAAUCUUGACAUAUGUUCUUUCAUUCUAUCAGAAGCUCUCAAGGACCUAUCUUUUAACGACGAGACGGAGAGUCACAGCAGUUUGUCACUGCGAUUUUCUGCUUUUCCAUGUGGCGUGAUGUCAUGGCUGGGUUUCACACAACUAGCGCAAUCAAGCGAAGGAGUGAAGAUAGACAUGGUUUAUGAGAUUGGGGAGUUGUUUGAGCUGGGAAUACAGCUGUCUUAUUUGCUCAUAUUAUUAGGUCUUCUUGGAGCUGGAACCUUCUUUGUCAUUCGUCAGGUUCUUGUUCGUCGAGAGCUUGAUCUUUCUGCUAAAGAAUUGCAGGUAAGCUGCUGGAAGCUUUUCUUUUUUUUUUUUUCAAGGAACAUUUAGCUAGUUGUUUGAAAUGAAUCAUAUAUGAACAAGAAACACACUUAAAUGAUGCCAUAGUUGAAAAUUAAGGGUAAGUUACACCAUCAAUUCCUAAACUAUUGCUUGAAUUCAUUUUGGUCCCUAAACUUUGAUUUGUUGCACUAGGGUAUUUGAACUUUUGAAACAUUCCAAAUUUAGUCACAUUCCAAGUUAAAGUCCUGUUGUCUGCAUCCAUCAUGCAGAAAAGCCGAAAUUUGACAUAGCAUGCCAAGUCGCUGUUCCUGAACCUGUAGAGUGUAGAUUACUAUUUUUAACGACUAUUUUUCAUGAUUACCACACUAAUUAAGAUUGAAGUAGCUAAUGAUGCAAACCGAGGGGACUUUUUGUCGGAUCGUUGGCGCUAACCAUUAAUUCCAAAAUCUCGAGCAGUUAGAAAUACGCAACCAAUUCACUUAAAGCGUACAGAAACAGCGCCCAUAGGUCUCGAUUGUGACUCGGCCCACCUCACGCCACUUCGAACAUGACUCGGCCCAACCUAGCCUCACGCCAUUUCAAACAUGAUUCGGCCCACAUGGCCUCCCGCCACAGGGCAGGAUGCUGGCCCAUUUAAGCCAACACUUUUGAGUCGCGCAGAUAAGUUACGAACUCACAAGCAGUUACUUGGCCUGCUAUGUUAGAAUUCUCUCUCUUUGAACAAUGGAAGCUGGCAGCUGGACUGAAUUUGGAAUAUUUCAAAAGUUUGAGGCCCUUAAUGCAACAAAUUAAAGUUCAUAGAUGGUUAGAUAUGUUUCAUUAUAUAUGCGCUUUUAUUGUGUCUUUCUGUUUUGCUUUUUUAUUUUAUUCUUUUUGUAUUUAUAGACCUAUUGUUUUGUUAAAGAGAGCUGUUGUUUACUUUUCACUCGUUAUAUUUUUUAUUAUGCUGAGAUUAUGUGCCAAAAUUGAAGUGUGUUUCAAAUUAAUUGGCUAUAUAUUUUGCUGUCUAUGAUAAAUUGGCUCUUUAGUAAUUUAAAAGAUUAUGUAGGUUAUAACUGCCAAUGAUAGGCACAAUAUUGCCAAAAAGUCUUAUUUAGCCCUAUUUUUAAUCUGAUCCCACAUUAGAUAUUUAGAUAUCUGUAGACUGAUAAUGAAGAACCAUGUAAGAAUGAGAAAAACUACAUCUUGUACAAACGAUGGAUGUCUUCCCUGGCACCCCUCUCAUUAUUUUGUCGUCCUUUGAGUGUAUGUAAUGUCAUUAGUGUUUCUGGUUAUUAGUCUUUCAAAUUGCAUUUGGACUGGAUCUGGAUGAUCUUAAAUUUGUAUUAUAUGCUGAUAACUCUUACUCGCAAUUCGACACUUGAGGAACAAGUACGGAGUGGCGAUGCGACUGCCACGGAGUGUUUUGAGCUUGGUGCUGUCAUGCUCAGGAGAAAAUUUUAUCCUGCUGCUACAAAAUAUUUAUUGCAAGCAAUCGAGAAAUGGGAUAGGGAUGACCAAGACCUAGCACAGGUAAGAAUCACAUAUCCUAUCUAUUUAUUAACAAUCGUUAUCAUGGUUAAUAACUCUCAGUUUUAGUGAUGCCCCAUAUCUUUAAUUUUUUUUAUAUAAAUAGUUGGACGCUUGUUUAUCUCGAGGCGAUUUCAUGUUUGCAUGGUCCCGUUCUUCCUAGUUUUUCAAAAGCAUUGCUAGUAAGUGGUUGCUAAUGAAGAUCUCUUCUUGAGUGAAUUACUCAACAUAUUUUCACUGAAGUUGUGAACCUAUUUUCAGUCAAAAGAAUUCGAAAGGCAUAUUAAUUUCCUAAAAGGAGCUUAUCUAGAGAAUAUAUUAGGCCUUCCUAGUUUUUAUAACAUUAAUAAAGAAUCAGUGGAAUUGGUUAGAUAGCGUCAGUACUAAGAAAUUCUUUUUUACACUCCACAAUGAAUAAUAACUUAUGAUUUGCAUUUUCACUUUCUCUGCACUUCAUUAUGAUUUUACUUAAUUUGUGACAAACUGAGAAUGGCUCAUCGGGACGUGACACAAGUAGGGUUUACAGAUUGAAUAGGAGAGUAGGAAAUUUUUAAGGGCUUAGAGGUAAGGACUUGCUCUAAUAAAAUAGUAUCCUUAGCUUUCUUUUUUUUUUUCCUCCUUUUCUACAGGUAAUCUGUACCCAUGUUAUCUGUAAAAAUAAUUGAAGUAUAACUAGUUUGAAAAUGACCUCAAUUACCUAACCCACAUUUCGCUGUAACCUUUCUUCAAAAGUUCUGAUUAGAUCAUUCUACUCAAAUCAAAAACUUUUUCAAAUUCAUCGUAAUUUUGAAUCUUUGAUGCAAUGGCUAUUCUAGUUAGGCGGUUGAACUGAUAAUCUGUUGGGGAAUAUGAAUGGAGAUAAAGUAAAUUAUGGUCUUGAGGCGUGUAAGUUCACUUUCUUUAAGGUGAUAUUUGCCCCCACUCGAAUGUAUGCUGUCGGGUUACCGACAAAUCACCUCCAGGAUACAACAAGACCGCUGAAAGACUGCAAACAACACUUUUGAAGACUUUCCCUUAAGAACUUCUCUCUUAAGAAUCAAUAUGAAAAAUUAGGAAGGAGAAAGGAUUGAUUAUGUUAUUCUUGAAGCCUUCAAACAUCUCCUAUUUAUAGGAGGUGACUGGUUAUGAUGAAAGGACAACUUUUAAAGUUAUAUUCUUUCACAAAAGGACACGUACUUUCACAAAUAACGAAAAGACAUAUUCUUUCACAAAAGGUUCAUCUCUUCGUGAAGAAAUAUAUCUCUUCUUGAAGGGACAUCUUUACAUCAAAUGAAAAGACGAAUCUUUUCAUAAGAAUAACUAUUUUAUGAAGAGACAACUAUUCAAUAAUCUCACUUCCACUAUUAUAAGCUACACUAACAUAAUCUCUCAAGCAUGUAUAAAGCUGAUAGAAGUUUGUUGGUCUUUUACAAAAGUGAAUUCGCAGGUACACCAUCAAAUUUAUGAACUGGUGGCAGAAACUCUUGAGAUGAUCCUCGAGAGUCCACCUAAAAUAGAUUGGUUGAAGAGUUUUUAAGGCACCGGAUAAUUCUUUUUAUUUGUAUUCUGUAACAAUGCCUGAUUGAAUUAAGAUCAAUUGCCCAUGCAGAGUUUUUAAAAGCUACAACAUCAUCCUCUUUGAAAACUUUCCAUUAAUUCUCAUAAGAUGUGAUGAGAAUCCACAUCAUGUGUGACUUGAUUUCUUCUUCCAUUCUCAGUUAAUCCUAUUUACAAGUCUAGCAGCGUGAUUGGUCAAGAUUUAUGUACUGAAAUUUUAUGAUGAUUCAUCAUGAACCCAUUUGACACACAGGACUGGAUUGGAUUGGAUUGGAUAAUAUAAGACAUGAGUGCGAUGUUGGGAAAGGAGGGGUCAUUUAGUGACUCAAAAAGGCAUCGAGGUUCAUGAGAGGAAUCAAAUUGGAUCAAAUUUUUCCGUCGAUUUUGUUAAUCGCAAACGAGAUGCUGCUAAUAAACAAGAUUGGAUUUGAAAUAUUCUUUUCUGCCCGACCUGUUCCCUGUUUCUACUCUUUAUGAUCCCGUGACACCUCCGACUCACUAAACACUUCUUCUCCCCUAGUAUUGCUCUUUUAUCUUAUUGUUUCCAAUCUAAUCCUGAAUGCCAAAUGAGGUCCGUGUACUUAAAAAUCAUGGGGAUAAUAAUAAUAAUAAUAAUGCUUACUUAAACAUGAUCACAAUACAAGUUAUACAGGCGACUCUCUUAGUCUCUUCGAUCACUUUAUGCUGAUGUAAUAGUAUAUUUGCAUUUUGCACAUACUACUUUUCUAGUAAAUUUGAAGUUACAUAGUGGAUAUGCUGAAAAAUAUAAGCAUCCGUGUACUCUUGCUAUGUUGAUUCAGAACAAACUGAACACUGGUGAGUUUUGAACAGGUGUACAAUGCGCUGGGAGUCAGCUAUGUCCGCGAUAAUAAGCUUGACAAAGGAAUAAUGAUGUUUGAGAAAGCAGUGAAGCUCCAACCCGGGUACGUUACGGCUUGGAACAAUCUCGGCGAUGCGUAUGAGAGGAAGAAAGACUUGAGAGCCGCGCUGAGGGCAUUCGAAGAGGUGCUCCUUUUCGACCCGAACAAUAAGGUGGCGAGGCCGCGGCGAGACGCCUUGAGAGAGCGCGUCCAGAUGUACAAGGGAGUUUCGAUCAAAUCUGAGGAUCGGUAAUUCUGACUUUCUUGUAACUGAGAAAUUCUAAUUUUGACUUUGCUUUUUCUGAAUUUUCUAAAAUUCAAAAUUCUGAGCUUGCAGUUCUAUGACAUAAUAGUGUGAUUAGGAUUGAAUUGUGCAUUCUUAGUUAGCUAAACAAUUAGCAUGAAUAAAAGGAAUAAAAAGCGGAAGAUCAGAAGAACACUUCAAAAGAGAAAGGUGAAACUUCAAAAGUCCCCCAAUGAAUCAUGGCAUAGCACAUUCGCGAAUUUACUAUCCCGUGGUUCAAAAUACAGCGCUUUGUCCGCUUAUGAUUAUUGUUUUAGUUUUCUGUCAGGUUCUGCCAUUCAAAAGGGUAGCAAAAUUCUAAACUUUAUAAACCUAGGAGGGCAAAAUGUAGCACUUUAUCGCACCGUUAUUUGCGCUUUACUAUUCCAUGGUUUAUAAAGUGUACCACUUUGUUGUUCUCUUGAAUUGCAUGUUCUUAUGAAAAGCUUAAACAGAGGUCUUAAGGAGGUAAUGUGUUAUACUUUGAAUCACAGGUAGUAAACUACAGAUGUGCUAUGCCUUAUUUUUAAGCUUCCCCAGAGAAAAAAUAUUACCACUUUCAAAGGAGAACUGCUAUAGGCUGGGUUAGGCAUGAGGAAAAGGUAUACAUUUGAUUCAUUUUAGCAAGGAUUAAUUUCUAUUUUUUCAUUAUCCUAAUGAUGUCUUUUCCAUUUAAGAAAGUUUGAAGUUGAAAAGUUAAAUAUUAAAGAAAAGAGUUGUUUUUGUUCUUGAUACUUGCCAUAGUGUCAGGGUCUCUUAAAUAGAGAUGCACUAGGGUUUAGUAAGGCAAAAUAACUACAAAUACAAUGCCAUGAUAAGCUUAUCAUAAUAGGAAGUAUGUUAAUAUGUAUGAAAAUCAUAUGUGAUAUAUAUGCAUGAUACAUGAUAAUGCCCAAAUUUAUGUGAUUAAGUGAAGAUAUUAUUAUACUAACAAAGAACUCUCAUGACACAUUUGAUUCAUAAUAGGAAUCGGAAUCAGAAUGAGCUGGAAUUAGAGAUGAAAUUAUGAAUCUCCUGUAGAUGUUUGGAUUAGAAUAACAAUUGGAAUGGGAAUAGUUGAUUCCUAUCUUUAUUGUUUAUCUGAAAUGGAGGAAGUGUUAAUAAUUCGAAAAAUAUUUAAAAUAAAAUUUAGAUUGAAAUUUAAAAUAGAAAAUUGAGUUUAGAACUCAAAACAUAAAAUUGGAGUUGAACAUAAUUUGAAUUUAAAUUUAAAUUCAUAGCUCUAAUUCCAACUGGAUGAUUGAAUUUAAAAUUCAAGUCAAGUUGAAAUCUAAAUCUAAAUUUAAAAAUCAGAUUCAAAACGUAAACUUGUAUUUUAAUUCAAAAUUGAAGUUCCCGAUCUUAAAGAUUCAAAUUUGAGUUCACACUUACUAAUUUAAACUCGUAUUGUACUUCGAAAUCGACUUCAAAACUUUUAAUUUAAGCUUGUAUAAAAAUUUGAAUUUGAAUUUUAAAUCUCUAUGAAAAAUGUAAUUGAGAUAUAUUAGGAAUAUGCAUUGAUUCUCCUGAAUUCAGUUUUCAAUCUGUUGCCCUAGGCCUAGGGAUGCAAACGGGGCGGAUCUGGGGGCAGAAGCCCCGCCCCGCCUCCCGCCCCGACUAGUAAAAUCCCACCCCACCUUCCACUCCGAAUCCGUGACGGGUUAAAAAAUACAUUCCAUAAUCUGCUCCGUCUCAUAACCCGCCUCCCACCGGCGCCCCGAAUCCGCCUCGCCAACUAAUAUUUUUUAUAAAAUUAUAAUAUUAUUAAUAUUUUGUAAAAUAUAAAUUAAUAAUUUUUAAUAAUAUUAUAUAUAUAAUUAACAAUAUUAAUUAUAAAAAUAAAAAAUAUCAAUCACAAUUCAAAACAAAAUUUAAAAGUUUCAAAUAUAUUAGAAAUGAGAGUACUAAAUUUGUAUUUUGAACUUUUUUGUAAAUACAUUAUUUUUUAGAAAUAUUUUUUUAAAAUAUAAAUAAUUUUCGGGACGGAUUCAGGGCGGAUCAUGGCGGGGCGGAUUCGGGGCGGGUCAAAAUUUCUCCCGUUUCCUACCCCGAAUCCGUUUAUCUUCUCCCAUUUACUGCCCCCGUCCGGACGGAGCAGGGCGGGAGCUCCACCAACCCGGAUCCGUUUGGAUUCCCACCUAGGCCAGAUUGAAAAAGAAGUAAUCGGAGGAUUCCCAUUCCACUCGAGAAUUAGGAUCAGAAUCAGAAUCGGAAUCGCGAUUAGAAUGAGACUCUACUAGCAUACCAAACACCCAAACAGAGUGAUCCACUCUGAUUCUGAUUCCGAGGUAAGAAAUAGGCGAACCAAAGACGGCCUCAAAGUUGUCCCACAAGUGGGAAAAUUUUGUUUAUUGCUUGGUUGACGGCCGCAGGUGGAUUGAAAGAAAUAACUGACGAAUAAUUAUAAGAAAUAACUCACGAAUAAUUAUUGAUGUUCUUUAGAUAAUCCUAUUUUAGACAAUAUAUGUAAAUUUGUUGUAUAUGCUUCUUUAACAACUUCUCUGCUAAAAAAGCAAUUCAUCAAACAGAGGAAAAAAAAAAAAAAAAAAAAAAAAAAAAAAAAAAAAAAAAACUUCUGCAAGCCCUGUUUGUAGCUCUUGAUUGUGCUGGAAUGAAAAGAUUGUAGUGCUUCUUUCUUUACUUCAGCUUAAGCAACUCACCCUUGGAAGAUGUAACUAUGCCAAGUAGACCAGGGAUGUCGAUGGGUCGGGUUCGGGGCGAAUUUUCAAAAACCCGAACCCAAAUCCGACUCCAAACCCAAACCUGAAUCUGAACCCCAAUCCGACGAAUUUUAAAAAUUCAUAUUCAAACCCGAACCCGACCAAAAAUCCAAAUCCGAACCCGAACCCAAAAAUCCGAAUCCGAAACAAUUAUUUUUCAUUCCAAUAUUUCAAAAUAUAUUAUAUUAAAUUUAAAUUUUUAAAAUGCAAAUUUAAAUAUAAUAUCAAAUUUUUAUAUACAUAUAUUAUAUAAUGUAAAAUAAAUUGAGGCUCAUAUCGGGUCCAGUUAAAAUCCAUAUCCAUAUCAGCCGGGUUUUUAUUUUUGAUAUUUAUAUUCGAAACCAUAUCCAUUUAGCAUCGGGUAAAUUCGCUCUGUUUGGAUUCAGCUUCGGAGAAAAUUUCGAGUAUCCAUACCCAUUGACAUCCCUAAAGUAGACUCAAAACCAAUUUUUAAUGGAAUAAAAAAAAAAAUUGUCCAAAAUAUCCCAUUUAGUUUUCUCAAGAAACCAAAGCCAAUGGGAAUGCCACAUUUCAUUCUUAGACUAUACUUGUCAAUUUUGAGGAAUUUUUGUACUGCCACAUAUAUUGUGAAAAUGAUUUGUUUCAGAGUGAGCUUGAAGUUAAAGAACAUUUUUCGCCGAGAAACAACGGAAAACGAAAACUUCAAUUUUUCGUCGAAUUCGUAAAAUUAUUUUUACGAAAAAAUAUUUUAUGUCGAACCAAACAGACAAAAAAAUAUUUUUCAUACCGAAAUUUUUUUUUUUUCCUUUUGUUUUACGCGGAAUCAAACAGUCUUUGGUCUUCACUUGUAGGAGAAUAGGGCUCUCCAUUAAAGGAGGGCUUGUAUGUUUAUUUUAACCAAGUGUGAAGAUCAAUUAUUUGAGAAUUCAAUUGGAGAAUUUGAAUUCAGAUCCUUAGAAUAAAUUAAUUUUAAAUUAAAAGUUCAAGGCAAAAUUUGGAAUCAGGUUUUAUGUCCAAAUGAAGCUGAAAUAUGAAUUCAUAGUUGAAAUACAUAAUCUUAGUUCACAUUAUAAUUAUAAAUAUGGGUUCAAUUUCCAAAUUUGAAAUUUCAAUAAAAUUUUGGGUUUAAUUGUUGGAGAAAACCACAACGAAAAUUCGAUUGUGAUACAAAUCGAACUAGUUUUGUGAUGAAAAAUAAAUAAAUUUAACUUACAGACGAUCGCCAAAUCCAAAUAAAUUAUAGAAAAAGAAAUCUAAGAUUAAUUUGCUCCGGAAGCGUACGAGACACUGCCCUAAGGCGUAUUUCCGUCCUUCGUGCGGGAUCAACCGAAAACAGCAGUCCAAGGUACGGCCGUAAUUUCUCUUCCUACAAGCACGAACGUGAAAGAGGUUGACGGAGACUCUUUCAACACCCCAUAAAAAAAAAAUCAAACAAAAUAAAAAUAAAAUAAGAAUUUAAAUAAAGUUUCUCCUUUUGUUUUUUCACUUAGAUCUUUCUCAGCAAUAUUCAUCCUAGAUAAACAGUGCAAUCCAAUGUAUAUAUUCCCAACAUUCCUCUUGAUUCAUGCCUUUAUAUAGCAUAAAGAAGAAAUAAAUUAAUUAAAUUUAAUCCAAAUCCAUUCAAUUAAUUAACACAAUAAAAGAUAAUAAAUGAGAAUAAUUAUAAAAUUAAAUGAUAUUUGGAGAUUUUGGAUUUUUCACCAACAUUAAUUUGGUUCAAAAUUUUUCGAUAGAAUAAAAAAUUAGAAUAUGCUUAAAAUCAAAAUAUAAGUUUAUAUAUAUCUUCGAUUCAAAUUUAAAUUUAUAUUACUAAAUAAAAUUCUACAUCCAAAUUAUAAAGUUAAAAUCAAGUUCUUUUAAUUUGAAAUUUUCUUACGCAGAAAUAACCUCUAAAAAAAAAAUCCUAAUUUCGAACAUCACACUCAAUUUUAAUUUUUUUAAAGCUAGAGGUAAAAUCUCUAUUUAUUAUCAUCUAUCUAUAAUCUAGAAUGGGCUAGAAUAUUUUCCUGGUGCUUCCAAGUUUCUAACCCUUGGAUCCACUCCUUGAUUACUAAUAGCCUUUAAAUCAAAUACUAUUCCACCUACCACCACCUACCGGGUGGGGCCCAGCCGGAAAAGAGAAGACAAAAUUUUUUUUUUCUCUCUCUUCAAUUUUUUUAUUUUUUACUAUAAAAAUUCAUAUUUUUUUUUUUAGUUAGAAAAAAUAUUUAUUUAAUAGUUUUUAAAACUAUUAAUUGAUUAAUUUUUUUAAAUAAAAUUGGUAGCAUAAUAUAAUUAUUCAAAAUUUUAAAAAAUAUUAAUAAAAAAAUAAUUUUUUAAUGUACUAAAUAAAUUUUUAAUUGUCAAAUUUUAAUAAUUAUAUAUUUUAAUUGGCUAUCCGCUGCGAAGUCCUAAGACACGUGGCAAAGAGGAGGCACAAGAGAGGGGCGCGGGAGCCGCGUGGGGCGUCGGCGCUAUGCGGAGAGCCGGCGGGCGCGGGGAGCAAUGCGGGCACGAGGCGCGAGAGGGCGCGGGCGUGCAGGGUGAGUCCCAUGCGGGUGAGCCCCAACCAUGGGGAAAGGGGAGGGGUGGUGUGGGGCCCAGGCGCCGGCGCGCGCGCAGCGGGCCCCGUGCAGGUGGAGGAAUUCUACACUGUCACACUUGUACCACGUCAUUAAUAACAAGCCAAUCACAUUUCUUCUUUUCAAACAAAAGUCCAAUAAAAAUAUUUUUUUACAAUCAUAAUAGGACAUAUAUUUCUAAAAGAAAAUAUUUGAUUGGCUUGUUACGCCACGUCACCAAUAUACCCGUUGCAUUCUAGAAUUUUUCGUGCAGGUGGGGCCGAGCCAGGGGACGGAGAGGGGAAUUUUUGUAUCUCUUAAAUUUUUCUCUCUUCGUAUAUAGAAAGAAAGUUUUAUAAUUUUUUAAAAAAUUUUCAAUCUAUUUUUUAUCUUUUAUUAUAAAAUUUAAAAUAUAUAAAUAAUUUUAAAUAGUUUAAACUGUCCGUAUUAAAUAUAAAUAUUAAUUUUAUAAUAUUGAGUAUUCAGAUAUAGAAUGUAUAUUAAAAAAUUUAAAAAAGAUUAAUGGAGUUUAAGUUAUUUUUAUGUUUUGUGAAAUUUAAUUGCGAGAAUUAUAUAAUAUAAACUAACUAACAUAUUAAUAUGCACCAAAUGCAAGUAAAGAUUUUUCUUCUCAUUUCACUAACUCAUUGGGGAUUACCAUGCCUACUAAAAAAUUUGGAUGCGCUGAUUACACCAUUUAUUAUUUCUUAAUACCUUAUUAGACACGUGGUCAUGUUUGGAAUAAUUAGUAUAGAGUAAUUUCAUUCAUAUCUCUCAAAAGAUUAAAAAUAUCAUAAAUAAUCAUGCGCCCCGCGCCUCCGCCUCCCGCUGCCACGUGUGCAGUUAUUAGGAAUAAUAUAUCUUUAUAGAUUAAUAAUAUCAAAGCAAAUAAAAGAGAACAAGAUGAGUAAAUAUUUAAUAAAGUUGAAAACUAUUUCAAAAUAGCUUAUUAUUAAGAACGGUCAUUAUAUUUUCUAUGUUAGGGAAUAUAGCUAUACUUAUUUGAAACUUUCUAUGUUAGGGAAUAUAGCUAUACUUAUUUAAAAUCGUUUCGUAAUUUUUUCGUCACAUUCUAUAAUUAUUUUAAAAUUGAUUUUUAAAACUAAUUUAAAGAUUGAAUUUUAAAAUAACUAUCCGCAGCAUCGCACGGAUCCCUUAACUAGUAUAAACUUGAAACUACAACACUUGUAAAAAAUUUAUAUUACACGUCUUUUAGAAUUUAUUGUACCAAAAAAUAUAUAAUUGAGAGCAUGAUUUUAAAUCUAAGUUUAGUUUUUAAGUUCAAAUGAUCAAUAAUAACUUCGAACUUUGAAACUGUCACAUAUCUAGAAAUUAAACUAAUAUUGGAUGAUUUUUUUAAUAAUUGACUUGAAUAGUCAAAAAUUUAUAUUCAAAGUUUAAUCAAAAUUCAAUUUUGAGGAAAAAUUUAAUUUGCAUACCGAAUUUUUUUUUAUUUUGUGUAAAUUGGAGGAAGAAGAAAAAAUAAAUAAAUAGUGUAAUUUCAUCCUAAAAAGUGCAACUUCUACCUAAAUAGUACAACUUUAUCUUAAAAGUAUAAAUCUGAUUCCAAUGACUGGGUAGAAUAGAUCCAUCUAAUUUCGAACAUUUUUUCCAACUAGAAACAGCAAAUUAAAAUUUUUAACCCAAAAUAAAUGCGUAAUGAGGAUAUUUAUCAAGUUCGAUAAAGUUUUUUUUUUUUUUUUAUUUCCCAUAAACCCUGCCUGGGCCAUAGCGUUACAAAUAAAAAUAAAAGAAAUCAAACUACCAAGACAUAAGGGCAUAAAAGAAGAAGGUGUUAGUCCAGUAAACAUUUAGUUGGCAAGGCACUUCUAAAAUAAAAUUCAAUUAUAUAGACUUACAUGAGACCAGUGCCAGCAAUAUCAAACUCCAAAUGAAUGCAUGACCGAUCAGAAGUGCCAUUUGCAAGGCUCCAACUCUUCUCCAAAUAUUCGCCAUCUUCAUGGUUGAUAAAUACGAAGGCCCAGUCGCGGAGGCGUGCGUGGUGGGCGGUGAUGGCCCAGUCGCGGAUCCACCCGAAGCUGUGGAUGCGGGCUCCAACAGCUCGCCGACGUCGCCGAGGCUGCCGACGACGUUCGCAGCGGCCGAGUCGGAGACGUCCAGGAAGGUGGGCACGGCGCCAACGGUGAUGAACAUGGAUAGCACACGGGCAUUGUUGUUGUUGUUGUUGUUGUUGUUGUUGUGUUGGUCGGCGGAGGAGGCCAAGGAGGAGCAAAGGGAUUUGAUGAGGGCGGUAGGACACUCAGGGAGGAGAUCGAAGGGGAAGAAAGAAGGAUGUGUUAGUUGUAUGCCCAAAAGCCAAUCUGGUAACACUAGCUUAAGGGUAUUUUAUGUAUUAAUUAUUUAUAAUUCAUAAUAUAAGGGCAGAUAUUUUAUUCAUGUCUAUUGUAUAGCAGUUCAAUAUUGACAUGAAUCGUCCAUAGAGUCUUUGUUUAAAAAGACAUAUUCCUAAGAGUUAGGAAUUUGAGAUAUAUAUUUUUCUGUACGAGACUCUUUAAAUGCUCCUAGCCAGAGGAAUAUUACAGGAAAUAUGAUGUUCCGGAUAGGCCGAUGUAUCCUAUGUUUCUAAUUGAGAUGACGAAUCUCAAGUCACUAAUAUAGGGACACUAGAACAAGCAUACAGGUGCUUGUUAGAGAACAAGUAUACUGAGCGUGACUAUUUAGUUGAACAGUCACAUGGUUCUAUGCUCGCCAGUGACAAGUCCAUUGCUACAGUUGUGUGAAGUACUCCUCGGACCUGAGGCAUCAUAGUUGCUUCACGUAUAGAUUGCUACCGUUUGACAGUACUAAUACUUAGACUCUAGACACAUGUCUAUGUUCGGUACUGAUUGGCUGUAGUGAUUUAUGCGAGGAGGCAUGUGAAUGCGCAAUAAGAAAUCCAACACUCUCAAUGAUGAGGGAGAAUGUCCUAUAUAGUUUAUCGGACUCGACUCGAAAAUUCCUGGCCAGAAUAUAUGGUAUGUGGAAAGAGUUUCUAACUGUGUUACCAUAUUGAGUUGAUUUCAGAUAUUCUAAUCAUAUGGUCGAUGAUAAAGUUUGGCGAGUAACCAUGACCUUAGUUCGAUUGGGACGUUGUAUAUUGGAAGGAAUUAAUCACAUGGUAACUGAAAGCGGAAAGAUUCAUUCUUCAUCACCAUUCUAAAUUGCUGUGAUAUACUGCUAGGUGUCACUCACGGACGGUGAGAAAAUAUGAAUGAUUCGAAUUGAAUUGUUCUUAUUUAUCGAUUAGAAGAGUUCUAAUUAAAUAUCAAAUUGUUUGAUGUUGAGCUCCACUGCCGAAUGAUAAUGAACUUAUGUGGUCACACACAUUAGGAAUUGUGUGCACCUGAAUCAUUUGGAUAAGAGUCGUUCACCAAAGAGUUUAGUGUAAGCGAUGAAAAUAAAAAGAAGUUGUUUAAUUAAAUUAGAUUUAAUUAUUCAAUUCAGUUAUAACUGAUAGUCCUAAUUAGAUUAGGAUAUCAGAAUCAGUUCGAGAAUUAUGCGCAAGAUUUAAAUUUAUCUCUAAUUAGAUUAGUGGAUAAUAUUUAAAAGAUAUUUAAAUGAGAUUUAGAUAUUAGUAAGUAAUUUUAUUAGAUAAGAUCAAAAUUAGAUAAGAUCUAAUCAAAUAUUGGAGAGAUUAAUAUUUAUCUCUAAUUGGAUUAGAGAAUAAUUAAAUAUUCAUAAUAUCUUAUGAGAUAAGAUUUUUUACUAGAUUUGAUUUAGUUGGAUAAGCAUGAAUAUUUAAUUAUUAAAUUUUAUUGGAGAGAGAAAAAUUUUAUUAAAUAAAAUUUUAUGAAAUAAAAUUCUAUAUAUAUACAUAUAUAGAUUUAUAUGUAUAUGUUAGCAUAAAAAUUAAAAUAAAAAAAAGAAAAGGAAGAGAACCGUAAGGCACAUAGUGCCAUACGGAUUGAAUGCAUGGUAAUUAAGAUGCCAUGCAUCUUAAUUAAUUUGAUGCAUGUUAGCUUUUUGAUCUAUAUACAUAUAGAGAUCAAUCUCUCCGAUUUCUCUCCGCGUGCACACGUGUUUCUCUCCGAUCAACUUCUCUACUCUUCAUCGACUGGUGCAUCAUGAGGGAUUGCUAGCACCGUCCAGAUGGUCCGUGACUCAUCCGAUUCGUGAGACGAAAAUUGAUCGUGUCGCCGAUUCCGUGUGGAUACGCGUAGAGGCCGGGCUUGUGCGCGGCUAAUCAGAACCUUUAUUCGUCAUAUUCAGUUUCAACCGUACAGUAAAUCAAGAGACCUUAACUGGUCCAUGGUAAGAUCUCUAAACAUAAAGAGUUUUGUUUAGAUUAAAUUUUUACACAGUAACAUGAGAAUGAUCCGCCAGCAACGGUUUGAUUUAUUAUUUUUCGGUUUUCAUAUGUGAUAUGUAUUUAGCUUCUGCAAAAUUUUAAAAGUGUAAAAACUAUUUUCUGCUACGUUUUUUUUUCUGAUGUGCCGGUUAAUUUCUAACAGGAGGAAGAAAAGGAAGAGAAAAAAUAGUGUAAAUUGGAGAAAGAAGAAGAAAAAAGAAAUAGAGUGCAACUUCUACAUAAAUAGUGCAACUCACUACAACAGAAUUAGGUUAUAGGGACACAUGUUUGGGACACUUUUGAGUAAGUGUCCCAUUUAUACUAAAACUUAAAAAAAUAUUUACUAAUGCCUAAAUAUAAAGCCCAAUCCAACCAAAAAUAAAAGAUUACUCUACUCAACCCACCACACCCAGUCCAUUUGGCCCGAUUACAAACAGAAAAGAAAAAAAAAGAAAAAUCAAUUACCAUAUUUUCUUCUCUCUUCACUCAAUCCACUGAAAUUCUAGACGAAGAGCCAUUCCUGUCGUCCUCCUCCGCCACCGCAGCCAACGAAAUAGAGUUUCGGCGGUUGCUAAAUGCUUAAAUAAGUUGUUGGUAAAUUAGCAGCACUCUUUUAGGUUAUAGCGACACUCUUUAAUUGUCACUAUAUACCUAGCGACCCCACAUAUAGCAACACUUUUUAAAAGUGUCGGUAAUUUUAGCUAGCAGCACUUUUUUGACAUGUACCUACAUUUAAAAGUGUCGCUAUAGACCGUUUUUGUUGUAGUGUGUACUUAAUCCUAAAGAGUGUAAAUCUGAUUUCAAAGACUGUAAUUUCUGUCUCAAUUCUCAAAUAGUGCAACGUUUAUUUAAAAUAGUGCAACAUUAUUUUAAUAGUGCAAUUUCAUUAUCUUCUUCCUUUUUAUAUGAUUUUUGAUCUUUUAUGGAGGAAAAAAAUAUUUUUUUAUUUUUAUUUUUAUUUUUUAUAAUUUUUUUUGUGA
rnacentral:lncRNA from 1 species